CCGGCUUUGUUUGCCUUGAGGAAAAGGCGUUUGGCAAGUAAUGGUCUCAAGUGCACAAUGAAGACCCUGGUCUGCAUUGUUUUCAACUUGUAUAGCUCACUGAGGAUUUGAUCAUCAUUGGCUGACGGAGAAAUAACAGUUCUAUAGGAGACUGAAGUGCCGAUUUCCAGCAAGGCAUCAGUCAAAUGUGGAACUAUCCCAGUUCCAAAGGGGCUAUCCUCAUAGAUGACUACAACCUCCUUCCAAUCAAAGUUCUUUACAAUUGCUGCAAUGGCCAUAGUCUGGCUGGAAGAAGGAAGUGCCCCUCUGAUGAAAAAGGGAUUUUCCUUAACUGUAAGUAAAGGACUUGUUGCUGGAGAAAUGAUAGGGACUUUUACUCUGUUCCCUAAGUCAAUCACAAAAUCAGUUUGUGUAGACAUUUGUGGCCCAAAGAUAGCUUGUACUUGGACAUCCUUUAGCAAGUAUAUGGCUGCACAUACACAAUCAGACUGUAAGAAAUUGAUAGGGCAUGAAUAACUAACUACCAGAGUAUGUCUGAUAGCUUGUUUGUUCAAACUUCUGGGAAGCCAAAAGUACUUAUUUUAGUGACUCGUGAAGCAAAGAAAAUAAGAUAUGCAUGCUAGGUUAAGAGAAGUAUAUCAAGGAGCUGAAUUUACCAGCGGAUGCUGCUUCAACAUCAUCUUUCUUGGAAUCCCUCAAGUGAGGGAUUAUCCUAAUGGCACUGUGACUAGCGGUGGCAUGGUAAUCAUCAAGUGCUAGUAAGAUAGAUAUGUGCAUUACUUUUCCCACAUCUGUUUCCAGAUCAAGAAUUAUGCCCACAUCUACUUUUGCAACACUAUUUUUAUUAUCUUCACCUUUUAUUGGCAUCAUAUGGUGGUAAAAGCUAAUGAUGGACACAAAUUGAAUCAAAACAAUUAGGAAGUGGCAUUUUGAACUUCUCAUUUUGAGAGUUGUGCUUGUGCAAGUAACCAACUUACAAUGAUAUUCUCUAAAGUUUUUCAGAAUCAGUGAAUUUAUAGAUUUCAGAAUCAGUAAAGAGCUUGACUAAUAUGAGUUCAUACUCCAUACCAUAAUUGGGGGCAAAAGUCCAUCCCGUCUUCCAUUAUGCUUUUAGUAUUCGUGGUCAAGAAGUAAACGAUAAAUACUGCAUCGAUGUUGAUUCAUUUGCAUAAGGAAGUUGCUUAGUAAGUUGCCAAUAUGUUGAAAAGAAAAUAUAUGAGGCUUAAGUCGACACCUUAAUGUUGUCCACGUAAUUUAUAUUGACAUUUCAAGAGACCGUUUUUUCUGUUAGACACUCCAAUAUUAACAAAUAUGAUCUAUUAAAUACAUCAUGCAACAUGGUGUAGAAAGUGAUAGGCACUAGUCACCCCGGCCCGAAUAAGCUGCGUGAUUCUAAUGAAUCCCAUUAGGGUUUAAAGUGGGCUUCAAACACUGGAUGUGAAAUAAAAAAAAGGUUAUAUACACUAGCCACAACUUAAAAAAUGGAUAGAUAUUGCUACAUCUUCUUCCUUUUUUUAAAAUUGGAAGUAGUGACGGAGCCAAAUUUUUUACAAAGGUGUCCAAAAAUAGUACAACAAAAACUCUUUCCAAAAAGUGGAAAAACAUUUGUUGCUAAUGGGAUUCAAACACACCAGACUGCCUCAUUACAAGCGUCUAAACCACUCGGUUACAAUAGCUUGUUGUGUUAAGGGUGUCCAAAAUAUGUUAUUUAAUCAUUUUACUUGUAUAUACAACAUAUUUUUUCGAUGAGGAGUGUCCAAUUGGACACCCUGACAGCAAUGUAGCUACGCCACAGACUGCAAGACACUAAUACUUAUAUAAAACAAUAUAUAAAUUUUCUCAUAACUUAUGUAUAUAUUAGUUAUGCAAAAAUCUGCAUAAGUCAAUCCAACAUUGUAUUCAUUUUAUACAUGAAUAACUUAUUUUCUAUCUACAUGUCAAACAUCAUAUAAGUUAUACAAGAAUUUAUACAUGAGUAAUUUAUUUUUUUAUCGAGAACAUCCUAAGUGCAUAAGGCAAUAUGAUGUUUAUCUUUGUUUUCUCUUUUAGGCAAAUGAUGGAGCCUCAUUAAGUGAGUAUAUGAUUCAUUUAUAAGAUUUCACGUAAAUUCAUGUUUGCAUAUAGGAGUUUCUUAUAUCUAUCAUGAGAACUUUAUAUAUUUAAAUACACUUUUAUAUAAUUUUACGCAUAUGUAAACUAAAUUUGAAAUUAAAACAAUGUAAUAUUUAUAUUCAACUCAAUAAUAAUGUAUUUAGAAUCUAUCUUCCAAAGCUAUAAUAAAAAUGAAAUUUGUAAUUUUGAAAAUAAAAUAAAUUAUUUAUUAAUACAAUUUUUGUGAUACAACACUUUCCAUGAAAUAUAAUGUUGGACCAAAACAACGCUGCUAGUCUGUUACCGUAGUAUUGGUUUACGCUGUCCAAAAUAAAAAUCUGUACUAACUGCAUGCAUGUGAAGAAAUAUUCAAUAAAUAUAUUGGAUUCCCACUUGUUCCCAUCUUUUUCCAUAACACUUCCAGUCCCACUUGAUGAGGUGAAGCUAAAAGUCUGAAUACGGAUUUGAUCGAAUAAUUAUUAAUUAAACGAUAAUACUUUAUCUAGUUUAUAUCACGUGAAUUAUUGAAAUUUUUCCAUACACCCCAUGAAAUAUAAUUCCUGCCCCGCAAUAUUUAGAGCAAUAAAAAUUUAAGUUUCAUAAGAUUAGUCAUAUAUUAAAAAGAAGAAAAGUAUUUACCUUAGUCAUCGAAAUAAUGCCUAUUUGGUCUAAUAAUAGAUAUUACUAGAAAAAACCAAUGAAAAAAAAUUCUAAAAGAAAAAAAAGAGUGUAAUACUUCCUCCGUUCUGUUUUACUUGUCAAAUUUGACUUGACAUACCUAUUAAAAAAAGAGAAACUUUCACAUAUAGCAAACAAAAAAAUCAUAUUUGUAUGCUAUAGCAAAGUUUGCAUAAUUGCGCUCCAUAGCAAACAUAUAUAUGUAUAAUUCGCUAUACAUAUAUACAAAAAGAAGCAAUUGUAUAAUUCGUUGGCUCCUCUUCAGAAUUGUAUAAUUUCGCUGGCAGGCCAUUUGUAUAAAUUGUUGUUAGCCUCUCGUUUGUAUAAAUCGUUGACAAACAUAAAUUAUACAUUAUACAAGCAUAAAACUGGGCAGGGGAAUAUUUUUAUUGUAUAAUUAUAAGUGUAUAGGACGAAUAUAUAUGUAUUUGCAUGUGUAUAUACAAUUUUCUCUCGCUUUAUACAAACAGAAACGCAAUUUAUACACUUCUGUUGUAUAAAGCGAGAGAGGCGAGCACAGAGAGAGUGAGCGAGAGAGGAGAGUGGCGAGCGAGAGUUUGAGGGAGAGAGGCGCUGGCAAACAGUUUGCUACAGGACACAAUUAAAUCAAAGUGUGAUUAUACCAUUUAAUUUGAAUUAAUAGUUUGCCAUUAUGUACAAUUUUCCCUUCAUUAAAUAAAAGAGGCCCAUGGUCUCACAUGGGGGUGUUCACGGUUUGGAUAAAAAUCGAUUCAAACCGAAAAACCAAACCAAAUCGAUAAAAUAAAACCAAUUUUAUUUGGGUUUGGUUUGGUUUGGUUUUAGAUUUUUGAAAACUGAUAGUAUUUGGUUUGAUUAUGGUUUUAUUUGAAAAAAACCGAAGAAAUAACCAUACUUAAUAUAUUAUUUUUAUAAACAAUUUUAAAGAUCUUAUACAUAUUUUCAUUAAAAUUUCUUUAGUGUAUAGGACGAAUAUAUAUGUAUUUGCAUGUGUAUAUACAAUUUUCUCUCGCUUUAUACAAACAGAAACGCAAUUUAUACACUUCUGUGUAUAAAACGAGAGAGGCGAGCACAGAGAGAGUGAGCGAGAGAGGAGAGUGGCGAGCGAGAGUUUGAAGGAGAGAGGCGCUGGCAAACAGUUUGCUACAGGACACAAUUAAAUCAAAGUGUGAUUAUACCAUUUAAUUUGAAUUAAUAGUUUGCCAUUAUGUACAAUUUUCCCUUAAAAAAACAAAGAUUAGUAUAAUGAGUUUACUAUUUUAUCCUUAUUGAUAGAUAGAGUCUUAAACAUAUUUACUCACUACAUUUUCAAAACAUUAACUCAAUGUUAAAAAAAAAAAUAUAGGGUAUAAUAAGAAGAAACCAUUUGUCCUUUUUUGAUUUAUUAAAAAUGGCAAGUAAAAAAGGAAAUCAAAUUAGGAAGUACUCUCCCUGUCUCUAUUUACUUGUCCAUUUUUUAUUUGACACUUAUUAAGAAAAUUAUAAUUAACCUAAUGAGUUUACCAUCGUACCCCUAUUAAUGGAUAGAAUUUCAAAAUUGAUUUAGUUCUACUUUUUCAAAAACAUUAACUAUCUAACUAAAUUGUGGAUAUAAUAGGUAAAAAAUAUUAUCUUUUCUUGAUUUGUCAAAAAAUAACAAGUAUAAAAAAACAAGUAAAAAAUCAAAAUUGAACUAGUAAAAAAGGAAGAAUGAGUAUUUGAUGAGUAAAUAGGGACGGAGGAGUAAUACACAUUGUUAGGUGCGGAAAGCAGAGAAUCCAGAAUUAGAUGCAAACAAUGGAAUAACAGUUGUGCUGAGGGCACAGGACAGCCACAUAUUUCACUACAGAUAAGAGGAGAUAAUAAUGUUUCUCUUCUGAAAUACGGUACAUUUUUUUUUUCUUUCUUCCACAAUUUUAAAAUAACACAAUCUGAUCCUUUAAAUGCUAAUUCAAGGUGCAACAAUUUUCUCUUGGUUUGUAUAUGUAUAUAUAUUUGGCAGUUAGAGUUUAACCUAAAUGAUCCUCUCUUGUUUCAUGUUUUGUGGUCUACUAUCUUUAAUUUCCUCUUUGUAAUCGACAUUGUGUGUGGUUUAUUUUAUCUCAAAACUAAACAUAAUGCCUGUCAUAGCUGCAGAAAUGUUUGUAUGGUUGUUCCUAUUCCUUUGAAAUCUUUCAUUUGCCACCUGCAAAAAACCUUUAGGAAAAUAGAGGCAAAUGCUUCCUUAUUUACUUGGGUUCAACUUGUGAACCACUAAUUUCGACUUAAUAAUAACAUAACCAGUGUAACCCCACUGGGAUGAGGUCGGGAGAGGGUGGUGUGAGAAACUGUUUCCCAUAUACUUUUUAUAAAAAGUCAAGUAUAUAAAGCAAAUACAAUAAUUUCAACACGGAACGUUAAUAUAAGUGGAAGGCUAGUAGAAUUUCAAUGAUUCUGACGGUUCCGUCAGCUCCAGAUACUUAACUCAUAAUUUCAGAAGUGCAAUGAAUUCAAUCUUAUGAACUUAAAUGUUGAACCCAUCAUAUCUAAAUUCUAGAGCCAGCUCUUGAUACAAAUAGAUGAAACAUAGAUAUGCUCUUUAACUUGCCUCAACUCACAUUUAUGUCCUCCAACUUUGGGGGUACACAAAUAGACACUUAAACUUGUAAAAAGUUGAACAAAUAACACAAACGUCUUAUGUGGCAUCUUACAUGCAAUUUGCGUCAUACAUGGUGGUCCUAUGUGGAUAAUGCCACGUAGGACUCAUGUGUCUACUUGUUCAACUUUAUACAAUUAAGUGUCUACUUGUGCAUACCCAAAAUUGGAGAGCAUAAAUGUAAAAUGUGACCAAGUUAAAUGCAUAUUUAAGUACUAUGCCAUACAAAUAUUAUGGCCAAGAGAGACGGUUUUAAUGUCUUCUGGUCAAACUGUAAAGUUAGCUCAUCUCUGUACAAUCUCUUGUAGGGCUCAAUUCAAUCUCUCUUCAGUUUUCAUGAACUGGAGUUCCAGGUUCUGUUGUAGAGAACAACACUUCAGGUGCAGGGGAUGCUCCUAGGCAGUCAGAAAUUCUGAUGUCUAGGCUUUGAAAAGGAAGGUUGGGCAAUACUUCAGGGAAAGUUUCACUUGCUGCGAACAGUGUAGCUGUUUGUCUAACAUUGCCUUCAAAUGGAUUUUCUGACUUAACAUUAGAGUUGUCUUUCUCUUCACCAAAAACUUUUGCUAUUGCAGAAAACUUUUUCCAUAUUGAAUCAUCAGUGACUAAGAUUUCUCUAUUUUGAUAAAGAAAGUUGAGGAAGAAUAGGAGAAGAGCAGAACCUGCUGAUACACCAGCUAUGAGGAAAAGUCCCUUAAAACUGUCUAGCGCGAGGCUAUCAGAUGUUAUAUCCAUUAUAUCUUUCUGUGGACAAUCUGUUUCAUUCCCAAACCAUUUCUGAAUUAUGUUAUUCAUAUCUCCCUCCAUCACCUUCAAGACUGCUCUUGCUACAUCUGGUACCAAAGGUGAUCCUUUUGGAAAUGCCUGUAAGAAGUUGUGUGAUAAUAAAAGAUUAGAUUGAGUGAACUACCGUGGAUAGUAUAAUUUCAAUUAUGGAACAUUUCCAGGCGCAGAGAGAAUCUUACAAAUCCAAAACCAGCAGUCUUGUAAGUCAGACCAACCAUAGUAUACUUCCUGCAGUAUCUAUUGAGGAAGAGUCUGAGAUAAGGUAGUUCAUCAACAAUUGCACCUACACCUCCAUUUUUACUACCCCUUGAGAGUGCAUCAUUAUACUCUUCCAAGGUGCUAUAACUCCUAAAUUUGGAGCUGUCAAAUUGCAUGCCCUUCAAGACAUCUUUGACAAAGGAACCUUUUUGGUACCCUACAUAUUCUCCAUUCUUGAUGAGAUCAUUGAGGUCUGUUACAGUAGGUUGAAGCUUUUGUGCUGUUAACAUAGAUGUUAAGCUGGCUGUAUAACUUGAUGUCAGCACCAGAACCACGAAAACCCACACAAUCAGCACAAAUCUUGUUAAGUUACUUGUUACCCUCUCUCCUGCAAUAACCAGCCAUAUAUGAUUUGUUGAGAAAUUCUAAAGUUCUCGUCUAUAAUUUGCUUUGAGUUAGAGACUUACUAUGAGCAAAAACGAGAGUUGAGAAGGAAAACCAUAAUAUCAUCCCAACUUGCUUGCAUUUGGGUCCUCGAAACUCUUCGUUUACACGAUGCUCCAGUACCCACACAACAAAACCAAUGAAAACAAAGAAUGCUCCAGUUGUCAUCCAAAGCUCUCUCUUUAGAGGUUUCACGAAAAUCCAAGCACUCUUCCUGUCAUCAUCCUUUAUUGGCACAACUGCAGAAAUACCCGACUCUAUAAAAGGUAAUGUGAAAUCCACAUACUUGGAUCGGUUCGCUGAAAUGGUCACAUCACCUAUAACUGCAUCAUGUUUCUGGUUUAAGUAAACAAUGGUUGGUUCAGUGCUUUUGCCAAAGAAAAAGCAAAAUAAGAAAAUCCAAAUGGAGCAUGUGGGUAAGGUAUUCCGCCAAAGAGGGUAAUUCAAACAAGGAUUAGAUAUUACCUUAAAAAAGAGCUUAUAAGCAAGAUCAUCAUAUCCUGGAGAAUUGGGGCUACGUGUUAUUGGAACUGGAACAAAUUCGUAAGGGACAGCAUAAGGCAAAGAUUGGAUGACUUCUUUGAAGACAUCUGCACAGAAACCAGUUGCAGUAACUGCUUGUGUUUUUGAAUCUCUUUCCACUUAAAUGAAUUCCUGCAGCCCUCCUUUGAUAGGAACUCCAACCCUUAGCUUCUUCCCACUUGUGGGUAUUUCCCAGCCUCUCGGAGAAAUAGUAGAUUCACCGGGCCAAAUGAUGGCUCCUAGUUGCUUAUUAUUACUCUUAGCUGUUUUACCGUCUAUCUUCAGUUUAUAUGAAAUUCCAUCCUUCUCUGUCCAGAAUCCAAUGCUUCUCUGUCCUGUCCCAACUAUAUUCACAAUUUGAUAUGGAGAUGGAUGCAAUUCUCCAUUGAUGAGACGGAAUUCACCACUUAGUGCUGUUUUUAGCACUGUGUUUUGCAUAGAGUCAAGGAGCAGAGAUCCCAAUUCUGAGGUUCCAAGUGCAUCUAGGUCCGUUAAGUUCUCUCUAGUGUCCGGUUUCUUGAAUUUUGGGAUAGCAGUGCUGCCCAUUUCCACUACUGCUUUUGCUAACGCGGUGAUGCUAUCAUAUGCCCAUAGCCCAAAAACAUUGAGUUCAACUGGAUCCAUGUCUGGAUACACUUGACGAAAUCUCUUUCUCCAUCUCUUGGUGAACAUGUCAAGCUCAUUUGAUCUUGGAACAUAAGAUUUUACACCCAGAACACCUUGCAUUGAUGACUCAAUUACUGAAGGAUCUACCAGGUCCAGAAGACUUGUUAGCACAUCUGUGAUUAUCCAUGCAUAUCCACUGCUCAUCAUCCCGGCUUCUUUGGCCUUGAGGAAAAGGCGGGAGGCAAGAGAUGAUUCUAAGUGUACGAUGAACACCCUGGUCUGCAUUGUAUUCAACUUGUAUAGCUCCCUGAAGAUCUGAUCAUCACUGGCUGAAGGAGAAAUACCACUUCUAUAGGAGACUAAACUGUUGUUUUCCAGCAAGGCAUCUGUCAAAUGUGGAAGCAUCCCGCUUCCAUAGGGGCUAUCCUCAUAGAUUACUACAACGUCCCUCCAAUUAUAGUUUUUAACAAUUGCCGCUAUGGCUUUAGUCUGGCUGGAAGAAGGAAGUGCUCCUCUGAUGAAGAAGGGAUUUUCCUUGACUGAAAGUGAAGGACUAGUUGCUGGAGAAAUGAUAGGGACUUUUACUCGGUUCCCUAAGUCAAUCACAAAAUCAGUUUGUGUAGACAUUUGUGGCCCAACGAUGGCUUGUACUUGAACAUCCUUUAGCAAGUAUAUGGCUGCACAUACACAAUCAGACUAUAAGGAAUUGUCUGAACAGAAAACCAAAGGGAAAAAAGAAGAAAAGAGAAAAAGAUAUGCUAGCUUAACAGAAGUAAAUCAUGGAGCUGAAUUAAUUUACCUGCAGAUGCUGCUUCAACAUCAUCUUUCUUGGAAUCCCUCAAGUGAGGGACUAUCCUAAUAGCUCUGGGACUAGUGGUGGCAUGGUAAUCUUCAAGAGCUAGUAAGAUAGAUAUGUGCAUUACUUUUGCCACAACUGUUUCCAUAUAAGAACUAUACCCACAUCCACCUUUACAACACUAGUUUCAUCUUCACCUCUUAUUGGAAUUACAUAGUGGCAAAAGCUAAUAAUGGAGACAAGUUGAAUGAAGAGAAUUAGGCAGUAGUAUCUUUGAUUUUGCAUUUGAAAAACUCUGGUAGCAAGUAGUUUGAGAGUUGGGAAAGAAGCAAUUCUGCUUGUGCAAGUAAUUAACCACUUUCUAGAGAUGUGUCUAAAAAUCUCUUAACUGUGUGGCUCUAGAUAUAUGGUUUCAGAAUCUGGGAACUUCAUAUACUUGGACCAGUAAAUACCUUGCAAAACUAUAAUAAGGCAAUGUAGAAUGAAAAGUCAAAGAUAAAGUUUCCAAAGAAUAAUUGAGAGAGGACUUUUCAUACAUUCUUAACUAGUAAGUUCCCUCCUCAAUUUGACCCAAUAAAAAUCUGACAAAACGAACGCAGUGACAAAAACUCAUUUGGUUGACCUUGGAAUGGUGCUUAUUUUACAUGGUUCCUGUUUAUACUUGGUCAUUAGUAACUUGCUUGGACACCAAAUAAUGAAACAAUACCCACCAUUGGAUCGAGUGGCCGAUCUAGGAUUUUCAUUCAUGGGGAUUUGUAAAUAAAAAUGUAAAAAGUAUUAACUUCCUUGGACACUCAAUAAUGAAACAACCACCACCAUUGGCUCUAGUGGCAUGCUGAUUCAGGAUUUUCACUCUGAGAGUUCCGAAAAAUAAAAAUGUAAAAGAUAAUGCAGUCCUUGAGAAUUGAACCUUGGACAUUGGGGUGUAUUUUGAAUUUCCUGAAUUGCAGAGCUAACCUUUUGCAUGUUAUUUAGGGGAUUCACAAUUUAUAUGUACAUCAACAUAGAAAAUAUAUCCUAUAUAUACAUUUUAAUUUUUUGUUGAAGGGGUUUGGGUGAACACUCUCCGGCUCUUGAUUGGCUCAUUGACACUGUUAUUGUUAGUGCAAGAAGAAACUGCUAGGGAAGUUGCCUAUGAUAUAUGUUGAAGCAGAUGGGAUAUAAGAUUCUGAUUUGAUGGGUUCAAUAUUUAGGUUCUUACCAUUGAGCCCAUUACACUUUGAAAUUAUGGGUUCAUGUUCUAUUAUUUAUUAAAAUUUUAGUGAUUUUUCACAUUAUACUUUUAUGAUCCGUGUCGAAAAUGCAAAUCUUAUACUUAAAUUCGCCAUCCGCCCUGUGUGACUGAACAUAUUACUGUUUGUCUUCCAUGUAGCAGUGAUCCUAAAACCUUUCCUUAUUUAUGAUCUGUAACUAUGUUCUUAUCCUCUAGGCUAGUUCUAGCACCUGCAUUAUAAAUUCACUACUACUAGAUCUUUCUUUCUUAUUUAAUUUGGGCUUUGCAGAUUGCUUUUUCUUAUCAAAAAAUUGCACAAAUCUCUCAUGUGGUUAUUCACAUAUAACCCCCAUUAUUUCAUAUUUUAUAUAAGAAUUAUGUAAUCAAAAAAUAAUUUGGCAUCUUAUGUGUUGAUUUUAUUGUUUUUGUUCUAUUAUUGUAACAUAACAAAACUACCUCAAUUGAAUUUCUUGAAAACGGAUGCAUGUAUUGAAUUCUUUCAUGCCACACAUAUAACUUCGUUUAAUUAUAUUCCAAACAUAAGUACAACAACAACAACAUAAGUAGUGAUGAAAAAAACAAAGUGAACAUAAAAUUGCUAGAAAAACAACUAAGAAAAAGUAAGGGUUGAAUCCAUCUAAUGGAAUCCUGGAGGCCACCUCUUGAUGCUAAUAUUAUGGCCAAGAGUGACAAAGAAAUAAUGUAAUCUGAUUUAACUAACCCUAAAGCUAGCUCAUCUCUGUACAAUCUCUUGUAGGGCCCUAUUCAGGUGUGUCACAAUUAUGUUAGCAGCUAUCUGUGUCAUCUUUCUUCAAUCGUGCCUGACAUUGUUUCAUGAACUGGGGUUCCAGUUUCUGUUGUAGAGAACCCUUCAGAAGCAGGGGAUUCUCCUAGGCCAUCGGAGAUUCCGAUUUCUGGGCUUUGCAAAGGAAGGUUGGGCGAUAAUUCAAUAGAAGCAUCACUUUCUGCAAACACUGUAGCCGUUAGGCUUUCAUUCCCUUCAGAUGGCUUUUUUGACAUAGAAUUAGAGUCGUCUCUCUUUAAAUCAAAGACUUUUUGCUAUUGCACAAAGCUUUUUUCCUAUUGAAUCAUCAGUGGCUAAGAUUUCUCUAUUCUGAUAAAGGAAGAUGACGAAGAAUACGAGAAGAGCGGAGCCUGCUGAUACACCAGCUAUGAGGAAAAGGCCCUUAAAACUAUCAAGCGUGAGGCUAGAUGCUGUAGCCAUUCCAUCUGGCUUUGGACAAUCUGUUUCGUUCCCAAACCAUUUCUGAAUUAUGUUAUUCAUAGUCUCUCCCUCUAUCACCUUCAAGACUGCUCUUGAGACGUCAGGUACCAAAGGAGAUCCUUUUGGAAAUGCCUGCAACAAGUUGUGGGAAAAUUAAAGAUUAGAUCAUUGAGUAAACCACUAACCACUCUAAAUAAAUGUCAACACUUUCUGAAACAUCAGUUAAGUACAACAAUCUUACAAAUCCAAAGCCGGCAGCCUUGUAUGUCGGACCAACCAUAAUAUACUUCCUGCAGUAUUUGUUCAGCAAGAGUCUGAGAUAAGGUAGUUCAUCAACAAUUGCACCAACACCUCCAUUUUUACUACCUCUUGAGAGUGCAUCAUUAUACUCUUCCAAUGUGCUAUAACUCCUAAAUUUGGAGCUGUCAAAUUUCAUGCGUGUCAAGACAUCUUUGACAAAGGAACCUUUUUGGUACCCUACAUAUUCUCCAUUCUUGAUGAGAUCAUUGAGGUCUGUUAUAGUAGGUUGAAGCUGUUGCACUGUUAACAUAGAUGUUAAGCUGGCUGUAUAGCUUGAUGUCAGCACCAGAACCACGAAAACCCACACAAUCAGCACAAAUCUUGAUAAGUUACUUGUUAUCUUCUCUUCUGCAACAACCAGUCAUAUAUAGGAUUUGUUGAGAAACAAGGAGAAAUCUUAAACUUUUGGUCUAUAAUUUGAUUUGAGUUAGAGACUUACUAUGAGCAAAAACGAGAGUUGAGAAGGAAAACCAAAAUAUCAUCCCAACUUGCUUGCGUUUGGGUCCUCGAAAAUGUUUGUUUACACGAUGUUCGAGUACCCAAACCACAAAACCAAUGAAGACGAAGAAUGCUCCUGUUGCUAUCCACAGCUCGGCCUUUAAAGGUUUCAAGAAGAUCCAAGCGUUUUUCCUAUCAUCAUUCCUUACAGGCACAACUGCAGAAAUACUCGACUCUGAAAAAGGUAAUGUGAAAUCUACAUACUCAGAUCGGCUUGCUAAAAUGGUAACAUCACCUACAACUGCAUCAUAUUCCUGGUUCAAGCAAACAUUGAUUAUUUCAGUAUUUAUUGUUGGUCGCAAAAGCAGAACAUAGAUAAGGAGUCCAAAAAAGGAGCAUGUAAGUGAGUUAUUCAGCUGAAGAGGUUAAUUUUACCUUAGAAGUGAUCUUGUGAACAAGAUCAUCAUAGUUUUGAGAAGUAGGGCUAUGUGCUAUUGGAAAUGGAAUAAAUUCAUAGGGGACAGCAUAUGGCAAAGAUAGGAUGACUUCUUUGAAGACAUCUGGACCUAAACCAGUUGCAAUUACUGCUUGUGUCUUUGGAUCUCUUUCCACUUUAAUGAAUUGCUCCAGCCCUCCUUUGUCUGGAACUCCAACCCUUAACUUCUUCCCACUUGUGGGUAUUUCCCAGCCUCUCGGAACAAUAGUAGAUUCACCAGGCCAAAUGAUGACCCCUAGUUGCUUAUUAUUAGUUUUAGCUAUUUUACCAUUCAUCUUCAGUUUAUGCAAAAUGCCAUCCUUCUCUGUCCAGAAUCCAACACUUUUCUCUCCUUUCCCAAUUAUAUUCACAAUCUGAUAUGGGGAUGGCUGCAGUUCUCUAUCAACGAUACGGAAAUCACCACUUAGUCUUGGUUUUAGCUCUGCGUUUUGCAUAAAGUCAAUGAGCAGAGAUCCCACUUCUGAGGUUCCAAGUGCGUCUAGGUCUGUUAUGUUCUCUCUAGUGUCUGGUUUCCUUAAUUUUGGGAUAGCAGUAGUGCCCGCUUUCUCUACUGCUUCUGCUAAUAAGGUGAUGCUAUCAUAUGCCCAUAGCCCGAAAACAUUGAGUUCUACUUGGUCCAUGUCUGGAUACUCUUGACGAAAUCUCUUUCUCCAUCUCUUGGUGAACAUGUCAAGCUCAUUUGAUCUUGGAACAUAAGAUUUUACACCCAGAACACCUUGCAUUGAUGACUCAAUUACUGAAGUAUCUACCAGGUCCAGAAGACUCGUUAGCACAUCUGUGAUGAUCCAUGCAUAUCCACUGUUCAUCAUCCCGGUUUCUUUGGCCUUGAGGAAAAGGCGGGAGGCAAGAUGUUCUUGCAAGUGCACAAUGAACACCCUGGUCUGCAUUGUCUUCAACUUGUAUAGCUCCCUGAGGAUUUGAUCAUCAUUGGCUGAAGGAGAAAUACCACUUCUAUAGGAGACUAAAGUAUUGAUUUCCAGCAAGGUAUCAGUCAAAUAUGGAAGUAUCCCGGUUCCAUAGGGGCUUUCCUCAUAGAUUACUACAACCUCCCUCCAAUUAUAGUUUUUAACAAUUGCUGCAAUGGCUUUAGUCUGACUGGAAGAAGGAAGUGCUCCUCUGAUGAAGAAGGGAUUUUCCUUGACUGUAAGUAAAGGACUUGUUGCUGGAGAAAUUAUAGGGACUUUUACUCUGUUCCCUAAGUCGAUCACAAAAUCAGUUUGAGUAGACAUUUGUGGCCCAAAGAUAGCUUGCACUUGGACAUCCUUUAGCAAGUAUAUGGCUGCACAUACACAAUCAGACUUAUAAGUAAUUGUCUGAACAUCUCUUUCAAAAUAGAAAAACUAAAGGGAAAAGUAAUAUCUUAGAGAAAAAGUGAAUCUUUUGAAGCAAAGAGAGAGAGAUAAUGCUAGUUUAACAUAGGUAAAGCUUAGAGCUGAAUUUUACCAGCUGAUGCUGCUUCAACAUCAUCUUUCUUUGAAUCCCUGAUAUGAGGAACUAUCCUUAUGGCACCGCGACUAGUGUUGGCAUGAUAAUCCGCAAGAGCUAGUAAGAUAGAUAUGUGCAUUACUUUUCCUACUUCUGUUUCCAGAUCAAGAAUUAUUCCCACAUCCAUCUUUACAGCACUAGUGUUAUUAUCUUCACCUCUUAUUCCAAUUACAUAGUGGCAAAAGCUAAUGAUGGAAACAAGUUGAAUGAAAAUAAUUAGGAAUCUGCAUCUUGGAUUAUGCAUUUGAAAAACUCUUGUAGAAAGUAAUAUGAGAGUUGGACAAGAAGCAGUUGUGCUUGUGCAAGGUAUAUAACCACCAUUCAGAGAUGUGUCUUAAAGGUAUCUUAACUAUAACUUUCCUAUAAUUUUAAAUAAGACCAAACUGCAGAAAGAAAAGUCCAAAGUUUUCAAAGAAUUACAAAUGGUUUAAAAUAUUACUAGUUUAAUUAUUAAAGAAAGAGGACUUUUCACACUUGUUAGACCACAAGCUAGUAAAGCCUCCUCUUCAGUUUUGACCAAAUCAAUAAAUGUCUAAAUGAACAUAGUGACAAAAUUGAUUGGUACUCAUUCUCCCAAUACCCAAUGAAGUUUUUGUAUUCAUUGGAUGACUAUCUAGAGGCUACUAAAAGGACUUCCCAUAUUUAGGCUAAGUCAUGUUGAAAGUUGAGAGCUAUCUCAGUUACAAAUAAGUAGAAGAGACCAUUGUUUCUAUGACUUGGAUUGGAAAAGGGUAGCUAUGACUAGUAAUCUUUAGUUUACUUACACGGUUUCAGUCUAGAAUUGGUCAGUAGUAUAAAACUUUAUGGUGGUAGAGGCACAACUUGUAGGGCUGUUUCGGUUUAUGGUUAAAAAAACAAAUUGAACCAUAAUCCGAACCAAAUCGAUUAAAAAAUUGAUAUUUGGUUUGGUUUGGUUUUAGAUUUUGAAAAUUGACACUAUUUGGUUUGGUUUGGUUUUAAAACUAUAAAAAUAACCAAACUGAACGUGUAAUUAUAAUAACUCUAGUAUUGCUUAAUUGAAUCCACAGUAACUUUCAUGUGAAUUGUUUAUGUACUAGGUGUCUGUGUUUAUAUAUAUGUCUUCAAAAAAAUUAUUACUUUCAAAUCGAAAAAACAAAAAAAAUCGAACCAACAGUUAUUUUUUUCGUUUGGUUUUAGAAUUUAGAAACCGACUAAAUUGAUCUGGUUUUAAUUUUAACCAAUAAUCAAUCCAAACCGAACCAUGAACACCUCUAGGCACAAAUAUGACUUGGUAUGUGAGGGAUUACUAUAAUACCUAUCCUUUCACUUUUUUUUAAAAAAAAAUCUUCAUCCUCCAUUUUUUUCCCUUCUCUUUUUUUUUUUUAAAAAAACCAUUGGUAAAUUUUUCAAAUCAGUUUUUUUUAACUCAUGAGCUCUAUUCCUUUCCCUUUUAUAUUUUUUUAUAUAAUAAAAUAUAAGAUAAAAUAAAGAAUUUUUUUAAAAAGAAAUGAGAAAAAAAAUGAUGAAGAUGAGGGUGAGGAUAUAAAGGAGCAGGGGCGGAUCUAAGGGUACGGGUGGGGAUGCCAUGGCACCCGGUGAUUUUGGAAAAAUUGUUGUAUAUAUGUAUAUAUGUAUCAGAUGUUAAUAUAUAUUAGCUUUGCCACCCAGUGAAUGAAAUGAUAAAUGGUUCAAUUGGUAAAGGGCAUGAGUGCUACGCUAGCAAUGCAAGUUCGAACCUCACUACUAGCAUUGUUUUUUUUGCUUGGUUUGUGCGUAGGGAAGCUUCUUUUUUUGUUUUGUUUUCUUUUUUGUUUUUUUAUUAAUGUGUGAAGGGCUUUAGUUUUUUUCUUCUUCCAUUCAUUCUUAUUUAUUUACUAUACUUUAUUAAUUUCAAAUUGACUCCUUUUCACCGUAGUUAAUUCUUUUUUUUUUUAACUUUCACUUUCACUAAUUAUUAAUCUCUUGAUAUGAAUGUCGCGUGUUUAUUCUUUAUCAGUUAAUGAAUAUUGAACUAUCAAUAUCACAUAAAUAUUAUUAAGAAUGUAUUUAAAUAGUAGUUUUAAAAAAAUAUAAGGUUUAAAAAUGAUGAAUAUUAUUUCUAGAGUUCUUUCAAUUUAAAGGUUCUUUCGAUCCUCACCGACAUUCUUGCUAAUUAGUAAGAUGACUAGAUUGAAACUACAAUUUUAUUCUCUCUACAAUAUAUCUGCAACAACAAAUAAAGUCAAUGGAAUAUAAAUAUAUUAAGUUAACACUAUAAGAUGAUUUAUACAAGCUCAAAUUUUAAUUUGAAAAAAAAAAUCAUUUUUCCUCAAAGUCUAAGUGAAUGAGGCCUUUAAUUCCUAAAAAAAUGAAUUGUUUAGUUAUCUCUCAUCACAGAAUAUCUAAAAGAAAAUAUUACUAACAUGCAUGUUUGAUCAAUUUGUUUAUAAAAAUCGAAAAAGAUAAUAACCCGAAUUGGAACCCAAAUUAAAGCAACCGACCCGUUUAUCUUACUUGAACGAUGUAGCACCCAGGACCUCCAAAUCCUAGAUCCGCCUUUGUAAAGGAGAGAAGAAAGAUAGAACAUAAGAAAGGUAGGGUCCCAUAAUUUCUUAAUCAAAAAGUAAUUCCUUACCUACCAAGUCAUAUUUAUGCCUCUACCACCAUAAAAUUUUUCGUAUUAACUUGCUUGCAAGUUGCAAAACCAAACAAAGUAAACAUACCCAACAUGGAGAUUGAAUCUUGGAAUGAGGAUGGUUGGGUAUAUAUGUAGGUGUCAAUGUCAUUGUCUCAAUAUAUAUAUAUAUAUAUAUAUUACGUGGCACCCUUUUUUUUUAGUUUGUUUUAAAAAACAAUGCCAUCUUACUAUAAUUAGAAACAACGGAAAAGACUCAAAUAUGCUAUUGAAAUUUGAGAAAUAAUGCCGCUUUAUACUAAUAUAGUCCCGAGUUGGUAAUUAGAGUUAGAAGCUUCACAGCUUCCUCCACUCACCUCCACGGGCGAAUAUAGUCUACUAGACUAGCCAAGAAAGAGUGACGUAGACUAUAUUCUAGGUCAUUCGGAAGGGCUCCGUAUAGUUUUGGGGUGUAACGUUGUGGUUGUUCCCUCUCCUUUCAGUCGAGUGACUUCGUGCCUAUCCUUACCGAGAAAAAGGAGUUCCAGAGGCAUCUACCUAUCCUUACCGAGAAAAAAGAGUUCUAGAGGCAUCUUCCAUUCAUAUCUAUUUUGAUUUUUCUGCAACAUAUUUUGAUCUGCCUCUUCUUCGAUCUGGAAUUCCCAGCAAAUCCUUGACUCCUUGAAUACAAUGAAAUUUCACACCUGGCGAAUCUUUCAUCAUGAGGCGAUUAAGAAAGUCGUGGGCCUCGUAGUACCCGCAUACGACAACUCUGUGGAGCUUUUCGGGUCGAAAACUUGUUCGACGUUAGAACCGAUCUCAAAACCCUAAUAUCACCGUCUUCAGAGAAAGGACUUUCUCUAUAUCUAUAUUUAUGCAACUAGUUCUUUCACUUGCUUCCAAAUCCAUCCAUCUUACUUACUCAAAAGCUUUGAAUAUUCUACUAUAAAUCUUGCUUCUAGCUUUGGGCACCUCUGACAUAAACAAAAAUAACGUAUAUACAAGGCUAGCCCUUUCUCUCAAGCGUCUUGGUAUUGGAUCCGCUCUUCUGUUAAUAUGUACAUGAAUUAGAUUCUAUUCGAAUUCUUUAUUCUUAAGAGAAUCCCCAACCCGAACCAUUCUUAAGACCACCAAGCUCUCUCGAAUAAAUUCUACUCUUUCUGCUUUCGAGCUACACCGGGGGUAAAAUCUUUUCCCCACUAAGACGUGCAUCUUUAUGGCUAUAUCGUCCUGAAGACGGAUGCGACGGGAAGAAGUGGCAUUUGGAAGUGUUGCUGACUUAACAUUUAGGUUUCGGCAUAACAAAGCUUGCACUGUCUUUUCGCACUUAGGCGCACAUCGUGCCAUUGGUAAUGAUUCUACUACGGUGCCACAAAUUCGCAAGCUGAUCCUAAGUAAUCGUUGUUGUUCAUUGGAUUCCGGAGGAACUACUUCGUUAGGAUUGGGGAAUUGUUGCGAUUCUUCCUGAAUAGCCUGGAUUCUCCCGUCGAGAGUCACUUUGAAAGUAUUACCUAAACUCUUCCGACUGAAUAUGAUAAAGCCUAUAAAACAUAGAGCUACUUGUUGACACCCAAUUUUGACCUUUCACGGUAUAAAUUAAUCAAUUUGAGCUUCUUCAAUUUCAAACGAGUUAAAAUAAUUAGUUUUACAAAGUUUUAAGAAAAAAUAUAUAGUUUGCAAGUUAUUUUAAAUAAUUUCGUCACUUUUUAUAGUUUUUAGAUAAUAUAUAUGUUUUACAUAAUUAUGUAUAUAAUUAUUAUAUUUUAUGAUUAUUCAAAAAUCAUCUCAAAAAGAUUUUGUUUUAAUUAAAUAUUUUGGUUAAUUAGUUUAGUUAUAUAAUAGUUUAUAUAUUUUAAUUAAUUAGUUGUAUAUAAGUUAAUUAUUUUAAUUCGUUAGGAUUAAGAAGCUCGUUAUUUGAUUAAUAUUAAUUUGUUCUAUUUAUAUUCUAGUCAAAUUAACUAAAUUAAUUCAACUUUGGUUAGAUCUUUAAUUUUGAAUGGCUAUGAUCGAAAUCUUUUGGCUCUUUCCUCAAUUCCAAAUUUAGCCAUUUAGCUUUUCCUAAACCCCUUUAUUUCAGCCAAGCUUUAAACCAAUUUUUUGGGCCUCCUUCUUACAAUUCUCAAAGGCCCAUUCCAUUCUCAAUUUCUCAAAUUCCCAGCCCAAAACAGACCCAUACAUCAGCAGCAGCAUACAAAUCCAGAAACUCAAUUCUCCACAACAAUUCCCAACGAUACAACAGCAACACAGCGACCCGACCCGACCCGACCCGACCCAACCCGACCCGACCCGACCCAGACCUUCGUAACUUGUCUUCUUCGCGACCAAAUCGCUGAAAUCCAGCGAAAUCCAGACGAGAACAGUCGCUCAGACCGGAAAUCCCCCAGCAAAUCGCGUCCUCCUCUUCCCUUCUCCCUUCUUGUCCGUUGAAAAUUGUUACAAUGGACAACUUUAUUUCUUAUCUCUCCAAGAUUUUAAAUUUCGAAUUCAAAUUUUCAAUCCGUUUUCCCCCUUUAAAUAUGCCCUUUCACCCCUUUAUAAAUGGCCUCAUGAGUUUUCAUUGAAGGAGGAGAAGAAAAAUUAAGAGAAUAUAGUUUACAGAGACACAAAAAAUACCGACAGAACAGCCUGAAAGAAAGUAAAAAAAAAAAAACAAAGAGUUUGAGUCUCUUCUAUUCGAAUUCGAAGUUGUUUGUUUUUCGGAGCUCAUCUAAAUCUGCUCACAGUGGUGGAAGUUCUUGGUGGUUAAGCUCGUCGUCCUAGUCUCGCUGCUCCGAAGAAGAUAACAUCCCUUUUUCGAUUUUAGAUUUCUUUGUCGUGGGCCAAGAAUCGCUUAGUUCAUGGCUUGAUAUUGUGAUCUUGUUGCUCAACUGAUGUGACGACUGUUCAUUUCUUGAUCAUUGGAAAUCAUUUAGAUGUCAGAAUUCUGAGAGUGUUGACGACAAGUCGGUGGUAUGACUUGUUUGAUAUUCAUGUUGUUUGCUUGAUCUUUGUUUCCUUGAAGUCUUAAUGAUUCCGUUCAGUCUCGAGUUUGUUUCUCCUUGGUCCAAGUCCUCUUAGUUCACUGUUAAGCUUGUUUGGUUGGCUGUUGAAAAUGAUUAUUCAGAGACCAUUUCUCUAUAGGUGAUUUUGGUUUUCAUAAUCUGAUGUAUGGGCUAUUUCUUCUUCUCAUUACUCUAGCUAGUAAAAUUGUAUGAGCUACAUCAUCCCUUUUUCAUGGUGUUUGCUCCAUCUAUAUUCGACUAAGUAACAUAGUUCAUAUGUUAGUUGUUUGCAGCUUUAAAAUCUUAUUUGUAAUAGUGUUAGUCGUAGUCUUUGUUUCCUUGCACGUUGAGUUGAUUUAUCUCGAGUUUGACAUAGUUUACAUCAAGUUAAGAUAGAGUAGAUAAAUUGAUCAUUUAAGCUAGCUGUCUUAGGGCUAAUUUUAGACUUAAUGGAAUAUAGUUUUGGGUUAGUGUCAAUGGCAACAUUAUCUUUUAUGUUUUCUUGUUUGGAUGUUUGCUAGUUUCCAGUAGAUUGCUUUAUUUUCUUUUAUGAUUGUUUAAAUAAUACUUGAUGACAAACAAUCUUUUAAUAGUUUACAAGAUGCAUGUAGAUCAUAUGUUUAGAACUUCUAAUUACUCUUCGUGUAUCUUAAGUUGAAUGAAAAAUGGAAAUUCAGGCGCCAUCUGUUCUUAUUUUCUUUCACUGUGAAGAAAUUAUUUGUUUUAGUUUUGUCCAAAAUUUAGAGAACUUUGUUUUCCUUCUCCUUUGUUGAAUAUGUCGGAUUAUUGUUUGUUGUGGUUUCUAUAGCUUGUUUUAUUUUGACUCACUACUAUGAGUAUUAGUUUUUAUUUUUUGUUUAUGUCUCAUGUGAACUUGUCGUGGAGUCCAAUUUGGACUCAAAUCUAUCUUCUUUGCAUAUCGUUGAGUUAUUUUGAGUCAGCCGGGUGAUCCAAAUAGGGCUGUACAAGGCUAGAAAACUGAAACAAGUCUUGGAAAGCUGAAAUAGGGCUCUUGGAAGCCAAAAACGCAGGUGGAAAAAGGCGAAUAUACAAUGAUAUACAACAGAUAUACAUCGAUAUACAGGUCAAGAAAUGAAAAAUACAGGGCUAAGGAGAAAUAAAGCUGUUCGGAAGCAAGAAAUACAUGAAAAGAACUGAUAUACAUGCUCAUAUACAUUGAUAUACAGUCGAUGUAUACAAAAAAAGGAAAUUUGGUGAAAGGCCAAAUUUGCAGCGAAAUUGGCCCAAGAAGGGGCCCAAUUUCAUUAUCUCGUUUACACUUCUAAUCGUUUGAUUAUGUGUUGACUAAUCUUAUUUAACUCUAACUUUAAAUAACUUGAUUAGAUUCCCCAAAAAGACGAGUCAUUUUCGUUGUGUUGGUUUAUUUUAAUACAUUUCACCUGUUGUGUUCACUUAUUUUAUUAAUCAAUUAUUGAUCAAAUUUUAUAUUUUAAUUAAGUUAAAUCUUUGUUCUUAAAAAAGAUAUGUUUUAAGGCCGCUUCACUUGAUAACAUUUUAUUUUAAAGUGGCUUUAAGUUAAAGUAUUUUUUCUCAAAUGAACUAAAAAAGAAAAAAUAGUUCCCUCUCUACUUAGUCAUUUACUCAAAAAGGUUAGUCAAAACUUUUAUUCUUCAAUUAAUUUAAAAUGGUUCCAUACUUAAAUUAACAAAUUUAGUUUAAAUUAUUAUUUUAAAAGUGUAUCAAAUAAUUUCUAAUUAAUCUAGUUUUGUUAGAAUUCUAUCCAUUCGCACCUUAAUUCAAAUGUUUCAUUUUAGGUCCAUUUCUCUAAAAAUGAAAUAAUAUAAAAUGUGUCAUUUAUUUAAUUAUUUUUCUCGAAGUUAACCAAAUGUUGUACAGUAUUAUUCUCAUGUUAAAUCAUUUUUCUAAAGAUAGUCAAUAUAUAUUUUUUAGUCAAAUCGCAGGUCAACCGCAUGUUAGCGGACACUUCGAAUGCUUAAAUCCUUCUUGAAGUGUAAAUUGAACCCCGAACCAUCUUUGGUAUUUUCAAAUGAUUUUUUCUGUUUAAAUCUUUGAAAAUUAUAAGUUUUCUUAAUUUCUUAAAAAAAUUAAGUGGCGACUAUUUUCUAAGUAUUUUCUCAAAUUGAAUAUUUAGAACAUUUCAAAAAGUGAUUUUUCUAAAGGUUAGUUAAAUUACGACACAACACUACUAUCAUUUCUUCAUUAUAAAUUGAGAUCCGAAUAAAGACUCAUCUUAUUUCAUAUCAUAUGUGUCAGAAGCAUCAAAUGAUGUUUUAUGAGGUGGGGGAAUCCUAAUCCAAUGCCCUAAGCUUGCGGUGACAGAAUGCUGUUAUGUCCCUGGAGAUUCAAGAGACUGAUUUGGGGUUCUUGCAGAGUGGAACCAUGCAGUACCAGACACGAGAUAGAUCUUCCAAAGAACAAGGCCUUUUUCGAAUAAGCCAAUUCAUUUUGGACCCUGCAGAUCCACUCUUUUUCCUAUUCAAAGAUUAGCCUCCUGGCUCUGUGUUUUCACUUUUGCUGCAAUAGAGGAGAUUUCCAUUGGACUAGUUAAAAGACUUAGAUAACACACCGGGUUUACAUAAGAAAAAGUUCACGUAGAGAAAAGAGAUUAGACUAGUCAUUGCACUAGUAGCGUCUACGAGCCUCCCGCUUCGGUACCAUCUCCUUUUUUACCAGCCGAGCUGCCCUGUCAACCCUUUGCGGCACUUGCUUCCUAGAUAGAACUCACACAACGCAAACAUCAUAAAUGAGAACUAAGCAUAGUCUGACUCCCUAGGUCUUAUCUAUGUCAUCCGUUAAAAAUUUGGUUCAUCUAUAUCAUUUUCGUUUGAGAAAAAGACUCCUCCAUACCAUAGAGAAAAAGAAAAAGUGAAUCUUUUGAAGCAAAGAGAGAGAUAAUCCUAGUUUAUCGUAGGUAAAGCUUAGAGCUGAGUUUUACCAGCUGAUGCUGCUUCAACAUCAUCUUCUUUGAAUCCCUGAUAUGAGGGAACUAUCCUUAUGGCACCGCGACUAGUGUUGGCAUGAUAGUCUGCAAGAGCUAGUAAGAUUGAUAUGUGCAUUACUUUUCCCACAUCUGUUUCCAGAUCAAGAAUUAUACCCACAUCCACCUUUACAGCACUAGUGUUAUUAUCUUCACCUCUUAUUCCAAUUACAUAGUGGCAAAAACCAAUGAUGGAAACAAGUUGAAUGAAGAUAAUUAGGGAUUUGCAUCUUGGAUUAUGCAUUUGAAAAAACUCUGGUAGCAAGUAGUCUGAGAGAUGGGCAACAAGCAGUUGUGCUUGUGCAAGAUAACCACACAUUCAGAAUGAUAAAUUUUCCUAUAAUUAAUAAGACCAAACUCCAUAAAUGCAGAAACAAAAGUCAAAGAACAAAUGGUUGAAAAUCAAGUAUUCGUUUGAUUAUUGAAAGUGAGGACUUUUCACAUAUGCUACAACCGCACAGCUAGUAAGCAUACUACCCCUCAGGUUUGACUAAAUAAAAAAUUGGCAAAAUUGAUUGGUACUCAUUCCCCCAACUCAUUCUCCCAAUUAUAACCUAUGACGUUUGUGUAUUUAACUAUCUAGAGUCUAUUAAAAGGACUUCCCACAUUUUGGCUAAGUCAUGCAUGGUGAAAGUUGAGAGCUAGCUCAGUUCCAAAUAAGUAGAAGAGACCAUUGUUUCUAUGACUUGGAAAAGAGUAGCUAUGACUAGUAAUCUUUAGCUUACACGGUUUCAGUUUAGAAUUGGUUAGUAGUAUUAACUUGCUUGCAAUUUGCAAAACCAAACAAAGCAAACACACCCAACAUGGAAAUGGAAUCUUGGAAUGAGGAUGGCUGGGUAAUUAGGUGUUUGGGGUUCUAGAUUUUAGAACAGAACAAUAACUUUAAAUAUAACCGACAAAUUAACGAACGACAAUAUAUAAGAAACGAGAUUUUUUUUUAUUUUAAGAUGAGUGGAACUUCUUCUUUUUUUUUUUGCCUUUUCUAAUUGUUAAUCUUAUAUAUUUUUUAAUUUAUUUGUGAAAUUUGCAUAAAUAGCAAUUUUUUUAAUUUAAGAUGAGUGGAACUUCUCUUUUUUUUUUUUUUUUUGCUCUUUCUAAUUGUUGAUCUUAUAUUUUUUUAAUUAAUUUUUAUUUUUUAUUUGUUGAGGUUUGUCAUUAAAUUAGCCGAAGAGGUUUCAAACCCACAACUCUAGCAUGGGAAAGCAUUCCCAAGACCCCUUCCUUACCACUAAGCCAUCAAUUAGUUUUGUUAAGGGGUUCACAAGUUAAAAUACAUAUAUAUUUAUUUAAUUUUUUAAUACAAGUAUAGAGUUUACAUAAAAGCUAUUGGGUUCGCCCGAACCCCCACUAAGAUAGGCAUAAAAGUAUCAAUACAUUUAUUUUUAUGAAGGUAAAUACCAUUAGAUGUAACUUUUCAAGAAUGAAAACAUGUAUUAAAACAAAACUGAAAAGAGUAAUAACAUAAGUGAGAAAAAAGACAAGAAAUGUAGAGAGACAAGAGAGAGUUUUCUUAUUCUUCCAAGUAUAUUCAAGUGUUUUCCAAAUCUUCAAGUGCAUAAUACAAUCUCAAGACCUCUAUUUAUAUUGUUAUAAAAAGACAUACAAAGAGAUAACAAUAAACAUGAUAUUAAUUUUUGAGAAUGUAGGGAAGAUAAAGCGGUGUAGAAGAUAAAUGAGGAGAUGGUGAAGGUGUGAGUAUUAUUACAUAUAAUGGUGAAAUUACACCUUGAAGUUAUGGACAUCCACAUUAAUAUAAUAUAUUUACAACAAAACAUUAAUUAUAUAUAAAUAAUAACUAAAUUAAAAAUGAUGAGAAAAACAUAAAAAUGCCCCAAAAAAGGAGAAAAAAAUUAAAUAUGAAUAGAGGUCAUAGAGAGGUGUCACGUCACCUUGUUUAUAUCUAGUGUGUAUAAGAAAAUAUUAAAUAUAUUUUUAAAUAAUUAAUGUCAUUAUUUGAUAAAUAUUCUAAUAAAUAAUAUAAUAAAAGGGAGAAAUACAAAUUAAGUUACAAUUCUGAUAUUAUCUAUUCAGAAAAAUUGUUAAAAAAGUUUCAUGCUACAAUUUCAAUUUAAAAUUGCUGAUAAAAAGAUGAAAAUAUAAAAUUGAUAUGAAAAGAUUUAGUUAAAUAAACAAUCUAAUUAUCAUAGUUUCAUACUAAAUUUCAUGAUUUUAUAGCAAUAUUUAUUGAUUCAACCAUUAAUAUUAAAUCUACUUUAUCGUAAAUUAUGUGACUUUUUUUUUUUUUUGUAUAAAUGACUAUAUAAUAGAAAUAAGAAAAUCAAAAUAUAUUUGUGCUAAAUCAUCGUGAGGGAAAAAAAUAUUUGAAUUAUAUUCGAACAUAGUUAUACACAAAAUUCAAAAGUUAGAGAUUUUUUUUUGAAUAUCCGAUGCUCGUAGUGACACUCAUUUGAUACAUAUUUGUGUUGCAUAAGAUCCAUUAAUAUUUUAAUUUAUAUUUAAACUUUCAUUCUUAUAGUGUGCAUUGUGAAAAGAGAUACUUAAGUUGCUACAGUGAAACAUUACCGUUGAGGUUAUACUUUUACAAUAAAAAUAAAAUAAAAUUAAACACAUAAUUUUGUCGUAUUAAGAUUAUCAGAUAGUGAUGAAGAAAUAAAAAUUUUAAAAAAAUAUGAGUAUGUAGUGUUCAAGAUGUAGAAAAAGUGUCAAGAGUUAGAUAAUUCUUUUCAAUUUAUAUAUAUAUGUGUGGGACAAUAAAAGUUUAACAACAUCAGAAUAAUUAUUCCUAUUAUUACAAUAUUAUUGUUGUAAUUAUUAUAAAUAAAUUAGAGCAAUAACUCUCCAAAAGAUAACUCCAUUUUUUGAUGUGGGAAAAUAAAAUAAUUUUUUUUUACUUUCAAUAAUAAUAAAUUUAAACACAAAUUUGUUAUUAAGAGAAUUAAAUGAUGAAAUUUAAAAAAAUUCUUGAUAAAUAAGAGAGUUGAAUAAAUUAUUUUUUAGUAUAUAUAUAUACACACACUUGAUUAUUUUUAGGGAAAAGGGUAAAAAAUAUCCUCAAUUUUAGUUUAUUAGUUAAAUAUACCCCUAUCGUUGAAACAAAGUUAUUCAUACCAUCACCGUUACUAAUUUCACCAUUUAUACCCCUCAAUUGACGGAAAUUCCUAAAUCAAACAAAAUUGACCCGAUUUCUUAAAAAAUGACUCAUUUUCCAUUUUAAACCUAUGUCCGACCCAUCUAUCUAUCUUAAACCCAAAAGAAUUUAACCCAUUUUCUAUACCCAUUCAAAAAAGAAAAUUCAUUUGGAGCUACUUGGGAGAAUGAAUUAUAGGUGACAAAAAAGUGUUGAAAUGUAAAAAGAGUGACUCUAGUUUUAAUUAUUAAGUGUACGUGACAAAUUUUUAAUUAAUUUUUAAAAAUAAUUAUAUAGGUCCUCAAGUUUUUAUUUUUACACUUUCACCCAAAUUUAAGUAAACCCCUAAUUUCUAAAAUAGGAAAACCCCCAAAUCAGUUCUUUUUUGUUCUCUCCCAACGUCCCGCUCUUUUCACAUUUUUUUUGCUUCUAAUCUUCAUCACUAGCGCUUCUUCUUCCUCUUAUUGUAGCUUAUUGUAGAUUUCUUAUUUGCAGAAUUUGAGAAGGGAAAAUCUCAAAUUUUAAUUCAACACGUGAUUUGAAAAGGUCUAAACUUUAGAAAUCACUUCUUAACUGAUAAUUUUCAAUCAUUUUAACAAGUUAAUAGUAUUGUUUGUGUGCAUUAUUCAUUUAAAAAUUUGAUUUUUAUAUUAUUGUUCUUGUCACUGAUGUAUAAUAAUUUUCAGCAACUGAUAUGACUAUUUCAGUAAUUUACAACAAUUGCUGAAUGUUUUUGUUGAAUAAAUUGCCGCAACUGCUAUAUAUAUUUCAGCAGUUGCUGAAUAACUUACAACAAUUGUGAUAUUUUAAUAUAAUAUUUUUAUGAUCAAUUUUUAGUUCUAAGUUACAAUAUUUUCAAGUAUCUUCAACAUCAUUAAUGGGAGAUAGAAUAGUAGUACCGAUUGAUUGUAAUGGUGAAUGGGUUGAGUCUAACAAUCGUUAUAUUUAGCGUUGGAAGAGUAAAGAAUUGUCCGCGACAAUUGCGAUGAGUGUGCAUCGAGAUAUUGCAUAUGAUGAUUUUGCGAAUAAAAUCAUUACUUGUUGUAAAAUUGUGAGUUGGAAGAUAUUGUGAUCACUUACCUGCAUAGUUGUGGUGAAAAGCAGAAGAUUAAGGAUCUACAUGGUUGAAAGAUUGGUGGAGAAUCAUAAUUUAUGUGAUGACCAACAAGUGUUGAACGAUGAAUGUGGUAGGAUGAAUAUGAAUAUUCCAAAUGAAGAGUGUGAAGGUCAACAUAUUCUUUCUCAUGAAGUUCGGAAUGGAUUGCCCAUUAUUGGUGAAGUUGUUGAUAGGCAAGUACUAUGAACUCAUAAAUUUACUUAUUUCUAAAAGUUCAUCCUCUUUGUACACUUAAUUAAUUUUUGCUUUAGCUGAUAAUUAAUUAACUUAAUGUAGUCAUGCUCAAGAUGAUGGAACCGAUUUUUACAAAGAUAUGUCAUUUAAGAAUAAACAAGAAUUAGAUAUUGCAUUGAAAAUUGCUUGUGUCAAAAAAGAUUUUAGAUUGAAGAAGGUAAUUAAUUCGUGUUCAGUGUAUUGUGUCAAAUGUGAGCAUCUUGAGUGCAAGUGGUGGCUAAGAGCGGUGAAAGUUGAAAAUUCUGAUAGAUUUUUAUAUUAAAAAAGUAUGAAAAAAUGCAUACAUGUGGCUUGGAACAUCUUACGAGUCAUAAUCCACAUGCCACAACAAAAGUCAUUGGAGCAUACUUCAAAGAUAGAUAUCCCAAAGGUAAAGGUCCAUUUACAAAAGAUUUGAAAAACUCUAUCUGUAUUGAAUUGGGAUGCAAGGUUAGUUAUUGGAAAGUUGGAUGGGUAGCGAGAUUGCAAAGUCUUUGGUAAGAGGGACACAUGAACAUGGAUAUGGAGUGAUUGAUGCGUAUAAUCAUAUGCUUAGGACAUCUAAUCCGGGAAGUAAAACGGCGUUGAAGAUUGAUGAAAAUGGCAGGUUCAAGUUACUUUUUGUGACAUAUGGAGCUUCGAUUCUUGGUUUCGCACAAAUGAGAAAAGUCAUAGCUGUUGAUGGGACAUUUUUGAGAAGUAAAUAUGGUGGUGUGUUGUUGUCUGUUGUUACAUAGGAUGCGGAGAAUCAUAUUUUUCCGGUGGCAUUUUGCGUAGUAGACUCUGAAUGUGAUGCUUCCUACCGAUACUUUUUCGAGCAAUUGAGAAGUUUUGUACUUGAUAUUCCUGAAUUGUGCAUAAUCUCUGAUAGACAUCAAAGUAUUAGAAAGAUGGUUUCAAUUGUAUUUCCUUCAGCUCAUUAUAGUUGUUGCAUGAGGCACUUAGGAGAAAAUAUUCGAAAUAAUUUUCACAAUGCGAGUGUUGUCUACCACUUUUAUAAGGCGGCAAAAACAUACAAUAUUGAUGUGUUCAGUGAUCAUUUUAAUCGGAUAAAAGAUUUGGUUCCACAGGCUACCACACAUCUUGAACGCGUUGGAUUUCACCGAUGGAGCAGGGCAUUCUUUCCCGGAAAUAGGUAAAUUUUAUUAUAGUUAUUAUUGAUAGUUGGUAUAACUACUGCAGCUUUUUUAUAGCUACUGCUGCACUUAUUUCAGCACCUGCUGAGAAAUAUGCAACAAUUGCUAUAAAAACCAUACAACAGUUAUAAACACAUACUUAUAAUAUAUUAUUGGACACUUAUAUGUUACAGGUACAAUAUUAUGACGACAAAUAUUGCUGAGUCGGUUAACUCAAUGUUUCUUGAUGAAAGAAAAUAUCUCAUUACUGGUCUAUUUGAUGCAAUAAACAGGCGAUUUGCAGAAAAAUUUCAUGAGAGGCGUAUGAAAUUCAUUAAUGCACCAACCAUCUUCGUCCCUUUGAUAGAAAAAGACAUUGCAAAAGAUAUUAAUCUGGAGAACAAGCUAUUGGUCCAUCAAACUGCCAACUACAAGUAUAUUGUCACCAGUCAUAAUGAAGUUGCAACAGUUGAUUUGCUAGCCAAAUCUUGUACUUGUAAAGUCUUUGACAUUGACAAAGUACCUUGUCCACAUGCUAUGGCAGCGCUUCGAUGUCAAUAUGGUGAUGACUAUGGGAGACACAUUUAUGAGUACUCCUCUUUGUAUUACAAAGCAGAGGUAUACCUUAUUGCAUAUGUGGAGGAAAUUAAACCAGUUCCAUCUGAAGAAACUUGAAAAGUUCCUAUUGAGAUUUUAGAGAGAAAAAUAUCUUCUCCAUUUGUUGAGCCAGGCAAGGUUGGAAGAAGGUCCUCAAAAAGACAAAAAGGAAUCGGGGAAUCAUUUUCAACAAAGAAAAAUAAAUGUUCUUUAUGCAAAAGAAUUGGUCACAAGAGAACUAAAUGCUCCGAGCGAAAUGUUGCAUAAAAAUACAUUUGUUCUUCUUGUUUUUUGUGAACAUAUUUGAUCUUAUCUUUUUUGGUACUAAUUGUUGUUUUUGUUGUUAUUAUUUGUGAACACAUUUGAUCUUAUCUAUUUUGGUACUAAUUGUUGUUAUUUUGAUUGUAAGAGCAUAUUUUAUUUUAUUGUUAUUCUUAUUAUUACUUUAUUACUUGUUGUAGAGAAUUUUAGCAAUUGCUAUAUAAAGUACAACAACUUACUUACUUUUCAGUAGAAAAAUUCAGCAAUUGCUAUAAAAAGUACAAUAAUUUUCAUGCUUGUUGUAGAAAUUUAAACAAUUGUUGUGCAUAUUCAAAUAACUAUCUCAUUAUACAAGAUCACUAUCUAAUAUAAAUUUUAUUUUAAAAUUAAAUCAACACUACUUUAUUUAUCAUUAAAUAUGAGUGUUACAAACAAUAAACAAUCAAUUAGCCAAUUAAUUUGCUUACUUGUUAAAGAAAAUUUUAGCAAUUGUUAUAUAAAGGACAACAACUUUCUUACUUGCUGUAGAAAAGUUCAGCAAUUGCUAUGAAAAGUACAAUAAUUUUCGUGCUUGUUGUAGAAAUUAAAGCAAUUGUUGUAAAAUAACACAACAACUCGUUUAAUUGCUGUAGAGAAUUGUAGCAAUUGCUAUGAAAAGUACAACAAUUUGCUUAAUUGNNNNNNNNNNNNNNNNNNNNNNNNNNNNNNNNNNNNNNNNNNNNNNNNNNNNNNNNNNNNNNNNNNNNNNNNNNNNNNNNNNNNNNNNNNNNNNNNNNNNNNNNNNNNNNNNNNNNNNNNNNNNNNNNNNNNNNNNNNNNNNNNNNNNNNNNNNNNNNNNNNNNNNNNNNNNNNNNNNNNNNNNNNNNNNNNNNNNNNNNNNNNNNNNNNNNNNNNNNNNNNNNNNNNNNNNNNNNNNNNNNNNNNNNNNNNNNNNNNNNNNNNNNNNNNNNNNNNNNNNNNNNNNNNNNNNNNNNNNNNNNNNNNNNNNNNNNNNNNNNNNNNNNNNNNNNNNNNNNNNNNNNNNNNNNNNNNNNNNNNNNNNNNNNNNNNNNNNNNNNNNNNNNNNNNNNNNNNNNNNNNNNNNNNNNNNNNNNNNNNNNNNNNNNNNNNNNNNNNNNNNNNNNNNNNNNNNNNNNNNNNNNNNNNNNNNNNNNNNNNNNNNNNNNNNNNNNNNNNNNNNNNNNNNNNNNNNNNNNNNNNNNNNNNNNNNNNNNNNNNNNNNNNNNNNNNNNNNNNNNNNNNNNNNNNNNNNNNNNNNNNNNNNNNNNNNNNNNNNNNNNNNNNNNNNNNNNNNNNNNNNNNNNNNNUUGUAGAAAUUUAAGCAAUUGUUGUAAAACAAUAUAACAUUUCGUUUAAUUGCUAUAGAGAAUUGUAGCAAUUGCUAUGAAAAGUACAACAAUUUGCUUAUUUGCUGUAGAGAAUUUCAGCAAUUGCUGUAAAAAAUACAACAACUUAUUUAAUUGCUGUAGAGAAUUUCAACAAUUGGAUGAGUCAAAUCCUCACCUUCAACUAGUUCACUAACAACAUCACAAUUCUUUUUUUCGAUUAAAAUAUCGAUUCUUCAAUUUCAAAAUACCAUAUUCACUAAUGUACAACAAAAGUGAAUUAAAAGUGUAGCANNNNNNNNNNNNNNNNNNNNNNNNNNNNNNNNNNNNNNNNNNNNNNNNNNNNNNNNNNNNNNNNNNNNNNNNNNNNNNNNNNNNNNNNNNNNNNNNNNNNNNNNNNNNNNNNNNNNNNNNNNNNNNNNNNNNNNNNNNNNNNNNNNNNNNNNNNNNNNNNNNNNNNNNNNNNNNNNNNNNNNNNNNNNNNNNNNNNNNNNNNNNNNNNNNNNNNNNNNNNNNNNNNNNNNNNNNNNNNNNNNNNNNNNNNNNNNNNNNNNNNNNNNNNNNNNNNNNNNNNNNNNNNNNNNNNNNNNNNNNNNNNNNNNNNNNNNNNNNNNNNNNNNNNNNNNNNNNNNNNNNNNNNNNNNNNNNNNNNNNNNNNNNNNNNNNNNNNNNNNNNNNNNNNNNNNNNNNNNNNNNNNNNNNNNNNNNNNNNNNNNNNNNNNNNNNNNNNNNNNNNNNNNNNNNNNNNNNNNNNNNNNNNNNNNNNNNNNNNNNNNNNNNNNNNNNNNNNNNNNNNNNNNNNNNNNNNNNNNNNNNNNNNNNNNNNNNNNNNNNNNNNNNNNNNNNNNNNNNNNNNNNNNNNNNNNNNNNNNNNNNNNNNNNNNNNNNNNNNNNNNNNNNNNNNNNNNNNNNNNNNNNNNNNNNNNNNNNNNNNNNNNNNNNNNNNNNNNNNNNNNNNNNNNNNNNNNNNNNNNNNNNNNNNNNNNNNNNNNNNNNNNNNNNNNNNNNNNNNNNNNNNNNNNNNNNNNNNNNNNNNNNNNNNNNNNNNNNNNNNNNNNNNNNNNNNNNNNNNNNNNNNNNNNNNNNNNNNNNNNNNNNNNNNNNNNNNNNNNNNNNNNNNNNNNNNNNNNNNNNNNNNNNNNNNNNNNNNNNNNNNNNNNNNNNNNNNNNNNNNNNNNNNNNNNNNNNNNNNNNNNNNNNNNNNNNNNNNNNNNNNNNNNNNNNNNNNNNNNNNNNNNNNNNNNNNNNNNNNNNNNNNNNNNNNNNNNNNNNNNNNNNNNNNNNNNNNNNNNNNNNNNNNNNNNNNNNNNNNNNNNNNNNNNNNNNNNNNNNNNNNNNNNNNNNNNNNNNNNNNNNNNNNNNNNNNNNNNNNNNNNNNNNNNNNNNNNNNNNNNNNNNNNNNNNNNNNNNNNNNNNNNNNNNNNNNNNNNNNNNNNNNNNNNNNNNNNNNNNNNNNNNNNNNNNNNNNNNNNNNNNNNNNNNNNNNNNNNNNNNNNNNNNNNNNNNNNNNNNNNNNNNNNNNNNNNNNNNNNNNNNNNNNNNNNNNNNNNNNNNNNNNNNNNNNNNNNNNNNNNNNNNNNNNNNNNNNNNNNNNNNNNNNNNNNNNNNNNNNNNNNNNNNNNNNNNNNNNNNNNNNNNNNNNNNNNNNNNNNNNNNNNNNNNNNNNNNNNNNNNNNNNNNNNNNNNNNNNNNNNNNNNNNNNNNNNNNNNNNNNNNNNNNNNNNNNNNNNNNNNNNNNNNNNNNNNNNNNNNNNNNNNNNNNNNNNNNNNNNNNNNNNNNNNNNNNNNNNNNNNNNNNNNNNNNNNNNNNNNNNNNNNNNNNNNNNNNNNNNNNNNNNNNNNNNNNNNNNNNNNNNNNNNNNNNNNNNNNNNNNNNNNNNNNNNNNNNNNNNNNNNNNNNNNNNNNNNNNNNNNNNNNNNNNNNNNNNNNNNNNNNNNNNNNNNNNNNNNNNNNNNNNNNNNNNNNNNNCAAUUCUUUUUCGAUAAUGGUCUCAUUCACUUUUCCCUUUUUCUUUUUUCUAGCACUUGACAAUGCCUCCGAAAUUUGUCUCUUUGUUCUUUUAACAUAGUCGGGAGUAUAUGGAUGAGAGAUCUUUGAUGAUGGCCUAAUACCUCUCUUAGACUUCAUGGUGACGAUAACUUUCUCUAAAGACUCAAUCUUAGUAUUCAUGGUGACGAUAGUUUUCUCUAAAGACUCUACUCUGACAUUCAAUAAAUCUAUCUACUUACUACUCUACUUAAUUGAAAAUAAAAAAUGAAAUGGAGGUGCACCCAAACUGUGGAGCAGCAACCUGUGAUCCAUUCGGUUAACCACAUGUUCUUUUUACUCGCGAAAAUAGUGCCUUCGACCUGACUUUCUGAAAUGGGAUUCCGAGAAGGUGGAGUUCAAUAACCCAGUUCAGUGACCGAGGAGAGGUUGAGAAGAAGACAAUGAAUGGAAUGGUCGUUCUUGACAGAUCCGAUCGGGUGUUCAUAAUCUGGAGUAAAAGGAUUCGAACCUUUGCAUGCCGGUAUCCUUAGUGGAUGGAGUUUCUUGAAGACAAGGAACAUUCGAUGUGAGAAGAUGUUCCUACUCCAAAACCACCACUAAUAUCACCGAAGUCUCCUCCUCUUUCGAAAUCAACACCAUCAGUACAUCUAUCAACAUUUGGAGUAAAUUCUCCUCCCCCUCCAUCACCAACACCACUAAAAACUCUCUCAACAAUUGGAGAAGAUGCUCCUCCACCUCCUACAUCAAGAUUAUGCUCAUCAAUUAUGAUGUCUCUUUUUAUAGCCAAAACACCAUUCAAAUUUGUCUCAAACUUUUCAAUCUUAUCAUCCUUGGCUAAUUUCUUAGGCACAAACUUAGUGAAAAAUUCCAUUUCCAUUUCACUAGAUGUAGGAAUUAUCCAUGGAUGCACAAUCUACAUGUAAAAAUAAUAAUAAUUAAAAUGUGAUAAAGCAACUACUUUCUACAUGUAAAAAUAAUAAUAAUAAAAAUGUGAUAAAGCAACUGCUGCAUUUAAAUAUUAUUAUAUACCAGUUGUUCUAAUUGUUCCAGCAAUUGUUGUAAUAACUUCAACAAUUGACAGCAACUAAUUAAAUAAAUAAAACACUUGUUGAAAAGGCUACAUCAAAAACAGCAAAGCAACAACAAUUUCACUUUAACUAAAAAUGUUUAAAGAAUAAUGAUUACCGAGUCUUGAGGGGGAUCAAACAACUCAUUAAUGUUAGCUGAUUCGUUAUUAGUCACCAAAAGCCAUCGAAAAAUCCUUGGUGAAGACACUUGUUUCAAAAACACCUUAUAUUUCUUUUGGAGGAAAGGAACAACCUCAAAAUGCCCAACACUACAUAAAAUAAUCACAAAAAGAGAUCAAAAUAUUGGAAGCACCCAAAAAUAAAUGAAAUAAAUAUAUAUAUGAAUUAAAAUAAAAUAAAAUAAAAUUUAACCAUAAAGGCCCAUGGAAAGCCAUAAAGAUUGGUAGUCUUCCCAUCAACAGUCUUCACCGCUUUCAAUAGAUGCUUAAUUGUAGUAUCAUAGCUAAUACGACCCCAUGGAUAAGCAGAGAAAAAUCCACUUUUUUGGAAUAUUUGUAUUCACAUCUUUUCCACAAAGAAAGCUAUGAACAAAAUAAAGUAAACACAAUGAUUUUUUUACAUCUUUACUAAGAUUUUUGGGUUGGAGAUGUUCAAUCAACUCAUUGCUCUUGCAACUCCUUCCCACAACCUCAAGAAUUUCUUUUCGUCUCAUUUUUGUCUUAGUUGAUAUAUUUUCACCAUCAUACACUUCUUAAUUAUGGCAAUUUAAGCCGGUGAUGAUAACAAACUCCUUCAUUCCAAAACAAAUCAGCAUGCCACUAUAAUUUAUCCAAAUUUCUUCUUUUCGAUGGCUAUAAAUUUGACGGCGAAGAAGUUGGUAGACUAAACUCAUUUGAAAUCUUAUACGAUCUUCAAGUGGUAAGUAAUUUCCGAAAAUAGAAGAUCGAAAGAACUUUGCCAAUUUUGUUUUCUAAAAUCGUUCUAAAUUUAGAAAACUUACGUAACUCCGACUUAACAGUUAAAGAACCUCUUAAGUUUGGAUACAUAUCAAUCAUUGACUCCUAAUUGUAAUUUGCAUACCUAAUCGACUUAACAAUGAAGUUAUCGAGUGAAGGACUGAGCGGAGAAGACUCAACAAUAUGAGAUGUCUCCUUUUUUGGAAUGGCUAUAUCAUCUUGUUCCUCCUCAACUGCUCUAUCAUCUCUUUCUACAAUUGUAGAAGAAACAUCUAUUUCAUGUUCUCUUUCUUCUUCUAUAGAUUUUUUCAAAGUUGUGUUUUCUAGUUCUUCUUCUUCUCUUUUGUCUUUGUGUUCUGAUUCGCCUUUCAUACGUUUUAGUAGGAGUUGUUCGUUUUUUCCUUGGAGUCAUGGAUGCACAAUCUAUAUAUAAAAACAAUAAAAUCAAAAUGUAAUAAUAAAAAAAGACAAUUCAUUUUCAUUUAGAUAAUUUUGAAAGUUAGUUUCAAAACUACAUAAAGAAAUAGGGUAAACAAUUAUAAAUAUAUCAUCAAAAUUUGGCUGGAUGCAUGCUAUUUGAAGUAUAUAUGCAAAUCAUCUAUAUGCCAUCUUGUUUGGGAUUGAGGUAUAGUAAUUAUUGUUGUUGUAUAUAAAGCAUGCUAUAAAAUAAGGUAACAACAACAUCAGGAAGUGACAAAAUCAUAUUACAUUUUUCCUCUUAAAUCAUGAACAAAAUCAUAGGCUUGAAAAAAAUGAAUAUGUUACUAGUUACUAUAUAAUACAUUAUGUGAAACACACCCACCAAGAGUUAAUGAACAUCAUAAUAUUGGAAGAUAACAACUAAUACAAGUGCUCAACUACCAAUGAUCAAACUAACUUAAGACUAAGAAAAAUAAAUGAUCUCUAAGAACAACAUUCUCCAUAAGAUGAGCAACAAUUAAAGGUCCAAGAAAGACACCUCUAAUGUCUCAAACAUUUACCUAAAAAAAUCAAACUUAUUUUUUCCUAUAGGAAACAAGAACCUAAAACAGGGCAAAACAUUAAAAUGCAGACAUUAAAGAGCCAUCAAUCACCACAUAGAAGAAGAUAAGAAUAACCCCACAUAGAUAACAAAAAAAAACAGAAGAAGGAUCAAUGAAAGCACACAAAUCUUGUGUAAAAGACCCACCUUUUUUCCGCAAUAAAACCCUACCAAGCAAAAUCGUUAAACCCACAAACUUCCAUAUGCUAAAAACAAAGAAGGUCUAAUAAAACCCAAUGGAAAGAAAAGAAAAGAGUGUUACCUUGAGGUAGAUGACGACUAUGACAAAGAAGACCAAGACGAAGGUAUUGGAAGUUGCCAACAAUUUUUUCGCAACAAUGUCGUCUGCCUUUGCUACAAGCUGUUGCAAGGAAGAAAAAGAAAGACAAUUGGGAAUGGGUUUCAAGCUGUUGCAAGAAAGAAAGAAAAGAAAGACUAUUGGGAAUAGGUUUAUUUGAAUAUUUUUAAAAGUUUAGAAGUUUUAAAUAUUACAUUUUAAUCCCCAAUUAUCUUAAUCACUAAUUAAGAAGGGGUUUGACUUGGUCUUUUUUUUUUUGUCACCAAUUUUAAUUUUAAGACAUUUUUGUCACCUUCUCCUGAAUUAUCUCGAGCUACUUCUCCAAUUGUGUUUCCCCAAUUCUGCCAUGAUUCUUCAUUUGAACUUUAUUUUUUCUUUAACAACAAUGGAGCAGCCAAGAAAUACUAGAAAAUAAAAUGAAAACAACCGGUCAAUGGAGUAAAUUUUAUCAGAAAAAAUAAAGUUUUUUUUGGAGCAAUAAUUUUGUUGAUCGAAUUUAACAACAGGGAAGAGAGGGAGAUGUGGCGUGACGUGACUUCAAAGACAUUGUCGAGCAGCACCUAAACACACAAAAAUCGAUCCGAUCUGAGCACUUUUAGACGAGUAUGAUGACUCUACUAAUGGAGGAAAGAGAAGAAGGAGAGUGGCAUCGUGGUUAGCCAUGGCCGUUUCCGAAGCAAACCGUCGUCGCCGGAGCUCGAAGCAGAUCAUAGCAGUCAUGAAAGUAAGGAAAAUAAAGACAAUUAAAUAUCAAAUGAUAUUAUGAACAUAAUUAUUAAUAUAAUUUAGGAGUUAUGAUCAUCAAAAGUCAUGAAAAUAAAGACAAGUAAAAUUUUCUAUUAAAAAAUAUAAAUAAAUGAAGGAAUAUAAUUGACAUAUUCAGUUUUGUACAACAAUAAGAUAUAUAUAAAUAAGAAAAAUUAUCAAAAAAUGAGAAAAAAAGAAGUUAAAUAUGAUUCUUGGCCAAAAAAAUGUGUCACGUCACUUUUCUUUUAUCUAGAUAAUUUAUAUGUUGGUAAAGAAAGUAGAUUGAGAGAGAAAAAUAAUUUUACUAAGUCGUUUAUAUCCUAAUCAAAUACUUUUGCAUUUUGAAUUCGGACCAGAUCAUAGCAGUAAUUUCUGAAAUUUCAAAAACUUAAGAACUUCUAACAAUAACAAUAAAAAAAAAAUUAAAAUAAGAAGAUCACAAAGUUACAUAUUAAUAGUUAAAUUUUUUUAUGAAUUAAACUGUAUUUUGAAAAUUAAUUAACUUUACAUUCUCAUGUUCUAUCAUUCAUCUAUUGGACUAAAAAUACCUUUGAACUAUUAGAAUAGGUCUAAAAAUACCCCUCAUUCAUCUAUUGGGCUAAAAAUACCCAUUUAUCCACCUUUUUGGUCCAUCUCUACCCUUAAAACUAACAACCACUUUUUUAAAAAAUUAUUAUUAUUAUUAUUUGUUACAUGUCAUUUUCUUAUUGGAUAAAUUAUCUCAACCCAUUUAAUUUUCCCCUACCCACCCAUUGUAGUGAACAUGAUCAAACCCAAUUAGAAGACCCAUUAAAAAAUAAAUUGAUUGAAUCUUUCUCCCCUAACCCCAAGCCUCUUUCGUCUUCCCUCUUUUCUUAUUCAAAAAUUUCAAGAUAAUAUUCAAUCAAAUAAUACAAUUUCCGCUGCAAUACUAACUUGAAGUUGAAGGAUUCAAGGAGUAUUGAUUUUUGCAGUCUUCUUUCCAUCACGUAGAAAACUACACCAAAAUCUAUCAAAAUUGCAUCUAAGCUAUAACAAAACAGAAGCAAACCUGCACCUAUAUUAUACCAAAAACUAAAUCAAAACUGUAAAAAAACAGAGGCCAAAAGGCAAUGAAAGUGCACCAUAAUGAGAUUAAAAACUGGACCAAAAUUUGAUGAUAAACAGCACCAAAGCUGGUCCAAAAACGAAAAUAAAAGUGGUUCAAAUUUACUUUAUUAACGAUGGAAUAUGUUACAAUGAAAUUUACGAAUUAUUCCAACUCCUUAAACGUAAGAAUAUUAAUCAAACUAAACACAAUUUCACUAUCAUACCAACAAUAAUUGUAAUUAUAAUUAAGAACAUUAUACUAACUAGACACCAUCAACAAAUUUUCAUAUCAUACACUUAUCUAGAUUGCAUUGGACAUUGUAUCAUUUGAUUGAAAGUAGUCUAGAAAUAUUUUGAAUAAGAAAAGAGGGAAGAAGAAAGAGGCUUGGGGUUAGGGGAGAAAAAUUCAAUCAAUUUAUUUUUUAAUGGGUCUUCUAAUUGGGUUUGGGUCAUGUUCACUACAAUGGGUGGGUAGGGGAAAAUUAAAUGGGUUGAGAUUUAAUUUAUCCAAUAGGAAAAUGACAUGUAACAAAUAAUAAUAAUAUUUUUUUUAAAAAAAGUGGUUGUUAGUUUUAAGGGUAGAGAUGGACCAAAAAAAUGGAUGGAGGGGUAUUUUUAGCCCAAUAGAUGAAUGAGGUAUAUUUUGUCGAGGGGGUUCGGAUGAACACUCUCCCUCCCUUGAUUUGCUCAUCGAUACUAUUAUUGUUAGUGCAAGAGGAAACUGCUAGGGAAGUUGCCUAUGAUAUAUGUUGGAGCAGAUGGGAUAUAAGAUUUUGAUUUGAUGGGUUCAAUUUUUAGAUUCUUAUCAUUGAGCCCGUUAUACUUUGAAAUUAUGGUGGGUUCAUGAUAUUCUAUUAUUAAUUAAAAUUUUAGUGAUUUUUCACAUAUACUUUUAUGAUCUGUGUCAAAAAUGCAAAUCUUAUACUUAUAUUCGCCAUCCGCCCUGUGUAACUGAACAUAUUACUGUUUGUCUUCCAUGUAGCAGUGAUCCUAAAACCUUUCCUUAUUUAUGAUCUGUAACUAUGUUCUUAUCCUCUAGGCUAGUUCUAGCACCUGCAUUAUAAAUUCACUACUACUAUAUCUUUCUUUCUUAUUGCAUUUGGGAUUUGCAGAUUGCUCUUUGUUAUCAAAACAUUGCACAAAUCUCUCAUGUGGUUAUUCACAUAUAACCCCCAUUAUUUCAUAUUUUAUAUAAGAAUUAUGUAAUCAAAAAAUAAUUUAGCAUCUUAUGUGUUGAUUUUGUUCUGUUAUUGUAACAUAACAAAACUACCUCAUUUGAAUUUCUUGAAAACGGAUGCAUGUAUUGAAUUCUUUCAUGCCACACGUAUUUCUUUAAAUUAUUCCAAACAUAAGUACAACAACAACAUAAGUAGUGAUGAAAAAUACAAAGUGAACAUAAAAUUGCUAAAGAAACAACUAAGAAAAAGUAAGGGUUGAAUCCAUCUAAUGGAAUCCUGGAGGCCACCUCUUGAUGCUAAUAUUAUGGCCAAGAGUGACAAAGAAAUAGUGUAAUCUGAUUUAACUAACCCUAAAGCUAGUUCAUCUCUGUACAAUCUCUUACAGGGCCCUAUUCAGGUGUGUCACAAUUAUGUUAGCAGCUAUAUGUGUCAUCUUUCUUCAAUCGUUCCUGACAUUGUUUCAUGAACUGGGGUUCCAGUUUCUGUUGUAGAGAACCCUUCAGAAGCACGGGAUUCUCCUAGGCCAUCGGAGAUUCCGAUUUCUGGGCUUUGCAAAGGAAGGUUGGGCGAUAAUUCAAUAGAAGCAUCACUUUCUGCAAACACUGUAGCCGUUAGGCUUUCAUUCCCUUCAGAUGGCUUUUUUGACAUAGAAUUAGAGUCGUCUCUCUUUAAAUCAAAGACUUUUGCUAUUGCACAAAGCUUUUUUCCUAUUGAAUCAUCAGUGACUAAGAUUUCUCUAUUCUGAUAAAGGAAGAUGAGGAAGAAUAGGAGAAGAGAGGAGCCUGCUGAUAGGAGAAGAGCGGAGCCUGCUGAUACACCAGCAAUAAGGAAAAGGCCCUUAAAACUAUCGAGUGUGAGGCUAGAUGCUAUAGCCAUUCCAUCUUGCUUUAGACAAUUUGUUUCAUUCCCAAACCAUUUCUGGAUUAUGUUAUUCAUAGUCUCUCCCUCUAUCACCUUCAAGACUGCUCUUGAGACGUCAGGUACCAAAGGAGAUCCUUUUGGAAAUGCCUGCAACAAGUUGUGGGAAAAUUAAAGAUUAGAUCAUUGAGUAAACCACUAACCACUCUAAAACAAAUGUUAACACUUGCUGAAACAUCAGUUAAGUACAACAAUCUUACAAAUCCAAAGCCGGCAGCCUUGUAUGUCGGACCAACCAUAAUAUACUUCCUGCAGUAUUUGCUGAGCAAGAGUCUGAGAUAAGGUAGUUCAUCAACAAUUGCACCAACACCUCCAUUUUUACUACCUCUUGAGAGUGCAUCAUUAUACUCUUCCAAUGUGCUGUAACUCCUAAAUUUGGAGCUGUCAAAUUUCAUGCGUGUCAAGACAUCUUUGACAAAGGAACCUUUUUGGUACCCUACAUAUUCUCCAUUCUUGAUGAGAUCAUUGAGGUCNNNNNNNNNNNNNNNNNNNNNNNNNNNNNNNNNNNNNNNNNNNNNNNNNNNNNNNNNNNNNNNNNNNNNNNNNNNNNNNNNNNNNNNNNNNNNNNNNNNNNNNNNNNNNNNNNNNNNNNNNNNNNNNNNNNNNNNNNNNNNNNNNNNNNNNNNNNNNNNNNNNNNNNNNNNNNNNNNNNNNNNNNNNNNNNNNNNNNNNNNNNNNNNNNNNNNNNNNNNNNNNNNNNNNNNNNNNNNNNNNNNNNNNNNNNNNNNNNNNNNNNNNNNNNNNNNNNNNNNNNNNNNNNNNNNNNNNNNNNNNNNNNNNNNNNNNNNNNNNNNNNNNNNNNNNNNNNNNNNUAAUCUUGUGAACAAGAUCAUCAUAGUUUUUAGAAGUUGGGCUAUGUGCUAUUGGAAAUGGAAUAAAUUCGUAAGGGACAUCAUAUUUCAAAGAUAGGAUGACUUCUUUGAAGACAUCUGGCCCUAAACCAGUUGAAAUUACUGCUUGUGUCGUUGGAUCUCUUUCCACUUUAAUGAAUUGCUCCAGCCCUCCUUUGUCAGGAACUCCCAACCCUUAACUUCUUCCCACUUGUGGGUAUUUCCCAGCCUCUCGGAACAAUAGUAGAUUCACCAGGCCAAAUGAUGAUCCCUAGUUGCUUAUUAUUAGUUUUAGCUGUUUUACCACUCAUCUUCAGUUUAUGCGAAAUGCCAUCCUUCUCUGUCCAGAAUCCAACGACUUUCUCUCCUUUCCCGAUUAUAUUCACAAUCUGAUAUGGGUACGGCUGCAGUUCUCUAUCAAUGAUACGGAAAUCACCACUUAGUCCUGGUUUUAGCUCUGUGUUUUGCAUAGAGUCAAUGAGCAGAGAUCCCACUUCUGAGGUUCUAAGUGCAUCUAGGUCUGUUAAGUUCUCUCUAGUGUCUGGUUUCUUUAAUUUUGGGAUAGCAGUAGUGCCCACUUUCUCUACUGCUUCUGCUAAUAAGGUGAUGCUAUCAUAUGCCCAUAGCCCGAAAACAUUGAGUUCUACUUGGUCCAUGUCUGGAUACUCUUGACGAAAUCUCUUUCUCCAUCUCUUGGUGAACAUGUCAAGCUCAUUUGAUCUUGUAACAUAAGAUUUUACACCCAGAACACCUUGCAUUGAUGACUCAAUUACUGAAGUAUCUACCAGGUUCCAUAGGGGCUUUCCUCAUAGAUUACUACAACCUCCCUCCAAUUAUAGUUUUUAACAAUUGCUGCAAUGGCUUUAGUCUGACUGGAAGAAGGAAGUGCUCCUCUGAUGAAGAAGGGAUUUUCCUUGACUGUAAGUAAAGGACUUGUUGCUGGAGAAAUUAUAGGGACUUUUACUCUGUUCCCUAAGUCGAUCACAAAAUCAGUUUGAGUAGACAUUUGUGGCCCAAAGAUAGCUUGCACUUGGACAUCCUUUAGCAAGUAUAUGGCUGCACAUACACAAUCAGACUUAUAAGUAAUUGUCUGAACAUCUCUUUCAAAAUAGAAAAACUAAAGGGAAAAGUAAUAUCUUAGAGAAAAAGUGAAUCUUUUGAAGCAAAGAGAGAGAGAUAAUGCUAGUUUAACAUAGGUAAAGCUUAGAGCUGAAUUUUACCAGCUGAUGCUGCUUCAACAUCAUCUUUCUUUGAAUCCCUGAUAUGAGGAACUAUCCUUAUGGCACCGCGACUAGUGUUGGCAUGAUAAUCCGCAAGAGCUAGUAAGAUAGAUAUGUGCAUUACUUUUCCUACUUCUGUUUCCAGAUCAAGAAUUAUUCCCACAUCCAUCUUUACAGCACUAGUGUUAUUAUCUUCACCUCUUAUUCCAAUUACAUAGUGGCAAAAACCAAUGAUGGAAACAAGUUGAAUGAAGAUAAUUAGGGAUUUGCAUCUUGGAUUAUGCAUUUGAAAAACUCUAGUAGACAGUAAUAUGAGAGCUGGACAAGAAGCAGUUGUGGUUGUGCAAGAUAUAUAACUAUAACUUUUCUAUAAUUAAAAUAAAACCAUACCUCAUAACUGCAGAAAGAAAAGUCAAAGUUUUUCAAGAAUAACAAAUGGUUUAAAAUAUUACUUCUAGUUUGAUUCUUAAAGAAAGAGGACUUUUCACACUUGUUAGACCACAAGCUAGUAAAGNNNNNNNNNNNNNNNNNNNNNNNNNNNNNNNNNNNNNNNNNNNNNNNNNNNNNNNNNNNNNNNNNNNNNNNNNNNNNNNNNNNNNNNNNNNNNNNNNNNNNNNNNNNNNNNNNNNNNAUUCAUCUUCAGUUUAUGCGAAAUGCCAUCCUUCUCUGUCCAGAAUCCAACGACUUUCUCUCCUUUCCCGAUUAUAUUCACAAUCUGAUAUGGGUACGGCUGCAGUUCUCUAUCAAUGAUACGGAAAUCACCACUUAGUCCUGGUUUUAGCUCUGUGUUUUGCAUAGAGUCAAUGAGCAGAGAUCCCACUUCUGAGGUUCUAAGUGCAUCUAGGUCUGUUAAGUUCUCUCUAGUGUCUGGUUUCUUUAAUUUUGGGAUAGCAGUAGUGCCCACUUUCUCUACUGCUUCUGCUAAUAAGGUGAUGCUAUCAUAUGCCCAUAGCCCGAAAACAUUGAGUUCUACUUGGUCCAUGUCUGGAUACUCUUGACGAAAUCUCUUUCUCCAUCUCUUGGUGAACAUGUCAAGCUCAUUUGAUCUUGGAACAUAAGAUUUUACACCCAGAACACCUUGCAUUGAUGACUCAAUUACUGAAGUAUCUACCAGGUCCAGAAGACUCGUCAGCACAUCAGUGAUGAUCCAUGCAUAUCCACUGUUCAUCAUCCCGGCUUCUUUGGCCUUGAGGAAAAGGCGGGAGGCAAGAUUUUCUUGCAAGUGCACAAUGAACACCCUGGUCUGCAUUGUCUUCAACUUGUAUAGCUCCCUGAGGAUUUGAUCAUCAUUGGCUGAAGGAGAAAUACCACUUCUAUAGGAGACUAAAGUAUUGAUUUCCAGCAAGGCAUCAGUCAAAUAUGGAAGUAUCCCGGUUCCAUAGGGGCUUUCCUCAUAGAUUACUACAACCUCCCUCCAAUUAUAGUUUUUAACAAUUGCUGCAAUGGCUUUAGUCUGACUGGAAGAAGGAAGUGCUCCUCUGAUGAAGAAGGGAUUUUCCUUGACUGAAAGUGAAGGACUAGUUGCUGGAGAUAUUAUAGGAACUCUAACUCUGUUCCCCAAGUCGAUCACAAAAUCAGUUUGUGUAGACAUUUGUGGCCCAAAGAUAGCUUGCACUUGGACAUCCUUUAGCAAGUAUAUGGCUGCACAUACACAAUCAGACUUAUAAGUAAUUGUCUGAACAUCUCUUUCAAAAUAGAAAAACUAAAGGGAAAAGUAAUAUCUUAGAGAAAAAGUGAAUCUUUUGAAGCAAAGAGAGAGAGAUAAUGCUAGUUUAACAUAGGUAAAGCUUAGAGCUGAAUUUUACCAGCUGAUGCUGCUUCAACAUCAUCUUUCUUUGAAUCCCUGAUAUGAGGAACUAUCCUUAUGGCACCGCGACUAGUGUUGGCAUGAUAAUCCGCAAGAGCUAGUAAGAUAGAUAUGUGCAUUACUUUUCCCACAUCUGUUUCCAGAUCAAGAAUUAUGCCCACAUCCACCUUUACAGCACUAGUGUUAUUAUCUUCACCUCUUAUUCCAAUUACAUAGUGGCAAAAGCUAAUGAUGGAAACAAGUUGAAUGAAAAUAAUUAGGAAUCUGCAUCUUGGAUUAUGCAUUUGAAAAACUCUAGUAGACAGUAAUAUGAGAGCUGGACAAGAAGCAGUUGUGGUUGUGCAAGAUAUAUAACUAUAACUUUUCUAUAAUUAAAAUAAAACCAUACCUCAUAACUGCAGAAAGAAAAGUCAAAGUUUUUCAAGAAUAACAAAUGGUUUAAAAUAUUACUUCUAGUUUGAUUCUUAAAGAAAGAGGACUUUUCACGCUUGUUAGACCACAAGCUAGUAAAGCCUCCUCUUCAGUUUUGACCAAAUCAAUAAAUGUCUAAAUGAACAUAGUGACAAAAUUGAUUGGUACGCAUUCUCCCAAUUAUAUAUAACCUAUGACGUUUGUGUAUUUAUUUGAUGACUAUCUAGAGUCUAUUAAAAGGACUUCCCACAUUUUGGCUAAGUCAUGCAUGGUGAAAGUUGAGAGCUAGCUCAGAUACAAAUAAGUAGAAGAGACCAUUGUUUCUAUGACUUGGAAAAGAGUAGCUAUGACUAGUAAUCUUUAGCUUACACGGUUUCAGUUUAGAAUUGGUCAGUAGUAUUAACUUGCUUGCAUUUUUAUUUUAUUUUAAGAUGAGUGGAACUUUUUUUUUUUUUGGCUUUUUCUAAUUGUUAAUCUUAUAUAUUUUUUAAAUUUAUUUGUGAAAUUUGCAUAAAUAGCAAUCUUUUUUAUUUUAAGAUGAGUGGAACUUCUCUUCUUUUUUUUUUUUUGCUUUUUCUAAUUGUUGAUCUUAUAUUUUUUUAAUUAAUUUUUAUUUGUGAGGUUUGCAUAAAUAGCCGAAGAGGUUCAAACCCACAACUCUAGCAUGGGAAAGCAUUCCCAAGACCCCUUCCUUACCACUAAGCCAUCAAUUAGUUUUGUUAAGGGGUUCACAAGUUAAAAUACAUAUAUAUUUAUUUAAUUUUUUAAUACAAGUAGAGGGUUUAUGGAAAAGCUAUUGGGUUCGCCCGAACCCCCACUAAGAUAGGCAUAAAAGUAUCAAUACAUUUAUUUUUAUGAAGGUAAAUACCAUUAGAUGUAACUUUUCAAGAAUGAAAACAUGUAUUAAAACAAAACUGAAAAGAGUAAUAACAUAAGUGAGAAAAAAGACAAGAAAUGUAGAGAGACAAGAGAGAGUUUUCUUAUUCUUCCAAGUAUAAUCAAGUGUUUUUCAAAUCUUCAAGUGCAUAACACAAUCUCAAGACCUCUAUUUAUAUUGUUAUAAAAAGGCAUACAAAGAUAUAACAAUAACCAUGAUAUUAAUUUUUGAGAAUGUAGGGAAGAUCAAGGGAUAACAAUAAACAUGAUAUUAAUUUUUGAGAAUGUAGGGAAGAUCAAGGGGUGUAGAAGAUAAAUGAGGAGAUGGUGAAGGUGCGAGUAUUAUUACAUAUAAUGGUGAAAUUACACCUUGAAGUUAUGGACAUCCACAUUAAUAUAAUAUAUUUACAACAAAACAUUAAUUACAUAUAAAUUAUAACUAAAUUAAAAAUGAUGAGAAAAACAUAAAAAUGCCCCCAAAAAAGGAGAAAAAAAUUAAAUAUGAAUAGAGAUCAUAGAGAGGUGUCACGUCACUUUGUCUAUAUCUAGCUUUAUUUUAUAUAUAUAAGUAAGAAUAGAGGUCAUAGCCUAUAUCUAGCUUUAUUAUAUAUAUAGAUUUUUCUUCAAUUUUUGUUGGUUUUCUCUUUUUAAAUUUAAUUAUGUAAUACGUAAUAAUAAAAAAAAAACAAGAGCCUUAUUUUCCCCCAAUUUUCAUUGGUUUUUUCUUUUUAAAAUUUAUUUAUGUAAAUAUAUUCUUUUUAAAAUUUAUUUAUGUAAUUAUUAUUUUUUUGGAAUAUUUUUAAUAGCUCAAAAAAAAUUAAUACAAUUGAAUGAAAAGAGAAAAUCGGGUUAUUUUAAUCAAAAUUGAACAAUUUGAGUUGAUUUGGGGCUUUCCGUCAAAAGAGGGGUAUAUAUAUGGUGAAAUUAGUAACGGUAGGGAAAAAACUAACUUCACUUUAACGGUAAGGGCAUAGUCAACCAAUAAAACAAAAUUAAGGGGUGUUUUUGACCCUUUUCCCUAAUCUUUUUCAUAGGUAGCAGUGGAUACUGGAUACAUUUGUUAUAGUCAUAUACUCAAUAAUAUAGUAAUUUUUGUUUAUAUUUUUUAUGAACUGAAAUUGCAAGAAUUAUCAUUUAAUAAGCGAGUUUUCAAUUUUUGUUCUUCAACGGUCGAAUUUAUAUCUAGUAAAAUAUAUAUUCUGUAAAGGAGAAAAGUCAUGUAAGGCAUAAGUUGCGGAUAUUAUAAUGCAAGUAUGUAUAUAUAUAUAUCAGAAAAUAAUUUAUCUUGAACACAAAAAUUAAAAAUUAGCACAAAAUAAGGACAAAAGUGCAAUAUAUGUAUAUAUAUGUGUUAUCAGAAAGCUAUUUAUCUUGAACACAAAAAUUAAAAAUUAGCACAAAAUAAGGACAUAAGUGCAAUAUAUGUAUAUAUAUGUGUUAUCAGAAAGUUAUUUAUCUCGAACACAAAAACUAAAAAUUAGCACAAAAUAAGGUCAAAAGUGCAAAAAUUUUAUACUUUCGCUCUCCCGACUCAAGCUAAUACGUUAAAAAUUAAUGGGAAAAUUAUACAUAAUAGUAAAUAUUUAGCCUGUAUUAGGUGAUAUAGCUAUAGUUUUAGAAAAUUGUAAUUCGCGGCUAUAAUUUUUUCAAUUCUUGCUAUUGACCUGAUUUGUAUAAUUCGCAUAAUUUGUAUAAAUCUAGAAUUUGUAUAAUUCGGUUCCUAAUAGUAAAAAUCUAGAAUUGUGUAUAUGUUUACCCUAGUUAUUUGUAUACGAUUUAUUAUUUAUAAUAAAUUACCUUGUUUGUAUAUCGACAAGCGAAAUAUAUAAAUGGAGUUCUGAAAAAUUCAUAAAUGUAUAAAUACAUAAUUUGUAUAUAUUUAUCCUAUUGGUAUAUUCACAAGCGAAAUAUACAAACGUGCAGAAAUAUACAAACCACAGCCUCCAUAUCAAACAGAACUAUAGCUAUGGAGCGCAGUUAUUAGAGCUUUAUUAUGUUUGCUAUUUCUAAAAUUUUCUCAAAAUUAAAAUAGACUAUGUUUUUCGGUCUUAUUUCAAUAGGCUCAUAUGGUAUAUAAUUUGAAAGCCUAGGUUUUUUUUGUUUUUUUAUAUCAAUAUUCUUUCAACUUAGCCGAUUGACAAUUAAUUAAAUCGAUGACAAAAAUAUUGAUUUCGUAAAUUUGAGUGAUGAAAAUCAAAUUAGAAAAGUAACUAACAAAUGGAAUAUUUUAUGUUAGUGAAUGAAUGAAAUUAUAGGCCUCUUAAUUACAAGAUUUAGAUAAUCUUCUUUCUUUUGAAUUAAUUUUUGAGGUGUGAAUUAUACUCAAAAUAUAAUUUAACAUGACAUUAAAGACAAACCUGAUGUGGGCUCCCAGGAAACCAAACAAUUGCGGAGGUGGAAAUUAUUUUCUAUUCAUGAAUGUGAGCAUGUGACACACCGAAUUGGAUCAUUAUUAUAAUGCAAGUAUGUAUAUAUAUAUAUCAGAAAAUAAUUUAUCUUGAACACAAAAAUUAAAAAUUAGCACAAAAUAAGGACAUAAGUGCAAUAUAUGUAUAUAUAUGUGUUAUCAGAAAGUUAUUUAUCUCGAACACAAAAACUAAAAAUUAGCACAAAAUAAGGUCAAAAGUGCAAAAAUUUUAUACUUUCGCUCUCCCGACUCAAGCUAAUACGUUAAAAAUUAAUGGGAAAAUUAUACAUAAUAGUAAAUAUUUAGCCUGUAUUAGGUGAUAUAGCUAUAGUUUUAGAAAAUUGUAAUUCGCGGCUAUAAUUUUUUCAAUUCUUGCUAUUGACCUGAUUUGUAUAAUUCGCAUAAUUUGUAUAAAUCUAGAAUUUGUAUAAUUCGGUUCCUAAUAGUAAAAAUCUAGAAUUGUGUAUAUGUUUACCCUAGUUAUUUGUAUACGAUUUAUUAUUUAUAAUAAAUUACCUUGUUUGUAUAUUGACAAGCGAAAUAUAUAAAUGGAGUUCUGAAAAAUUCAUAAAUGUAUAAUACAUAAUUUGUAUAUAUUUAUCCUAUUGGUAUAUUCACAAGCGAAAUAUACAAACGUGCAGAAAUAUACAAACCACAGCCUCCAUAUCAAACAGAACUAUAGCUAUGGAGCGCAGUUAUUAGAGCUUUAUUAUGUUUGCUAUUUCUAAAAUUUUCUCAAAAUUAAAAUAGACUAUGUUUUUCGGUCUUAUUUCAAUAGGCUCAUAUGGUAUAUAAUUUGAAAGCUUAGGUUUUUUUGUUUUUUUAUAUCAAUAUUCUUUCAACUUAGCCGAUUGACAAUUAAUUAAAUCGAUGACAAAAAUAUUGAUUUCGUAAAUUUGAGUGAUGAAAAUCAAAUUAGAAAAGUAACUAACAAAUGGAAUAUUUUAUGUUAGUGAAUGAAUGAAAUUAUAGGCCUCUUAAUUACAAGAUUUAGAUAAUCUUCUUUCUUUUGAAUUAAUUUUUGAGGUGUGAAUUAUACUCAAAAUAUAAUUUAACAUGACAUUAAAGACAAACCUGAUGUGGGCUCCCAGGAAACCAAACAAUUGCGGAGGUGGAAAUUAUUUUCUAUUCAUGAAUGUGAGCAUGUGACACACCGAAUUGGAUCAUGAAAUCUCAUAUAAAGAAUUUGGAUUUGUACGGUAUAUAUGAGGAUAAUAAUGAAAGAAAUGUCUCACAUCAAUGAUAAAUAAAAUCCUAAGCUUCGUUGUUCAACAAGUGAAUUCAAAUUUUUAGAUUCUUUAAUAUCUUGAUGUUAAACUAAAAAAUAUUGGUUUAUAAUUACUCUUAAUUAUUUAAUUUUUUGUCGGUUUGCUUCACGGGUGUGAUUAGCAAGGGAUAAUCAUUCAUUUUGUGGCAUGUAUAAUUAAUAAUUACUAGUGUAUUUGUCCGCGCUUUGCGUGUGUAUAAAAAAAUAUUAAAUAUAUUUUUAAAUAAUUAAUGUUAUUAUUUGAUAAAUAUUCUAAUAAAUAAUAUAAUAAAAGGGAGAAACACAAAUUAAGUUACGAUUUUGAUAUUAUCUAUUCAGAAAAAUUGUUAAAAAAGUUUCAUGCUACAGUUUCAAUUUAAAAUUGCUGAUAAAAAGAUGAAAAUAUAAAAUUGAUAUGAAAAGCUUUAGUUAAAUAAACAAUCUAAUUAUCAUAGUUUCAUACUAAAUUUCAUGAUUUUAUAGCAAUAUUAUUGAUUCAACCAUUAAUAUUAAAUCUACUUUAUCGUAAAUUAUGUGACUUUCUUUUUUUGUAUAAAUGACUAUAUAAUAGAAAUAAGAAAAUCAAAAUAUAUUUGUGCUAAAUCAUCGUGAGGGAAAAAAUAUUUGAAUUAUAUUCGAACAUAGUUAUACACAAAAUUCAAAAGUUAGAGAUUUUUUUUCGAUAUCCGAUGCUCAUAGUGACACUCAUUUGAUACAUAUUUGUGUCGCAUAAUGAUAUCCGAUGCACGUAGUGACACUCAUUUGAUACAUAUUUGUGUCGCAUAAGAUCCAUUAAUAUUUUAAUUUAUAUUUAAACUUUCAUUCUUAUAGUGUGCAUUGUGAAAAGAGAUACUUAAGUUGCUACAGUGAAACAUUACCGUUGAGGUUAUACUUUUACAAUAAAAAUUAAAUUAAAUUAAACACAUAAUUUUGUCGUAUUAAGAUUAUCAGAUAGUGAUGAAGAAAUAAUUUUUUUACAAAAGAUAUGAGUAUGUAGUGUUCAAGAUGUAGAAAAAGUAUCAAGAGUUAGAUAAAUUUUUUCAAUUUAUAUAUAUAUGUGGGACAAUAAAAGUUUAACAACAUCAAAAUAAUUAUUCCUAUUAUUACAAUUUUAUUGUUGUAAUUAUUAUAAAUAAAUUGGAGCAAUAACUCUCCAAAAGAUAACUCCAUUUUUUGAUGUGGGAAAAAUAAAAUAUUUUUUUUACUUUCAAUAAUAAUAAAUUUAAACACAAAUUUGUUAUUAAAGGAAUUAAAUGAUGAAAUUUAAAAAAUUUCUUGAUAAAUAAGAGAGUUGAAUAAAUUAUUUUUUAGUAUAUAUAUACACACACUUGAUUAUUUUUAGGGAAAAGGGUCAAAAAUAUUCUCAAUUUUAGUUUAUUAGUUAAAUAUACCCCUAUCGUUGAAACAAAGUUAUUCAUACCAUCACCGUUACUAAUUUCACCAUUUAUACCCCUCAAUUUACGGAAAUUCCUAAAUCAAACAAAAUUGACCCGAUUUCUUAAAAAAUGACUCAUUUUCCAUUUUAAACCUAUGACCGACCCAUCUAUCUAUCUUAAACCCAAAAGAAUUUAACCCAUUUUCUAUACCCAUUCUAAAAAGAAAAUUCAUUUGGAGCUACUUGGGAGAAUGAAUUAUAGGUGACAAAAAAGUGUUGAAAUGUAAAAAGAGUGACUCUAGUUUUAAUUAUUAAGUGUACGUGACAAAUUUUUAAUUAAUUUUUAAAAAUAAUUAUAUAGGUCCUCAAGUUUUUAUUUUUACACUUUCACCCAAAUUUAAGUAAACCCCUAAUUUCUAAAAUAGGAAAACCCCCAAAUCAGUUCUUUUUUGUUCUCUCCCAACGUCCCGCUCUUUUCACAUUUUUUUUGCUUCUAAUCUUCAUCACUAGGCGUGACCUGACUUCAAAGACAUUGUCGAGCAGCACCUAAACACACAAAAAUCGAUCCGAUCUAAGCACUUUUAGACGAGUAUGAUGACUCUACUAAUGGAGGAAAGAGAAGAAGGAGAGUGGCAUCGUGGUCGGCCAUGGCCGUUUCCGAAGCAAACUGUCGUCGCCGGAGCUCGAAGCAGACAAUUGGAGAGAAUCAAAGACAUAGAUUUUACCCAAAUAAUUAUAACAAAAAAAAUUAAACCAAUAAAAGAAAAUUCACAACCCCACCCCCUGUAAUGUCUUCCUCAAAGAUCCUACUCAUUUGCAGAAACAUCUACACACCCCAUCCUUCCCUCUAAUUUUUUUCUCCAAACUCUCCAAUUCCUUUUAGUGCGCACACACCUACACACUAUUUCUUUUUUCAUCAUUUUAGUGUAGUAUCUUUAUUCACUAUUAUUAGAAUUUAACUUUGUAAGGGAAUUGGUGAGAUAGGUAAAUGUGCUUCUCACAAAGAUGUCUGCUUUUUGCAGUCAUGCGAAGAGGCAGCGAUGAUGAUGUUCACUUUUUGAGCUAGCUAACUUUGGAAUCUGGAGAAAAAUAAUUUAAAAGGAAGAAUAAAAAAAGUUUGUAGAAAUGGUGGCUAAAGGGUAAGGAAAAUGAGUUAAAUUAUUUUGGGUUUAAGAUAGAUAGAUGGGUCAGGCAUGGGUUUAAAAUGGGAAAUAGGUCAUUUUUUAAUAAAUCGGGUCAAUUUUAUUUGAUUUGGGGAUUUCUGUCAAUUGAGGGGUAUAAACGGUGAAAUUAAUAACGGUGAGGGUAUAAAUAACUUUGUUUUAACGGUAUGGGUAUAUUCAACUAAUAAACUAAAAUUGAGGGGUAUUUUUGACCCUUUUCCCAUAUUUUUAUAAUGCCUUUAUUUAUAGGAUAACAAUAUAAAAUAUCAAAUGAUAUCAUGAACAUGACUAUUAAUAUGAUUUAAGAGAUAUGAUCAAGUCAUGAAAGUAAGGAAAAUAAAGACAAUUAAAUAUCAAAUGAUAUUAUGAACAUAAUUAUUAAUAUAAUUUAGGAGUUAUGAUCAUCAAAAGUCAUGAAAAUAAAAACAAUUAAAAUUUUCUAUUAAAAAAUAUAAAUAAAUGAAGGAAUAUAAUUGACAUAUUCAUUUUUGUACAACAAUAAGAUAUAUAUAAAUAAGAAAAAUUAUCAAAAAAUGAGAAAAAAAGAAGAUAAAUAUGAUUCUUGGCCAAAAAAAUGUGUCACGUCACUUUUCUUUUAUCUAGAUAAUUUAUAUGUUGGUAAAGAAAGUAGAUUGAGAGAGAAAAACAAUUUUACUAAGUCGUUUAUAUCCUAAUCAAGUCUAAAAAUACCCCUCAUUCAUCUAUUGAGCUAAAAAUACCCCUCCAUCCACCUUUUUGGUCCAUCUCUACCCCUUAAAAACUAACAACUACUUUUUAAAAAUUAUUAUUAUUAUUAUUUGUUACGUGUCAUUUUCUUAUUGGAUAAUUAAAUCUCAACCCAUUUAAUUUUCCCCUACCCACCCAUUGUAGUGAACAUGAUCAAACCCAAUUAGAAGACCCAUUAAAAAUAAUUGAUUGAAACUUUCUCCCCUAACCCCAAGCCUCUUUCUUCUUCCCUCUUUUCUUAUUCAAAAAUUUCAAGAUAAUAUUCAAUCAAAUAAUACAAUUUCCGCUGCAAUACUAACUUGAAGUUGAAGGAUUCAAGGAGUAUUGAUUUUUGCAGUCUUCUUUCCAUCACGUAAAAAAAACUACACCAAAAUCUAUCAAAAUUGCACCUGAGCUAUAACAAAACAGAAGCAAACCUGCACCUAUAUUAUACCACAAACUAAAUCAAAACUGUAAAGAAACAGAGGCCAAAAGGCAAUGAAAGUGCACCAUAAUGAGAUUAAAAACUGGACCAAAAUUUGAUGAUAAACAGCACCAAAGCUGGUCCAAAAACGAAAAUAAAAGUGGUUCAAAUUUACUUUAUUAACGAUGGAAUACAUUACAAUGAAAUUUACGAAUUAUUCCAACUCCUUAAACGUAAGAAUAUUAAUCAAACUAAACACAAUUUCACUAUCAUACCAACAAUAAUAGUAAUUAUAAUUAAGAACAUUAUACUAACUAGACACCAUCAACAAAUUUUCAUAUCAUACACUUAUCUAGAUUGCAUUGGACAUUGUAUCAUUUGAUUGAAAGUAGUCUAGAAAUAUUUUGAAUAAGAAAAGAGGGAAGAAGAAAGAGGCUUGGGGUUAGGGGAGAAAGAUUCAAUCAAUUUAUUUUUUAAUGGGUCUUCUAAUUGGGUUUGGGUCAUGUUCACUACAAUGGGUGGGUAGGGGAAAAUUAAAUGGGUUGAGAUUUAAUUUAUCCAAUAGGAAAAUGACAUGUAACAAAUAAUAAUAAUAAUUUUUUAAAAAAAAGUGAUUGUUAGUUUUAAGGGUAAAGAUGGACCAAAAAAGUGGAUGGAGGGGUAUUUUUUAGCCCAAUAGAUGAAUGAGGUAUAUUUUGUCGAGGGGGUUCGGGUGAACACUCUCCCUCCCUUGAUUUGCUCAUUGAUACUAUUAUUGUUAGUGCAAGAGGAAACUGCUAGGGAAGUUGCCUAUGAUCUAUGUUGGAGCAGAUGGGAUAUAAGAUUUUGAUUUGAUGGGUUCAAUUUUUAGAUUCUCAUCAUUGAGCCCGUUAUACUUUGAAAUUAUGGUGGGUUCAUGAUAUUAUAUUAUUAAUUAAAAUUUUAGUGAUUUUUCACAUAUACUUUUAUGAUCUGUGUCAAAAAUGCAAAGCUUAUACUUAUAUUCGCCAUCCGCCCUGUGUAACUGAACAUAUUACUGUUUAUCUUCCAUGUAGCAGUGAUCCUAAAACCUUUCCUUAUNNNNNNNNNNNNNNNNNNNNNNNNNNNNNNNNNNNNNNNNNNNNNNNNNNNNNNNNNNNNNNNNNNNNNNNNNNNNNNNNNNNNNNNNNNNNNNNNNNNNGUUAUUCAGCUGAAGAGGUUAGUUUUACCUUAGAAUUGAUCUUGUGAACAAGAUCAUCAUAGUUUUGAGAAGUUGGGCUAUGUGCUAUUGGAAAUGGAAUAAAUUCGUAAGGGACAUCAUAUUUCAAAGAUAAGAUGACUUCUUUGAAGACAUCUGGCCCUAAACCAGUUGUAAUUACUGCUUGUGUCGUUGGAUCUCUUUCCACUUUAAUGAAUUGCUCCAGCCCUCCUUUGUCUGGAACUCCAACCCUUAACUUCUUCCCACUUGUGGGUAUUUCCCAGCCUCUCGGAACAAUAGUAGAUUCACCAGGCCAAAUGAUGACCCCUAGUUGCUUAUUAUUAGUUUUAGCUGUUUUACCAUUCAUCUUCAGUUUAUGCGAAAUGCCAUCCUUCUCUGUCCAGAAUCCAACGACUUUCUCUCCUUUCCCGAUUAUAUUCACAAUCUGAUAUGGGUACGGCUGCAGUUCUCUAUCAAUGAUACGGAAAUCACCACUUAGUCCUGGUUUUAGCUCUGUGUUUUGCAUAGAGUCAAUGAGCAGAGAUCCCACUUCUGAGGUUCUAAGUGCAUCUAGGUCUGUUAAGUUCUCUCUAGUGUCUGGUUUCUUUAAUUUUGGGAUAGCAGUAGUGCCCACUUUCUCUACUGCUUCUGCUAAUAAGGUGAUGCUAUCAUAUGCCCAUAGCCCGAAAACAUUGAGUUCUACUUGGUCCAUGUCUGGAUACUCUUGACGAAAUCUCUUUCUCCAUCUCUUGGUGAACAUGUCAAGCUCAUUUGAUCUUGUAACAUAAGAUUUUACACCCAGAACACCUUGCAUUGAUGACUCAAUUACUGAAGUAUCUACCAGGUUCCAUAGGGGCUUUCCUCAUAGAUUACUACAACCUCCCUCCAAUUAUAGUUUUUAACAAUUGCUGCAAUGGCUUUAGUCUGACUGGAAGAAGGAAGUGCUCCUCUGAUGAAGAAGGGAUUUUCCUUGACUGUAAGUAAAGGACUUGUUGCUGGAGAAAUUAUAGGGACUUUUACUCUGUUCCCUAAGUCGAUCACAAAAUCAGUUUGAGUAGACAUUUGUGGCCCAAAGAUAGCUUGCACUUGGACAUCCUUUAGCAAGUAUAUGGCUGCACAUACACAAUCAGACUUAUAAGUAAUUGUCUGAACAUCUNNNNNNNNNNNNNAAAUUUAUUUGUGAAAUUUGCAUAAAUAGCAAUCUUUUUUAUUUUAAGAUGAGUGGAACUUUUUUUUUUUUUGGCUUUUUCUAAUUGUUAAUCUUAUAUAUUUUUUAAAUUUAUUUGUGAAAUUUGCAUAAAUAGCAAUCUUUUUUAUUUUAAGAUGAGUGGAACUUUUUUUUUUUUUGGCUUUUUCUAAUUGUUAAUCUUAUAUAUUUUUUAAAUUUAUUUGUGAAAUUUGCAUAAAUAGCAAUCUUUUUUAUUUUAAGAUGAGUGGAACUUCUUCUUUUUUUUUUUGCCUUUUCUAAUUGUUAAUCUUAUAUAUUUUUUAAUUUAUUUGUGAAAUUUGCAUAAAUAGCAAUCUUUUUUAUUUUAAGAUGAGUGGAACUUCUUCUUUUUUUUUUUGCCUUUUCUAAUUGUUAAUCUUAUAUAUUUUUUAAUUUAUUUGUGAAAUUUGCAUAAAUAGCAAUCUUUUUUAUUUUAAGAUGAGUGGAACUUCUCUUCUUUUUUUUUUUUUGCUUUUUCUAAUUGUUGAUCUUAUAUUUUUUUAAUUAAUUUUUAUUUGUGAGGUUUGCAUAAAUAGCCGAAGAGGUUCAAACCCACAACUCUAGCAUGGGAAAGCAUUCCCAAGACCCCUUCCUUACCACUAAGCCAUCAAUUAGUUUUGCUAAGGGGUUCACAAGUUAAUAUACAUAUAUAUUUAUUUAAUUUUUUAAUACAAGUAUAGAGUUUACAUAAAAGCUAUUGGGUUCGCCCGAACCCCCACUAAGAUAGGCAUAAAAGUAUCAAUACAUUUAUUUUUAUGAAGGUAAAUACCAUUAGAUGUAACUUUUCAAGAAUGAAAACAUGUAUUAAAACAAAACUGAAAAGAGUAAUAACAUAAGUGAGAAAAAAAGACAAGAAAUGUAGAGAGACAAGAGAGAGUUUUCUUAUUCUUCCAAGUAUAUUCAAGUGUUUUCCAAAUCUUCAAGUGCAUAAUACAAUCUCAAGACCUCUAUUUAUAUUGUUAUAAAAAGACAUACAAAGAGAUAACAAUAAACAUGAUAUUAAUUUUUGAGAAUGUAGGGAAGAUCAAGGGGUGUAGAAGAUAAAUGAGGAGAUGGUGAAGGUGUGAGUAUUAUUACAUAUAAUGGUGAAAUUACACCUUGAAGUUAUGGACAUCCACAUUAAUAUAAUAUAUUUACAACAAAACAUUAAUUACAUAUAAAUUAUAACUAAAUUAAAAAUGAUGAGAAAAACAUAAAAAUGCCCCCAAAAAAGGAGAAAAAAAUUAAAUAUGAAUAGAGAUCAUAGAGAGGUGUCACGUCACUUUGUCUAUAUCUAGCUUUAUUUUUAUUUUAUAUAUAUAUAUAUAUAUAUAUAUAAGAAUAGAGGUCAUAGCCUAUAUCUAGCUUUAUUAUAUAUAUAGAUUUUUCUUCAGUUUUUGUUGGUUUUCUCUUUUUAAAUUUAUUUAUGUAAUACGUAAUAAUAAUAAUAAUAAAAGAGCCUUAUUUUCCCCCAAUUUUCAUUGGUUUUUUCUUUUUUAAAAUUUAUUUAUGUAAAUAUAUUCUUUUUAAAAUUUAUUUAUGUAAUUUUAUUUUUUUUGGAAUAUUUUUAUAUCUAUUAUAUUUUUAAUAGCUCAAAAAAUAUUAAUUCAAUUGAAUGAAAAGAGAAAAUCGGGUUAUUUUAAUCAAAAUUGAACAAUUUGAGUUGAUUUGGGGCUUUCCGUCAAAUGAGGGGUAUAUAUGGUGAAAUUAGUAACGGUAGGGAAAAAACUAACUUCACUUUAACGGUAAAAGCAUAGUUUACCAAUAAAACAAAAUUAAGGGGUGUUUUUGACCCUUUUCCCUUAUCUUUUUCAUAGGUAGCAGUGGAUACUGGAUACAUUUGUUAAAGUCAUAUACUCAAUAAUAUAGUAAUUUUUGUUUAUAUUUUUUAUGAACUAAUGAAAUUGCAAGAAUUAUCACUUAAUAAGCGAGUUUUCAAUUUUUGUUCUUCAACGGUCGAAUUUAUAUCUAGUAAAAUAUAUAUUCUGUAAAGGAGAAAAGUCAUGUAAGGCAUAAGUUGCGGAUAUUAUAAUGCAAGUAUGUAUAUAUAUAUAUCAGAAAAUAAUUUAUCUUGAACACAAAAAUUAAAAAUUAGCACAAAAUAAGGACAAAAGUGCAAUAUUUGUAUAUAUAUGUGUUAUCUGAAAGUUAUUUAUCUUGAACACAAAAAUUAAAAAUUAGCACAAAAUAAGGACAUAAGUGCAAUAUAUGUAUAUAUAUGUGUUAUCAGAAAGUUAUUUAUCUCGAACACAAAAACUAAAAAUUAGCACAAAAUAAGGUCAAAAGUGCAAAAAUUUUAUACUUUCGCUCUCCCGACUCAAGCUAAUACGUUAAAAAUUAAUGGAAAAAUUAUACAAAAUAGUAAAUAUUUAGCCUGUAUUAGGUGAUAUAGCUAUAGUUUUAGAAAAUUGUAAUUUGCGGCUAUAAUUUUUUCAAUUCUUGCUAUUGACCUGAUUUGUAUAAUUCGCAUAAUUUGUAUAAAUCUAGAAUUUGUAUAAUUCGGUUCCUGAUAGUAAAAAUCCAGAAUUUUGUAUAUGUUUACCCUAGUUAUUUGUAUACGAUUUAUUAUUUAUAAUAAAUUACCUUGUUUGUAUAUUGACAAGCGAAAUAUAUAAAUGGAGUUCUGAAAAAUUCAUAAAUGUAUAAUACAUAAUUUGUAUAUAUUUAUCCUAUUGGUAUAUUCGCAAGCGAAAUAUACAAACCACAGCCUCCAUAUCAAACAGAACUAUAGCUAUGGAGCGCAGUUAUUAGAGCUUUAUUAUGUUUGCUAUUUCUAAAAUUUUCUCAAAAUUAAAAUAGACUAUGUUUUUCGGUCUUAUUUCAAUAGGCUCAUAUGGUAUAUAAUUUGAAAGCCUAGGUUUUUUUUGUUUUUUUAUAUCAAUAUUCUUUCAACUUAGCCGAUUGACAAUUAAUUAAAUCGAUGACAAAACUAUUGAUUUCGUAAAUUUGAGUGAUGAAAAUCAAAUUAGAAAAGUAACUAACAAAUGAAAUAUUUUAUGUUAGUGAAUGAAUGAAAUUAUAGGCUUCUUAAUUACAAGAUUUGGAUAAUUUUCUUUCUUUUGAAUUAAUUUUUAAAGUGUGAGUUGUACUCAAAAUCUAAUUUAACAUGACAUUAAAGACAAACCUGAUGUGGGCUCCCAGGAAACCAAACAAUUGCGGAGGUGGAAAUUAUUUUCUAUUCAUGAAUGUGAGCAUGUGACACACCGAAUUGGAUCAUGAAAUCUCAUAUAAAGAAUUUGGAUUUGUACGGUAUAUAUGAGGAUAAUAAUGAAAGAAAUGUCUCACAUCAAUGAUAAAUAAAAUCCUAAGCUUCGUUGUUCAACAAGUGAAUUCAAAUUUUUAGAUUCUUUAAUAUCUUGAUGUUAAACUAAAAAAUAUUGGUUUAUAAUUACUCUUAAUUAUUUAAUUUUUUGUCGGUUUGCUUCACGGGUGAGCAUGUAUAAUUAAUUACUAGUGUACUUGUCCGCGCUUCGCGUGUGUAUAAGAAAAUAUUAAAUAUAUUUUUAAAUAAUUAAUGCCAUUAUUUGAUAAAUAUUCUUAUAAAUAAUAUAAUAAAAGGGAGAAAUACAAAUUAAGUUACGAUUCUGAUAUUAUCUAUUCAGAAAAAUUGUUAAAAAAGUUUCAUGCUACAGUUUCAAUUUAAAAUUGCUGAUAAAAAAGAUGAAAAUAUAAAAAUUGAUAUGAAAAGCUUUAGUUAAAUAAACAAUCUAAUUAUCAUAGUUUCAUACUAAAUUUCAUGAUUUUAUAGCAAUAUUAUUGAUUCAACCAUUAAUAUUAAAUCUACUUUAUCGUAAAUUAUGUGACUUUUCUUUUUUUGUAUAAAUGACUAUAUAAUAGAAACAAGAAAAUCAAAAUAUAUUUGUGCUAAAAUCAUCGUGAGGGAAAAAAUAUUUUGAAUUAUAUUCGAACAUAGUUAUACACAAAAUUCAAAAGUUAGAGAUUUUUUUUCGAUAUCCGAUGCUCAUUUUUUUUUUGAUAUCCGAUGCACGUAGUGACACUCAUUUGAUACAUAUUUGUGUCGCAUAAGAUCCAUUAAUAUUUUAAUUUAUAUUUAAACUUUCAUUCUUAUAGUGUGCAUUGUGAAAAGAGAUACUUAAGUUGCUACAGUGAAACAUUACCGUUGAGGUUAUACUUUUACAAUAAAAAUAAAAUAAAAUUAAACACAUAAUUUUGUCGUAUUAAGAUUAUCAGAUAGCGAUGAAGAAAUAUUUUUUUUUAAAAAAAAAUGAGUAUGUAGUGUUCAAGAUGUAGAAAAAGUAUCAAGAGUUAGAUAAAUUUUUUCAAUUUAUAUAUAUAUAUGGGACAAUAAAAGUUUAACAACAUCAAAAUAAUUAUUCCUAUUAUUACAAUAUUAUUGUUGUAAUUAUUAUAAAUAAAUUGGAGCAAUAACUCUCCAAAAGAUAACUCCAUUUUUUGUAUGUGGGAAAAUAAAAUAAUUUUUUUACUUUUCAAUAAUAAUAAAUUUUAAACACAAAUUUGUUAUUAAGAGAAUCAAAUGAUGAAAUUUAAAAAAUUUACUUGAUAAAUAAGAGAGUUGAAUAAAUUAUUUUUUAGUAUAUAUAUAUAUACACACACACUUGAUUAUUUUUAGGGAAAAGGGUCAAAAAUAUCCUCAAUUUUAGUUUAUUAGUUAAAUAUACCCCUAUCGUUGAAACAAAGUUAUUCAUACCAUCACCGUUACUAAUUUCUCCAUUUAUACCCCUCAAUUGACGGAAAUCCCUAAAUCAAACAAAAUUGACUCGAUUUCUUAAAAAAUGACUCAUUUUCCAUUUUAAAACCAUGUCCGACCCAUCUAUCUAUCUUAAACCCAAAAGAAUUUAACCCAUUUUCUAUACCCAUUCUAAAAAGAAAAUUCAUUUGGAGCUACUUCUCCAAUUGCGUUUUAGGUGACAAAAAAGUGUUGAAAUGUAAAAAGAGUGACUCUAGUUUUAAUUAUUAAGUGUAGGUGACAAAUUUUUAAUCAAUUUUUAACAAUAAUUAAAUAAGUCCUCAAGUUUUUGUUUUUACACUUUCAUUUUUUGGAGCAAUAAUUUUGUUNNNNNNNNNNNNNNNNNNNNNNNNNNNNNNNNNNNNNNNNNNNNNNNNNNNNNNNNNNNNNNNNNNNNNNNNNNNNNNNNNNNNNNNNNNNNNNNNNNNNNNUGACUUCAAAGACAUUGUCGAGCAGCACCUAAACACACAAAAAUCGAUCCGAUCUAAGCACUUUUAGACGAGUAUGAUGACUCUACUAAUGGAGGAAAGAGAAGAAGGAGAGUGGCAUCGUGGUCGGCCAUGGCCGUUUCCGAAGCAAACCGUUGUCGCCGGAGCUCGAAGCAGACAAUUGGAGAGAAUCAAAGACAUAUAUUUUACCCAAAUAAUUACAACAAAAAAAAUUAAACCAAUAAAAGAAAAUUCACAACCCCCACCCCCUGUAAUGUCUUCCUCAAAGAUCCUACUCAUUUGCAGAAACAUCUGCACACCCCAUCCUUCCCUCUAAUUUUUUUCUCCAAACUCUUCGAUUCGUUUUAGUGCGCACACACCUACACACUAUUUCUUUUUUCAUCAUUUUAGAGUAGUAUCUUUAUUCACUAUUAUUAGAAUUUAACUUUGUAAGGGAAUUGGUGAGAUAGGUAAAUGUGCUUCUCACAAAGAUGUCUGCUUUUUGCAGUCAUGAGAAGAGGCAGCGAUGAUGAUGUUCACUUUUUGAGUUAGCUGACUCUGGAAUUUGGGGAAAAUAAUUUAAAAGGAAGAGUAAAAAAAGUUUGUAGAAAUGGUGACUAAAGGGCAAGGAAAAUGAGUUAAAUUAUUUUGGGUUUAAGAUAGAUGGAUGGAUCAGGCAUGGGUUUAAAAUGGGGGAUGGGUCAUUUUUUAACAAAUCGGGUCAAGUUUGUUUGAUUUGGGGAUUUCUGUCAAUUGAGGGGUAUAAAUGGUGAAAUUAAUAACGACGAGGGUAUAAAUAACUUUGUUUUAACGGUAUGGGUAUAUUCAACUAAUAAACUAAAAUUGAGGGGUAUUUUUGACCCUUUUCCCAUAUUUUUAUAAUGCCUUUAUUUAUAGGAUAACAAUAUAAAAUAUCAAAUGAUAUCAUGAACAUGACUAUUAAUAUGAUUUAAGAGAUAUGAUCAAGUCAUGAAAGUAAGGAAAAUAAAGACAAUUAAAUAUCAAAUGAUAUUAUGAACAUAAUUAUUAAUAUAAUUUAGGAGUUAUGAUCAUCAAAAGUCAUGAAAAUAAAAACAAUUAAAAUUUUCUAUUAAAAAAUAUAAAUAAAUGAAGGAAUAUAAUUGACAUAUUCAGUUUUGUACAACAAUAAGAUAUAUAUAAAUAAGAAAAAUUAUCAAAAAAUGAGAAAAAAAGAAGAUAAAUAUGAUUCUUGGCCAAAAAAAUAUGUCACGUCACUUUUCUUUUAUCUAGAUAAUUUAUAUGUUGGUAAAAAAAGUAGAUUGAGAGAGAAAAACAAUUUUACUAAGUCGUUUAUAUCCUAAUCAAAUACUUUUGCAUUUUGAGUUCAGACCAGGUCAUAGCAGUAAUUUCUGAAAUUUCAAAAACUUAAGAACUUAUAACAAUAACAAUAAAAAAAAUUAAAAUAUGAAGAUCACAAAGUUACGUAUUAAUAGUUAAAAAAAAUUUAUGAAUUAAACUGUAUUUUGAAAAUUAAUUAACUUUAACAUUCUCAUAUUCUAUCAUUCAUCUAUUGGGCUAAAAAUACCCUUGAAGUAUUAGAAAAGGUCUAAAAAUACCCCUCCAUCCGCCUUUUUGGUCCAUCUCUAUCCUUAAAACUAACAGUCACUUUUAAAAAAAUUAUUAUUAUUAUUAUUUGUUACAUGUCAUUUUCUUAGUGGAUAAAUUAAAUCCCAGCCCAUUUAAUUUUCCCCUACCCACCCAUUGUAGUGAACAUGAUCAAACCCAAUUAGAAGACCCAUUAAAAAAUAAAUUGAUUGAGAUUUAAUUUAUCCAAUAGGAAAAUGACAUGUAAUAAAUAAUAAUAAUAAUAAUAAAAAAUUAAAAAGUGGUUGUUAGUUUUAAAGGUAGAGAUGGACCAAAAAAGUGGAUGGAGGGGUAUUUUUAGCCCAAUAGAUGAAUGAAUGGUAUUUUUAGACCUUUUCAAAUAAUUCAAGGGUAUUUUUGGCCCUUUUCUGUAAUUAAUAAAAAGUUGAUCCACAUAACUAUAAAAUUAUAUCUACAUACUUUCUUCAGUAGCAUACAUAUACAUGUAUAAGGGUGUAUAAAACCGAAUCGAAAACCUAACCAAACCGCAAACCGAGUCAACCCGGAAAAAAAACCCGAACUAGUGGUUUGGUUUUUGAAAAAAAAAACCCCGAACUAUAUUUGGGAUUGGUUUGGUUUUAACUAAAAAAAACCAACCCGACAUUAUAUAUAUAAUUUUAAAAUUUUAUUUUAUACAUAAAAAUAUUUACUUUGAUAUAAUUUUUAAAUAUUUCUUAUACUUUUUCAUAAUUUUUUAUCUUUUAUUAUAUUAUUUCAAGUUUUGAAACUUAGAAUUAUGAAUGGGCCAAUAAAAAUUAUAGUUCACAGAUGUUGGUAAUUGCCUAAUUAUAAUAAAGCUUAAAUCAAAAUUAAAUUAAUACUAAUGCAAAAAUAAAAUCAUUUCAACACGACAAUAAUAUUGAAUAUUUGUUCUUUAGUUUUACAUUGGUUUAGACAAUUAAAAUACAUAACCUAAUUUAAUUUCCUUUAAAUAUUUAGUCAUGUAACUAAUACUUAUUAAAUUUAUUUUUAGCAUGCUUUAGUACUUUUAAAUUAUGAUCAUUUUCAUUAUGACUUGUUAAUUUGCAAUAUUUGUUUUACACGAUUUCAUUAUUAUUAUUAUUUUUGUUGGAUAUUUUAGUGUCAUUAAUCAUAUUAUAUUGUAGUAUAUUUUUAAGAAACAUCUUAGAUAGUUGUAGUUUGGUAUGGCUAAAGAAAUAUUUGAAGUACAAGUAAAUUAUAUGUUUGUAUGAAUACUUUACCGAAACAACCCAAAAAACCGAAAAAACCUGAAAAACCCAAGGUUGAAAAACCCGAGUUUUAUUGGUUUGGUUUAUAAAUAUAAAAAUCCAACACAAAUGGUUUGGUUUGAUAUUUGAAAAACCCGAACCAACCCGACCAUGUACACCCCUAUACAUGUAUAUGUUAACUUCUUAUUCUACUUUGUUGAAUUAUAUCCUCAGCAUAAGUAGUGAAGACAAAACAAAGUAAUAAUAAAAUGACGGAAUGACCUGGGAGACCCAUGUACUUAGCUCCGUUUGUAAGUUGAACCCUCCUACUUAUCAAUUUGUCAACUGAACCCCUAAACCCAUCAGAACACAAUAUUUUAAACCCAUUUGACCAUUAACCGAACUUAUGUAGCAUUGAUAAUGCUGAGUUGGAAAAUUACGUAAUUACAUACGUUUGACAGUGAGUAAAUAAGGUAUUUUACAUUAAAAAUAUUUAAAUAAUAAUAAUCAAUUUAAAAAAAAUAAUUAAAAACCCAUCUUCCUCAACCAUCCCUCUCCAACCCCACUCCACCCCUCUCUCCUCCGUCCGAACCCAUAAACUCAUCAUAACACAAUAUUUUAAACCUCUUAGACCAUUGACUGAACUUAUGUAGCAUUGAUAAUGCUGAGUUGGGAAAUUACGUGAUUACAUGCGUUUGACAGCAAGUAAAUAAGGUAUUUUAAAUUAAAAAUAGAGUAAAGACAUAAAUACACCAUCAAAGUUGUCCCGUAUUUUCAUAAUGACACCUUAACUUUUAAAGUGUCCUAUCACACCACAGAACUAUUUAAUAUCUUUGUAAAUGGGCCAUUUUGACCCAUUCCCUCGUCUAUUUAGUGGCGCGUGUUGCUCACUCCCUAUGAUGAGAAAAGACCCGACCCGACCCUGUUCUUUGAAGAAAGUCAUUUCUCCUUUUCUUUUCUUAUUUCUCAACUUUCCCUAAAAUCUAAAGAAAUAGAAAAGUUUUCUCAACAACUUUAAGUAUGAGUGAAAUAGGUCUAAAAAUAGAGGAGAUUAGAUAAAGGAUUCAAUCCAAUUACUUUGGAAGUGGGUCCUGAAUCUUUGUUGCAUCAUUGCAGCUUCGAGGGAUCCUAAGUUUCCAUACACUAAGAACCAUUGAUUCUUAGGUGAAGUAAUACAAUGGCCGGUUUAAAACACGGGGCAAGAUCUAGUACAGGUGUAAGGGUUGAUUAACAUAUUAAGCAUGCAUGGAUUAAUACUUCUCUACACCGCAUAGAAUCUCAAUUUCCAGGAGCACACAACAUGAUGGAAGCGGAGCCCUCCCCAUUGGACAAAAUGAAAAAAUAAAUGUUAAUGCUGUUAUACCCCAUUUUAACUCGAGGUCAAAACGGUGUACGACAUUUUGGUGAUUUCCAAAUUAAUUAACUUAAGAAGUCGCCACCUAAUUAAUUACGGUGAAUUAGGACACCUAAAUAUUGAACUAAGUAAUACUAAAAUGACUUCAAUUAAAAGGUCUACUAAACUUAAGAUUCUAGGUAAGGGUUCUAAUUAUCCUAAAGGGAAGGGGUAAGGCAUCCUUUAAGAUCCAUUAAAGACGGUUACCGGCCAAACUUAGGUUAAUUAAUUUUAAAAGAAAGAUAUGAGUGUUAAAUAUUAAGUGAUUGAAUAACCAAGUUGGAAAACAUUUUUUACUUUAAAAGCACUUUUGCAAUUUAUUAGAAUGAAAAAGAUUUAAGAAAGAGUAAUUUCUUUAGAUCAAUUUAGACAAAUUCAUGGCUAAAAAAAGUAAUUAAAAAAAAAAAAAAAAAAAAAAAAGCAUUUGCUCAUUAACCGACAAGAUGCUCUCUUUAGAAAAAGUUUAAGAAAAAUAAGAGUUUAGAACAAUAUAUUUUUUCUUUGAAAGAUAUUGCCAAGUUUGAACAAAACUUAAUAAAUUAGUGAGUUUAAAAUGGUGCAAAAGAAGUGUUUUAAAAAAAAAAAGCUAAAGUAACUAUAAAGGUUGUUUCUAACUAAAGGUACCCAAACCCAAACAUCUAUAUUAAGUCAACUAUUAUGAAUCCGAACUAGAAAUAUAUAAAUCACACAAGCAAGUAUAAAUUGAAAGAAAACACAAACAAAUAAUGCAAAAUGUAAGUAGCGAUAGGUGACUCCAAGAUAGGACCACUUGUUUUGCUUGCAAUUUCGAAUGGUCAAAGAUGUAGUGAAGAUUCCAUGUGCGGGUGUGAGGAUAAUGUUGAGUCUAUGAGACUCGGUAAUUUGCUAGAGUCUUGAAUCAAAGACUCCAUUUUGCUCCAAAGUGUACAUGUAAAUAAAGAGAGGGUAAAAAAGAAUUGGUAAGACAAUUAAACCUUACUCGAUAUCGAAUAAACUAGAAAUAGAAUUGAGUUAAAUAGCAUAACGAAAAUACCAUCCAAAACAUGAAAACAUGCAAAUGCGAAACAAAUCUCAAAGCAAACUACUACGACGCCUUUAAGGCACAAAAAAAAACAAUACACAACCCCUCAUAUUUAAGCUACAAACGAACUACUCGUUAAAGACUUGAAUUUAAAAAAAAUACUUAUGCCAUAAGUUUUCCAGAUUUAUACAUGCUGUAAUACUAUUACUUAAACUAAAAAAAAUAAAAACAAAAUACAUACACAAUACAAUUAACAAAAGAGCACAAAACAUAAGUUAGUACUUGUAUGCAAAAAGUAAGUUGCACGAGAAUUCCUACAGACGUAACUCUUAAUAAGAGAGCACUUAGUUGCUAACCAUUUUUUAUAUAUUUUACAGUCAUCUUCCUUAAGCAUGCUAUACAUAGGAAAAUAUGAACAUUGAAAUUUUAACAUAUAAGCACACGAAAUAAAUCAUUUAAACUGAGAACGAAACAGCAACAACACAACCCAUAUAAAUCGAACUAUGAGACUAAGUCAUUAACAAAAUAUUUAAAUCCAAAGCUAAGCCAUUCUUUAAACUCAAGGUCUAGUAAAUGAGGGGAAAACAAUUUCUGAUCUGUAUAAAUCUCAAAAGGAUACAAACACAUUUUUUAACAAUCAACAUAUAAUAAUAGCGAACUAAAUAAUAUUAGUUCGAGUAGAAUUUGAGAGAAACUUAAAAGCUUAUAAGAUACAGGGUGCGAAGCUGCUGUAGUGUAUCCGCGAUUAGAGCUUAUAUUUUUUUAAAAAAAUAAUGAUAUGGUCUGUACCAUAUUUUAACUAAAACAAAACAAAUAUUAUAUUCCUUGAACACGUUUUUACAUAGGAAUGCAUACAUAUAUCAAAUGAUCAGAACUUGGAGUAAGAAUUAAUGUAUAUGACCUAAAAUACAACCAUUUCCAUGUAAUAAAUAAAUUUAUAUCUCAAACGAAAACACAAAUACAAUUAUCAAAUAACUUUGAAUACAGUUAAACUAGGCAGGAAUUACUCUCUACAUACAAAUUUGUUAGAGUAACAUAACAUUUUCCCACAGAAACAAAACAGAGGAAGAAAAAGAGAAUGUCACCUGCUAUAGGGCAGUGAACGGGGCUGUUUCGAUCAAAUGUCUAUAUUCGAACAAUAACGAACUCAAGGAAGCUUGAAACUUGAGUUUCGAUCGAGAUUUAAAGAAGGAUGCAAAGACAAUAUUUUAGAAAAGAAAAUAGUAGUUAAACAAUGCUAUGGUGCAAGGAAAAGCUUUUUAAGAAUGAAUGCCAAGGCUUCUAUGGAGGCUGAAAAAUCCUCUUUUUUUUUUUUGCUAAAGAUAUAAGGAUGUAUUUAUAGAAAAAAUUAGGGUUCUUCAUUGUGUUGAGCGGGAAUAGAUUUUGAACUUUCAAAUUAGUCAAAAAGUCUUCAAAUCCGACCGUUUGAAGCUUGAAACAGACAUCACGUGAUACCUUGGAGAAAGAGACAAGUUUUGCUUGGAAUGGACCAAGCAAAGUCUGUCCAUGGCUGAAGAGAAACGAAACUUUAGCCAAAAAUGGAGGAGAAAAGACAGACAUCGAGUAAAGAGAAAAGACCUAAAUGAUUUCGGGUCUUGAGCCAUUUUACUGAUGAAUGAACAUUGGGUUGGGCUGGUGCUAAAUUUUCUUUUGUGGGCUGAUCUGAAAGUUCCGUUGGGCCAUAUUUUGGAGUGGAUUUGGGCUCGUUUUGCUGGACCAAUUUUGGGCUGAAUUUUGAAGGUCUUUUCUCUUCUUUCUUUGUAUUAUUUUGGGCUUCUAAAUUAAUAAUUAAUACAAUAUCUAUUAUGAUAUGAUAACAACUAGAAAUUUACAUAAUAAAAAUAUCACUAAUAUAAAAUAUAUAUACGAAAUAUUAAAUAAUAAUUAAUUUAAUAAAUACGAAACUAGAAAUAAGAUGACGACAAUUGGUUAUUUAAGAAAAGAGAUGUAAAAAAGUGAUAAUAAUCAUUUCGAUAAUAAAAACCUAUAAUUUUAGUAGAUUAAUAGUUGUAAUAGUAAAAAUAGUUGUGAAAAGAGAUAAUUCGAUACAUUAUUAAUUUAGAAGCUUGAAAAUGAUAAAUUAGAAGAAAGGAGGGUCAAAAUUGGGUGUCAACAAUGUUCCCUUUGUUGUUUUCCUAAUAUUGGUAGUUGAGAUAUUGUUAGGAUAUUAUAGUUUUUCGUUGUUACAGGUUGAUCUUGCUUGGAAAAAACCAUGAAAUCAAAAAAUUAGGGCUAUUUUGGGUUUAAAAUUGGGGAAGAUGACAUAAAUUGAUUAUAUAAUUAAUAAUAAAGAAAGCUAAUGACACGUGGCACUUUUAAAUUGGUCCAUGGCAGUGAAAGCACGGAAUGACGCGCCUCACGUGCAUGGUAACAACCCAGACGAGGGAAUGGGUCAAAAUGGCCCAUUUACAAUGAUAUUAAAUAGUUCUGUGGGGUGAUAGGACACUUUGAAAGUUAAGAUGUCUUUAUGCAAAUACGGGACAACUUUGAUUGUGUCUUUAUGUCUUUUCUCUUAAAAAUAUUUAAAUAAUAAUAAUCAAUUUUAAAAAAUAAUUAAAAACCCAUCUUCCUCAACCAUCCCCCUCCCACCCCUCUCUCCUCCGUCUGAACCCCUAAACUCAUCAAAAUACAAUAUUUUAAAUCUCUUUGACCAUUGACCGAACUUAUGUAGCAUUGAUAAUGCAGAGUUGGAAAAUUACGUGAUUACACGCUUUGACAACGAGUAAAUAAGGUAUUUUAAAUUAAAAAUAUUUAAAUAAUAAUAAUCAAUUUUAAAAAAAUAAUUAAAACCCAUCUUUCUCAACCAUCCCUCUCCCAUCCUACCCCACCCCUCUCUCCUUCGUCUGAACCCCUAAACUCAUCAGAACACAAUAUUUUAAACCCCUUUGACCAUUGACCGAACUUAUGUAGCAUUGAUAAUGUUGAGUUGGAAAAUUACGUGAUUACACACGUUUGACAGAGUAAAUAAGAUAUUUUACAUUAAAAAUAUUUAAAUAAUAAUAAUCAAUUUAAAAAGGAUAAUUAAAAAUGCAUCUUCCUCAACCAUCCCUCUCCCACACCACCCUACCCCUCUCUCCUCCGUCCGAACCCCUAAACUCAUCAGAACACAAUAUUUUAAACGCCCUUGACCAUUGACCGAACUUAUGUAGCAUUGAUAAUGUUGAGUUGGAUAAUUAUGUGAUUACACGCGUUGUCAGCGAGUAAUAAGGUAUUUUACAUUAAAAUUAUUUAAAUAAUAAUAAUCAAUUUUAAAAAAUAAUAAUUAAAAACCCAUCUUCCUCAACCAUCCCUCUCCCACCCCACCCCUCUCUCCUCCUAUUUGUUUUUUUUUUUCUAAAAAAAAUUUUGGGCUUUGCCCGAGGAGAUGUAUGGGGUGCAAUUGUCUCUCUUUCAAGUUUAUUAAUAAAAAAAAAUACCACAAUUGUUUUAAAAAAAAAAAAAAAACACCACCCCUCUAUCCUCCGUACCCCCCCCCCUCCCCGCCUCUCCUCUUCUUCUUCUUCUCUUGGAAUUUCAUCCACCACACUCACUCUCCUUCAUCCACCUCCUUCUUAACCCACACUUCUUUUUCAUUACAAAUCAACCGUCCACCCUAACCACUUAGUCUAAAAGUCUUUUAGAUUCUAGCUUUUUAGUCUAAAAGUAUUGAGAUAUUAUUAGUUUUAUUUGGCAUCAAAAAAGAGGUCUAAGUAUGGAUUAACACGAAAGAUAAUGGUGGAUAUUGAAAAAUUAAAACUCCAUUGAUAAGUUAGAGAAAGCUUGAAAUUUAUAAGAUAUAUUAGAACUAUAUAAAAAAAAAUAUCACAUAUACCAAUCAAUUGUGUAUACUACAAACAAUUAUACUUCUCUUUCAAAAUUUAGUUACUCAAUAUUACUUGCAAGUUUUAGUAGCAUCUAUAUCAUUUAAUUUUUUUGUACUAAUUAACACAGGACACACAUGCAACGCACGUGCCUAGAGACUAGUUUAUAUAUGUACAUAAACUUAGAAAAUAUAUCCAAUAUAUACAUCUUAAUUUUUUGUCGAGGGGGUUCGGGUGAACACUCUCCCUCCCUUGAUUGGCUCAUUGAUACUAUUAUUGUUAGUGCAAGAGGAAACUGCUAGGGAAGUUGCCUCUGAUAUAUGUUGGAGCAGAUGGGAUAUAAGAUUUUGAUUUGAUGGGUUCAAUUUUUAGGUUCUUAUCAUUGAGCCCGUUAUACUUUGAAAUUAUGGGUUCAUAUUCUAUUAUUAAUUAAAAUUUUAGUGAUUUUUCACAUAUACUUUUAUGAUCUGUGUCGAAAAUGCAAAUCUUAUACUUAUAUUCGCCAUCCGCCCUGUGUAACUGAACAUAUUACUGUUUGUCUUCCAUGUAACAGUGAUCCUAAAACCAUUCCUUAUUUAUGAUCUGUAACUAUGGUCGUUAUCUGCUAAUAGCUUCGGAUGUUCUUGUCCUCUAGGCUAGUUCUUGGACCUGCAUUAUAAAUUCACUACUACUAUAUCUUUCUUUCUUAUUGCAUUUGGGAUUUGCAGAUUGCUCUUUGUUAUCAAAACAUUGCACAAAUCUCUCAUGUGGUCAUUCACAUAUAACCCCAUUAUUUCAUAUUCUAUAUAAGAAUUAUGUAAUCAAAAAUAAUUUAGCAUCUUAUUUGUAGAUUUUGUUCUGUUAUUGUAACAUAACAAAACUACCUCAUUUGAAUUUCUUGAAAACGGAUGCAUGUAUUGAAUUCUUUCAUGCCACACAUAUUUCUUUAAAUUAUUCCAAACAUAAGUACAACAACAACAACAUAAGUAGUGAUGAAAAAACAAAGUGAACAUAAAAUUGCUAAAGAAACAACUAAGAAAAAGUAAGGGUUGAAUCCAUCUAAUGGAAUCCUGGAGGCCACCUCUUGAUGCUAAUACAAAGCGCUUUCAAUGGUGAUGAAAGAGGAUUAUGGCCAAGAGUGACAAAGAAAUAGUGUAAUCGGAUUUAACUAACCCUAAAGCUAGCUCAUCUCUGUACAAUCUCUUGUAGGGCCCUAUUCAGGUGUGCCACAAUUAUGUUAGCAGCUAUAUAUCUCAUCUUUCUUCAAUUGUGCCUGACAUUGUUUCAUGAACUGGAGUUCCAGGUUCUGUUGUAGAGAACCCUUCAGAAGCAGGGGAUUCUCCUAGGCCAUCGGAGAUUCCGAUUUCUGGGCUUUCCAAAGGUAGGUUGGGCGAUAAUUCAAUAGAAGCAUCACUUUCUGCAAACACUGUAGCCGUUAGGCUUUCAUUCCCUUCAGAUGGCUUUUUUGACAUAGAAUUAGAGUCGUCUCUCUUUAAAUCAAAGACUUUUGCUAUUGCACAAAGCUUUUUUCCUAUUGAAUCAUCAGUGACUAAGAUUUCUCUAUUCUGAUAAAGGAAGAUGAGGAAGAAUAGGAGAAGAGAGGAGCCUGCUGACACACCAUCUUGCUUUGGACAAUCUGUUUCAAUAUCUUUCUGUGGACAAUCUGUUUCAUUCCCAAACCAUUUCUGAAUUAUGUUAUUCAUAGUCUCUCCCUCUAUCACCUUCAAGACUGCUCUUGAGACGUCAGGUACCAAAGGAGAUCCUUUUGGAAAUGCCUGCAACAAGUUGUGGGAAAAUUAAAGAUUAGAUCAUUGAGUAAACCACUAACCACUCUAAAACAAAUGUUAACACUUGCUGAAACAUCAGUUAAGUACAACAAUCUUACAAAUCCAAAGCCGGCAGCCUUGUAUGUCGGACCAACCAUAAUAUACUUCCUGCAGUAUUUGUUCAGCAAGAGUCUGAGAUAAGGUAGUUCAUCAACAAUUGCACCAACACCUCCAUUUUUACUACCUCUUGAGAGUGCAUCAUUAUACUCUUCCAAUGUGCUGUAACUCCUAAAUUUGGAGCUGUCAAAUUUCAUGCGUGUCAAGACGUCUUUGACAAAGGAACCUUUUUUAUCAGCACAAAUCUUGAUAAGUUACUUGUUAUCUUCUCUUCUGCAACAACCAGUCAUAUAUAGGAUUUGUUGAGAAACAAGGAGAAAUCUUAAACUUUUGGUCUAUAAUUUGAUUUGAGUUAGAGACUUACUAUGAGCAAAAACGAGAGUUGAGAAGGAAAACCAAAAUAUUAUCCCAACUUGCUUGCGUUUGGGUCCUCGAAAAUCUUUGUUUACACGAUGUUCGAGUACCCAAACCACAAAACCAAUGAAGACGAAGAAUGCUCCGGUUGCUAUCCACAGCUCGGCCUUUAAAGGUUUCAAGAAGAUCCAAGCGUUCUUCCUAUCAUCAUUCCUUAAAGGCACAACUGCAGAAAUACCCGACUCUGAAUAAGGUAAUGUGAAAUCUACAUACUCAGAUCGGCUUGCUAAAAUGGUAACAUCACCUACAACUGCAUCAUAUUCCUGGUUCAAGCAAACAUUGAUUAUUUAAGUAUUUAUUGUUGGUCGCUAAAGCAGAACAUAGAUAAGAAGUCCAAAAAAGGAGCAUGUAAGUGAGUUAUUCAGCUGAAGAGGUUAAUUUUACCUUAGAAGUGAUCUUCUGAACAAGAUCAUCAUAGUUUUAAGAAGUAGGGCUAUGUGCUAUUGGAAAUAGAAUAAAUUCGUAGGGGACAGCAUAUGGCAAAGAUAGGAUGACUUCUUUGAAGACAUCUGGAACAAAACCAGUUACAAUUACUUCUUGUGUCGUUGGAUUUGUUUCCACUUGAAUGAAUUGCUCCAGCCCGUCAGGAACUCCGACCCUUAACUUCUUCCCACUUGUGGGUAUUUCCCAGCCUCUCGGAACAAUAGUAGAUUCACCAGGCCAAAUGAUGACCCCUAGUUGCUUAUUAUUAGUUUUAGCUGUUUUACCAUUCAUCUUGAGUUUAUGCGAAAUGCCAUCCUUCUCUGUCCAGAAUCCAACGAUUUUCUCUCCUUUCCCAAUUAUAUUCACAAUCUGAUAUGGGGACGGCUGCAGUUCUCUAUCAACGAUACGGAAAUCACCACUUAGUCCUGGUUUUAGCUCUGUGUUUUGCAUAGAGUCAAUGAGCAGAGAUCCCACUUCUGAGGUUCCAAGUGCAUCUAGGUCUGUUAAGUUCUCUCUAGUGUCUGGUUCUUAAUUUUGGGAUAGCAGUAGUGCCCACUUUCUCUACUGCUUCUGCUAAUAAGGUGAUGCUAUCAUAUGCCAUAGCCCGAAAACAUUGAGUUCUACUUGGUCCAUGUCUGGAUAUUCUUGACGAAAUCUCUUUCUCCAUCUCUUGGUGAACAUGUCAAGCGCAUUUGGAGUCCAGAAAACUCGUUAGCACAUCUGUGAUGAUCCAUGCAUAUCCACUGCUCAUCAUCCCAGCUUCUUUGGCCUUGAGGAAAAGGCGUGAGGCAAGAUAUGGUUGUAAGUGCACAAUGAACACUGUGGUUUGCUUUGUAUUCAAAUUGUGUAACUCCUUGAGGAUUUGAUCAUCACUGGCUGAAGGAGAAAUAGCACUUUUAUAGGGGACUAAAGUGUUGAUUUCCAGUAAGGCAUCAGUCAGAUGUGGAACUAUCCCAGUUCCAAUGGAGCUAUCCUCGUGGAUGAUUACAACCUUCGUCCAAUUAUAGUUUUUAACAAUUGCUGCAAUGGCUUUAGUCUGGCUGGAAGAAGGAAGUGCUCCUCUGAUGAAGAAGGGAUUUUCCUUGACUGUAAGUAAAGGACUUGUUGCUGGAGAAAUGAUAGGGACUUUUGUUCUGUUCCCUAUGUCAAUCACAAAAUCAGUUUGUGUAGACAUUUGUGGCCCAAAGAUAGCUUGUACUUGGACAUCCUUUAGCAAGUAUAUGGCUGCGUAUACACAAUCAGACUAUAAGAAAUCGUUCCAAAGUGAAAAACAGACGAAAAGAGAGAAUGAUAUGCUAGUUUAACAGAAGUAAAUCAUGGAUCAGAAUAUACCAGCGGAUGCUGCUUCAACAUCAUCUUUCUUUGAAUCCCUGAUAUGAGGAACUAUCCUUAUGGCACCGCGACUAGUGUUGGCAUGAUAAUCUGCAAGAGCUAGUAAGAUAGAUAUGUGCAUUACUUUUCCCACAUCUGUUUCCAGAUCAAGAAUUAUGCCCACAUCCACCUUUACAGCACUAGUGUUAUUAUCUUCACCUCUUAUUCCAAUUACAUAGUGGCAAAAGCUAAUGAUGGAAACAAGUUGAAUGAAAAUAAUUAGGAAUUUGCAUCUUGGAUUAUGCAUUUGAAAAACUCUUGUAGAAAGUAAUAUGAGUGUUGGGCAAGAAGCAGUUGUGCUUGUGCAAGAUUUAUAACCACCAUUCAGAGAUGUGUUUAAAGGUAUCUUAACUAUAACUUUUCUACAAUUAAAUGAGAGCAAACCUCAUAACUGCAGAAAGAAAAGUCAAAGUUUUCAAAGAAUUACAAAUGGUUUAAAAUAUACUAGUUUGAUUAUUAAAGAAAGAGUACUUUGCACACUUGUUAGACCACAAGCUAGUAAAGCCUCCUCAGUUUUGACCAAAUCAAUAAAUGACUAAAUGAACAUAGUGACAAAAUUGAUUUGUACUCAUUCUCCCAAUACCCAAAGAAGUUUUUGUAUUCAUUGGAUGACUAUCUAGAGGCUACUAAAAGGACUUCCCAUAUUUUGGCUAAGUCAUGUUGAAAGUUGAGUGCUAACUCAGUUACAAAUAAGUAGAAGAGGUCAGUUUCUAUGACUUGGACAUUGGAAAAGGGCAGCUAUGACUAGUAAUCUUUAGUUUACUUAGACGGUUUCAGUUUAGAAUUGGUCAGUAGUAUAAAACUUUAUGGUGGUAGAGGCACAACUUGUAGGGUUGUUCCGGGUUAUCGUUAAUUAAAAAAUCAAAUCAAACUUGUAGGGUUGUUUGGUUAGGUUUUAAAUUUUGAAAAUCAAUACUAUUUGGUUUGGUUUGGUUUUAAAACUGUAAAAAUAAUCAAAUUGAACGUGUAAUUAUAAUAAUUCUAGUAUUGCUUGAUUGAAUCCACAGUAACUUUCAUGUGUAUUGUUCAUGUACUAGGUGUCUGUGUUUAUAUAUAUGUCUUCAAAAAAAUUAUUACUUCCAAAACAAAAAAACAAAAAAAUUGAACCAAACCGACAAUUAUUUUUUUCAUUUGGUUUUAGAAUUUAGAAACCGACUAAAUUGAUCUGGCUUUGAUUUUAGCCAAUAAUCAAUCCAAAUUGAACCAUGAACACCUCUAGGCACAAAUAUAACUUGGUAUGUGAAGAAUUACUAUAAUACCUUUCCUUUAACUUUUUUUUUUUAAAAAAAAAUCUCCAUCCUCCAUUUUUUUCCCUUCACUUUUAAAAAAAAAAAAAAAAACCUCUAUUGGGAAAUUUUUCAAAUCAGUUUUUUUUACUCAUGAGCUCUAUUCCUUUCCCUUUUAUAUUUUUUAUAAUAUAAAAUAUAAGAUAAAAUAAAGAAUUUUUUUAAAAAGAAAUGAGAAAAAAAAUGAUGAAGAUGAGGGGUGAGGAGCUAAAGGAGAGAAGAAAGAUAGAACAUAAGAUGAGAAAGGUAGGGUCCCCAUAUUUUCUUUAUCAAAAAGUAACUUCUUACCUACCAAAGUCAUAUUUAUGCCUCUACCACCACAAAUUUUUUCGUAUUAACUUGCUUGCAAGUUGCAAAACCAAACAAAGCAAGCAUACCCAAAUGGAGAUGGAAUCUUGGAAUGAGGAUGGUUGGGUAUACAUGUAGGUGUCAAUGUCAUUGUCUCAAUAUAUAUAUAUAUAUAUACUCCCUCCGUCCCAAUUUAUGUGGCACCCUUUUUUUUUAGUCUGUUCCAAAAAACAAUGUCAUCUUACUAUAAUUAGAAACAAGGGAAAAGACUCAAAUAUGCUAUUGAAAUUUGAGAAAAGACUCAUUUAUGUCAUCCGUUAAAAGUUUGGUUCAUCUAUGUCAUUUUCGUUUGAGAAAAAACUCAUCCAUACCAUUAGUUGUUAACUAAAAAUAAUUUUGGUUUUGUAAGAUCAUUUUAUACACAUGGUCAAUUAUGAUUCGGCCAUGUCAUCAAUUAAAUCAUUUCUAUAGAAGAGAAAAUGUUCAAAUAUGUCAUCGAACUUUGAGAAAAGACUCAUUUAUGACAUCCGUUAAAAGUUUGUCUCAUCUAUGCUAUUUCAGUUAAUAAAUAAUGGCAUGAAUGAGGUUUUUCUCAAAUGAAAAUGGCAUAGAUGAGCCAAUUUUUUAACGAAUGACAUAUAUGACAUUUCUCAAAGUUCGAUGGCAUAUUUGAGUUUUUUCCCUAUAAACAAUUUCACUUAAAAUUUACUGUUAUCCUUAAUGAAAUUAUUUACAAACACACAAAUAUCUAAGGAUUGUUUUAGAUCACAAGUUUAAAAGUCUUUUUAAAAUAUAUAUAUAUAUAUAUAUAUAUAUUGUGUCAAGUUAAACAGUGCCACAUAAAAUGAGACAGAGAGAGUAAUUGUUAAUGUAAGAGGAAGCUGCUCGGGAAGUUACGUGUAUGAUGUUGAAGUUAUUUGACAUGCAGUUGAGGUGAUCCUAUAAUCUUCCAUUAUUUAUGACUAGUAAAAUCACUGAAUUUAUAAAAUAAUACUUAAAACAUAUGAGUCAUUAAAACUAAAACACUAUAUUAUCUUACAUAUAAGAUUACAUAUAACAAACAUUAAUAAUGUAAGUAAUUUCUUUUUUGCAUAUGUUAACAAAUUUUUGAAUUUCUUCCUGAGACAUAUAUCACAAUUGUAAAAUCUAUACAACUUAAAUGUGUUCUUGUUCUUACGAAACGCCUUUGUGUAUAUAUAUUCUUAUUUAUUCUCUCUUUUUUCCUUUUAAUUGAUGAUUAAAUAACCAUUAAUUUAUUAUUUCCUAAAUAAUUCAUUUAUUAGAUGUUCUUGAGUUAUGUGAUAAUGACAAAUAAUAGUAUAGAUCUUUAAGGAAUUUUUUUACUGUACCUUCAACAAUUUCAUGAUCAGUAGAGAAAACUUGCAUGAAUACUCAAUUAACAUGUGUUGUUUAAUCUGUACUAACAAAUACAAUUAACGUGUGUUGUUUAAUCUGUACUAACAAAUACUUAUAACAAUAACUUUGCAGAAACAUAAACACAAGUUUAAAACAUGUACUCAAAAACAAUAAUUAAUAACAUAAGCAUAAAUUAAUGACUGUAAAAAAAUAUACCAGGAUCUGUAAUAAUAGGAUGAAACAUAAAGGAAAAAAUUGUACACGAAUAUUUAAUUGUGCAGGUUAAGAAGAAGUUCAAAAUUUUCGUUUUUUUAAAAUGAGAGGAAAUCACUCUAUUUAUAGCUAGACAACAAAGGGUAGUGUGAGCAAAUGUUUAUUGUGUCUUAUCGGAAAGGUCACAACUCUUUGGAAAAGUUACAAACCCUUUGGAAAGGUCAUAACCUUUCAUAAAAGACACAACUUUUCAUAAAAGUCGCAACUCUACAUAGAAGUUACAACUUUUCAUAAAAGUCGCAACUGUUCAUAUAAGUCGCAAUUUUUCAUAAAAGUCACAACUUUUCAUUAAAGUCGCAAAUUUUUAUAAAAGGGGAAGGAUAGUUUUGUAAAUAUAUUAAUUAAAAAAGGAAUCCUGGUUUGUGAUGGCGCCACGUAGGCAGGCCUAGGGUUCUCUUUUAUAUAUAUACUAGUUUCUGAACACGUGCGUUGCACGUGUUUCAAACAAGUAGUAUACACGAUAAAAGUUAUAUUAAAACCAUAGUGUAAUCAAUAACGAAAAAAAGGUACAAACUAAAAUUGAUGAACGUAACACUCAUCCAAUUUGAAUGACUUAUUCGUUUAGCGAUAAAUAAUUAAUUACUAUCAGAACUACAAAAUUGAAUAAUUAUAUUUAGUUAGAUAAGUAAAAUGUAUAAAAUGAGUCACAUUUUAAUGUUAUUAGGUGCAAAUAUUUUAUUUAUAAAGAAGUAUUAGUAUUAAAUAUUUGCACCUAAUAACAUUAAGUAUUAAAUUUCAAGACAUAAUAUUUGAAUAAUGAAUUGUGAUGCUCAUACCAAAUAGCAAAACAAUGAAUCUAGAAAAUACUUUUAAAACAAAAAAACUUAGAUAUGAUAUUUAAAAUAUUUAAAACUUCUUGUUAAAAUUUACAAAAACGCAAAUAAUAUAUGCUUAUUAAGAAUUUAAAACUAAUUGUUAUAAUCUUAACAAUUGUGCAUGGAAACAAAAGCACCCAAAACAAAUGAAAUUCCAAUACAUGUGAAAUCAAAGUAUUGUAAUUCUAAGUAACUAAAUAUGCCAUGCAUACUUCUCAUCUCUUCUUUUAUGCAAACUAUUAGAAGGCAUAAAAAAACAAUGAAAAUCGAAGAUAAAAUAAUUUGCAUUCAAUCUUAAAAAGUUACAAAGAGGAGAUGGGGAAAAUUAGUAAAACUCAUUUAACCUUUAUAUAAUGUUUUUCCCAGUCCUUUGAAAUUUCAUUUCAUUUAUUUACUAAUGAAUUGAUUUACUAAUUAAUAUUCAAUUCAACUUUUCAACUUCUUUGUACUUACUGUAGCAAUGAAAGGUUGGCUAUUGGUUAACGUAACAAUUAAAUAAUUGAACCACCAAUGUUUCAUAUAAAGUUAUGGUUAUUAUAAGUAUUAAAUGCAAACAUUUUCUUUUUAUUGUAUGAAAUGCGUGUAUUUGUAUUUUUAUAUUAUAAACUUUUUGAAAUAAUAGUUGCUUGAAGGUUAAAAUGAUGUUUAACUUUUAAUAGGCGAUUUGGUAAUUCAAUUUUUCAUUUGGAAAGUUUCUACUUGAUAUAAUAUGAUAAUGAUCAAAAAUUUAAUAUAAAAUGAAUAAAGCAAAGAAUAAACAGGGAAAGAAAGAAAGAUGAUUGUCAUCAAUCCCUAUUAAAUCAUUGAAUUAAGUGUGAUAAUUAAAGUAUUAUUACUCCACUUUCAAAUCAUCCGUUCAAUUCAUGUUAUUGAAAACUAAUUUAAUUGAAGAUUUAUUUUAAUUAUGGUGUAAAUAAAAAUUAGUUUAUAAAAAAUGAUUUAGUAUAAGGGCAAAAUGGUAAAUCAACUUUGAAGACAAGAGCUUCCCACUUUUAAUAAUACUAGAAGAAAAAUGUGAAUUACAUGGAGAUUUUUUUCUUGGAAUUAGUAUCAAAAUUCGCAGAUAACUUAUUUCCUGCAAAUUUUCAUAUUAAUCCCCAGGAAAAUCCCCAUGUAAUUCACCAUUUUCUUGUAGUGUUGUACCAAAUUAUAAUAAAAUAACAGUAAAGAAAAUAGGUUGUACCCUGCUUCUUGCACUUAACUUUAUCCCACGAACAAUAGACAGAAAGGUGUCAUAUAAUCCUUACAUAUCACUAUCAAACCAAAUUCUCCCAACUGACAUAUUCUCCCACAACAAUAUUAUAUUCCCUCAAGUCCAAUUUUCAUCAGUGACUCCGUUUCUAAUGUUUUCCAAUUCACUUUUUCGACCUCCUUUUCACUAUUCAUUAUAUAAUAAUUGAUAUGAAACAACCCACAAUGUAAACAAGAUUUAAGAGACGUGAUUGAUUUACUUGAGUCGCUCACGUUCUUCUUUCGUUCACGCCGCUUUCUGUUAUUCUUCUUUUCCGUUCUUUCCCUUUUCUUCUACAGAUUAUUUUCACCCUAAUUAUUAUAUGACUAAUUAUAAGAGUGGUGGAAUUGGCUCACUACUAGUUUUAAUGCUAUCUUCUUUAACCACCAACUACAUUAAUUAUUAAAACUACCCCACUAAUUUCAUAAUGUAAUUACGAAUAGUCCAAAAUACCCAUUUAGAAUCUAUCGAACGAGUCUUUUAUGAAAUAAAAAGAUCUAGUACUCAAAACGACUAAAUGGGUCGUUACACAAUGUAACUCUUUAACUUUCAAAAUGAUAGGAGGUGAAAAGGUGAAAACAUUUUCUUUUUCAAUGAAUACAUUCAUUAUACUAAUAAUUCACCAUUUAAUAAACUUCUACCUAAAAAUGUUUUUUAGCAUAAAACAUGUAGGAAGUAAUUUUAAACAGUAAAAGGUAAAGGGUUAAUUAGUUUCUCAUUUAAUUAAUUCGAUUCAUUUAUUAGUAUAGGUAAAUUUAUUAUUUAGUACCAAGUAGUAUAAGAAUAGUAUUAAGAUGAAGGGUAAAAAUGUAAUUUGAUUUUUUAGGAAUAUUUUGUAAUUCAAUUUUAUAAGUUUUGGGGCUUCCCACUUAAUAAUUAUUAUUUAUAAUAAUAAAAAAAAUUUGACUUAACACCUUUCCAUUAUUAUUAUAGAUUAUAGAUGAUAAAUAUUAAUAAAUUAGAUAUUUAAUUAGGAAUUAAUCUUAGGAAGUCUAAAAGUCAUUUAACAUUUUUAAUUUAAAACUUAUACAAUCAAAUAUUUAAAUAUUUUAUAACAAUUUAAUUAAUAGAAGGGGUAAAACUGUAAUUCAACUUUCAACUUUUUUUGUUCAUGCUUAUAGUAAUAUAUAUGAUAUGAUAUAUAUAUAUAUGAUUAUUUACUGUGGUCGUUUUCUGAUAUGAUCACAAUAAGAUAUAACCGUCUAUUAUCUUUUAAACUUGUUUUUCUUUUUAGUUUGCAAUAUAUUUUGGAUUGGUAACAUUAGUAGUAUUAAAUUGUUAACAGCACUAGUUUGCAAUAUUUUUGGUUUCUGCAAACAUUAUUAGCACAUAUUGAAAGAGAUAUAUAUGAUAUGGUUUCAUUGAAUUAUAUCCUCUACAUAAGCAGUGAAGACAAAACAAAGUACUAAUGUUAUUUAAAUUGUCUCUAAAAUUUUGAUGAUUUAAUAAACUUUGAGAUCUAAAGAACGACCAGAUUCCAAGAGAGAUUGAGAGUUCUGUUUAUGAAAAAAACAGCGGUCUAAAAGCAGCAACACCUGCUGUGGUUGGUGCACGUAUUUUGCAGCAGACAUUCAGCCAAUGGCAGGGCAUUGCUUCAAGAGUUUGGGUCCAUCCUAUAAUACACCUCUUUGACAUUGACACAAACUCAAGUUUUUGCAAUAUAAAAAUUCAUAACAGCAAAAGUCAUUCUCUCAAGGAAAUAUUUCUCGAUAAAUGAUAGAGUUAUCAUCGUUCUUAGGUGUUUUUAGGGCUUAUAUUUCUGUGCUUAUACUUGUAAGAUUUAUUCCUACGUUAUAAAGGAAUCAGAUCAUUUGAAGUUUUUUCUGAGUAUUCCGAGUUAUAGCUAGAGUUAGUUAUGUUGUAUUCUUGAAUUCAAGAUCAACUAUAGCUAGUUGAUUUAGUGGGUCAUAGAGUUAUUGCUUAGUUUUUGAGUAACAGAGUUGUUACUAUGAGGGGAAGGGAUUAAGAGUUUAAUUCCUAGGCUACAAGGGUUUGUAAUAUGAAGCUUUGCACUUUUGAUGAUAAUGGAGUUGGGUUAAAUCCUGUGAGACAGACCGUGGUUUUUCCUCCCUUGAACAAGGGGCAUUCCACGUAAAACUCUUGUAUUUGUUUUACUUUGUGUUAUUUAUUUUCCACAAUUUUUCUUUCAAGGGACUUGGUCCAUUGACCAUUAGUGGACGCAUACAUUCUAUGAGUAAUAAUAAGAUUGAAAAAGAAACCACUAAGAAAAAGUAAGGGUUAAAUCCAUCAAAUGGAAUCCUGGAGCCACCUCUUGAUGCUAAUAUUCUGGCCAAGAUCAGUAACAAAGAUAUAAUGUAAUCUGGUUUAACUAACCCUAAAGCUAGCUCAUCUCUGUGCAAUCUCAUAUAGGGCCCUAUUCAGGUGUGUCACAAUUAUGGUAGUAGCUAUAUGUGUCAUCUUUCUUCAAUUGUGUCUGUAAUGGUUUCAUGAACUGGAGUUCCAGGUUCUGUUGUAGAGAACCCUUCAGCAGCAGGGGAUACUCCUAGUCCGUCGGAAAUUCUGAUUUCUGGGAUUUGCGAAGGAAGGUCAGGCAAUAUCUCAGGAGAAGCUUCACUUGCUGCGAGCAGUGUAGGUGCAUUGCUUCCAUUGCUUUCAGAUGGCUCUUCUGACAUAGAAUUAGAGCUGUCUUUCUCUUCAUCAAAGACUUUUGCAAUUGCAGUAAGCUUUUGCCAUAUUGAAUCAUCAGUGGCUAAGAUUUCUCUAUUCUGAUAAAGGAGGAUGAGGAAGAAUAGGAGAAGAGCGGAGCCUGCUGAAACACCAGCUAUGAGGAAAAGUCCCUUAAAACUAUCUAACGUGAGGCUAUCAGAUGUUAUUGCCGUUUCAUCUUUCUGUGGACAAUCUGUUUCAUUCCCAAACCAUUUCUGUAUUAUGUUAUUCAUAAACUCUCCCUCCAUCACCUUCAAGACUGCUCUUGAGACGUCAGGUACCAAAGGAGAUCCUUUUGGAAAUGCCUGCAAUAAAAGAUUAGAUGAUUGAGUAAACAACAAAUCAUUCUAAAUAUAUAUGUUAACAGUGUCUGAAACAUCAGUGGAGUGUACAAUCUUACAAACCCAAAGCCGGCAGCCUUGUAUGUCUGGCCGACCAUAAUAUACUUCCUGCAGUACUUGUUGAGGAAGAGUCUGAGAUAAGGUAGUUCAUCAACAAUUGCACCUACACCUCCAAUUUUUUGCUUCCUCUUGAGAGUGCAUCAUUAUACUCUUCCAAUGUGCUAUAAUUUCUGAACUUGGAGCUGUCAAAUUUCAUGUGCUUUAUGAAGACGUCUUUGACAAAGGAACCUUCUUGGUACCCAACAUAUUCUCCAUUCUUGAUGAGAUCAUUGAGGUCUGUUAUAGUAGGUUGGAGCUGUUGCAGUGUCAACAUAGAUGUUAAGCUGGCUGUAUAACUUGAUGUCAGCACCAGAACCACAAAAACCCACACAAUCAGCAAAAAUCUUGUUAAGUUACUUGUUACCCUCUCUCCUGCAACAACCAGCCAUAUAUAUGAUUUGUUGAGACACAAGGAAAAAUCCUAUAUCUUUCGUAUAUAAUAAUAUGCUUUGAGUUAGUGUCUUACUAUGAGCAAAAACGAGAGUUGAGAAGGAAAACCAAAAUAUCAUCCCAACUUGGUUGCGUUUGGGUCCUCGGAACUCUUUGUUUACACGAUGUUCGAGUACCCAAACCACAAAACCAAUGAAAACGAAGAAUGCUCCAGUUGUUAUCCAAAGCUCGCUCUUUAGAGGUUUCAAGAAAAUCCAAGCAUCCCUCCUAUCAUCAUCCCUUACCGGCACAACUACAGAAAUACCUGACUCUAUAAAAGGUAAUGUGAAAUCCACAUACUCUGACCGGCUCGCUAAAAUGGUCACAUCACCUACAACUGCAUCAUAGUCCUGGCUCAAGCAAACAUUGAUUAUUCCAGUAUGUAUAGUUGAUUGUAAUAGCAGAAAAUAGAUAUCGAAGUCCCAAAAAGGGCCAUGUUAGUAAGAUAUAGAGCCAAAGAGGUUUAUUGGAACAGAGAUUAUAUAUUACCUGAGAGGUGAUCUUGUGAACAAGAUCAUCAUAGUCUGGAAGAGUGAGGGGAUCUUGUAUUGGAAAUGGAAUAAAUUCGUAAGGGAGAGCAUAUGGCAAAGAUAGGAUGACUUCUUUGAAGACAUCUGCACAGAAACCAGUUGCUGUUACUGCUUGUGUUUUUGAAUCUCUUUCCACUUUAAUGAGUUGCUCCAGCCCUCCUUUGAGAGGAACUCCAACCCUUAACUUCUUCCCACUUGUGGGCAUUUCCCAGCCUCUUGGAACAAUAGUUGAUUCACCAGGCCAAAAAAUGGCUCCUAGUUGCUUAUUAUUACACUUAACUGCUGUUUUACCAUUCAUCUUCAGUUUACACGAAAUGCCAUCCCUCUUCGUCCAAAAUCCAAUGUUUUUCUCUCCUUUCCCAAUUAUAUUCACAAUCUGAUAUGGGAUUGGCUGCAGUUCUCCAUUGAUGAUACGGAAAUCACCACUUAAUCCUUGUUUUAGCACUGUGUUUCGCAUAGAGUCAAUGAGCAGAGAUCCCACUGCUGACGUUCCAAGUGCAUCUAAGUCUGUUAAGUUCUCUCUGGUGUCUGGUUUCUUUAAUUUUGGGAUAGCAGUAGUGCCUACUUUAUCUACUGCUUCUGCUAAUGAGGUGAUGCUAUCGUAUGCCCAUAGCCCAAAAACAUUGAGUUCUAUUUGGUCCAUGUCUGGAUACUCUUGACGGAAUCUCUUUCUCCAUCUCUUUGUGUAGUUGUUAAGCUGAUUUGAUCUUGGAAUGUAAGGUUUUAUACCAAGAACACCUUGCAUUGAUGACUCGAUCACUGAAUGAUCUACCAAGUCCAGAAGACUCGUUAGCACAUCUGUGAUGAUCCAUGCAUAUCCACUGCUCAUCAUCCCUGCUUCUUUGGCCUUGAGAAAAAGGCGGGAGGCAAGAUAUGGACGCAAGUGCACGACGAACACCCUUGUUUGCUUUGUAUUCAUAUUGUAUAACUCCUUGAGAAUCUGAUCAUCAUUGGCUGACGGAGAAAUAACACUUCUAUAGGAGACUAAAGUGCUGAUUUCCAGUAAGGCAUCAGUCAAAUGUGGAACUAUCCCGAACCCAUAGGGGCUAUCCUCAUAGAUGACCACAACCUCCCUCCAAUCAAAGUUUUUAACAAGUGCUGCAAUGGCCUUAGUCUGGCUGGAAGAAGGAAGUGCUGCUCUGAUGAAGAAGGGAUUUUCCUUGACUGUAAGUAAAGGACUUGUUGCUGGAGAAAUGAUUGGGACUUUUACUCUGUUCCCUAAGUCGAUCACAAAAUCAGUUUGUGUAGACAUUUGUGGCCCAAAGAUAGCUUGUACUUGGACAUCCUUUAGCAAGUAUAUGGCUGCACAUACACAAUCAGACAAUAAGAAUUUACCCAAAGUAAGAGUUUAAUAGAAGUGAAUCAUGGAACUGAAUUUACCAGCAGAUGUUGCUUCAACAUCAUCUUUCUUGGAAUCCUUGAUAUGAGGAACUAUCCUUAUGGCACCGCGACUAGCGUUGGCAUGAUAAUCUUCAAGUGCUAGUAAGAUAGAUAUGUGCAUUACUUUUCCCACAUCUGUUUCCAGAUCAAGAAUUAUACCCACAUCCACCUUUACAGCACUAGUGUUAUUAUCUUCACCUCUUAUUCGAACCACAUAGUGGUAAAAGCUAAUGAUGGAGAUAAGUUGAAAUGAAAAGAAUUAGAAAAGUGGCAUCUUGGAUUAUGCAUUUGAAAAAACUCUGGUAGCAAGUAGUCUGAGAGAUGGGCAACAAGCAGUUGUGCUUGUGCAAGAUAACCACACAUUCAGAAUGACAAUUUUCCUAUAAUUAAUAAGACCAAACUCCAUAAAUGAAGAAAGAAAAGUCAAAGAACAAAUGGUUGAAAAUCAAGUAUUCGUUUGAUUAUUGAAAGUGAGGACUUUUCACAUAUGCUACAACCGCACAGCUAGUAAGCAUAUUACCCCUCAGGUUUGACUAAAUAAAAAUUUGACAAAAUUGAUUGGUACUCAUUCCCCAACACCCAAUUACUUUUUGUGUGUACUAUCUAGAGGAUAUAUUCAAGGGAACUUACAUGAAUUCAACUAAUUUAGGAGUUAAUUACUUAAAUACAUUGUAGUUUGCAAUAUUACGUAUUUUACUAGAUUUUGGUAUGUCCAGAUACAUUCAGAUACAUAUAUGUGAGGUUACUUAGGAUCAAAAUUAGGUGUAAUUUGCUCUAGAUGCAUUGUAUCUAAGUGACUUUGCAUGUAUCUGGGAUACAUAACAAAUCUCGCUCGCCUCUCUCCCAUCUCUCACUCUCCUAUGUAUCUGAUAUUCCAUAUACAUGUGAAUCACACCAGAUACAUACACAUAAAUGUAUCUUAUGUGUAUAUAGUGUGAUUCGCAUGUAUCUGGGAUACAUAACAAAUCCCGCUUGCCUCUUUCCUCAUCUCGUUCCCCUAUCUUCCUAUUUUUGUGUAUCUGAUGGCAAAAAUUCAUGUAGCCAAAUGUAUUUUCCUCAAUAUAUGAUAGGAAACUCUUAAUUAGUGAUAGUAUACGAAAUAUUUUAAAAGUAUAGAAUAUAAUAGUAUAUAUGAUAGUGAAGUAUGUCUAAUGAUAUAGUUUUUCUGUAUUGAAAGGACUUCCCAAAUUUUGGCUGAGGCAUAAAAAGUUGACAAAUUUAGCUCAGUUACAAAUUCCACAAUUAAACCAAUAAGUAGAAGAGACCAUUGUUUUCCAACUUGGACAAGGCUAGAUACGACUAGUAAUCUUUAGUUUACGCGUUUUCAGUUACUAGUCUUUGGACACGUGCGUUGCACGUAUAUCCCAUAUUAUAUGGUUGCAUAAUAUAUGUCUAUAGUUACAAAUAUAUGUAUAAAAAAAAAUUGAUUGUGAUAUAAAUUGGAAAACAUGUAUAAGAUAAGAAAUCAAAACAGAUACCCUCAAAUUUCAAACUAUAAGCAUAAUAAGAAUAUGUAUUUCUAAUGAGUUUAAUCAAUCAUACCUUGCAAUAAUCUCUGCAAUUCAUUGAGAAACUUUCAAUCCAUACAUCAACAUUCAAUCGUGUAUAUAUAAAGAAAACUUGAAAUGCAUAACAACAAUUAUAUCUAUAUUUUUUAAAACACUAUAAAGUCAUUUUUUCUUUUUGCAUUAUAAUAUGGAUUGCACACAAUUUCUAUUAAAAAAAAGAAAGACAAAAUUAGGAAAAAUCGUAUCAAUAAAUUGGAAUGAAAAAUGUAAAAUUGUAAUAAGAGGAAGAGAAGAAAAAUACAGUAGAAUAUAUUACCUAACCAUGAAUAAGGAAGUAUGUUGAGUAAAAGAAGAGUAAUGCAAAAGUGUGAACUGAUAUAUGGAGGAAAUUGACAAAUAUAAUAAUCUAUAUUGAAUAAUGAAAAACAACUCUUCAAUUUCUGCAAAAAUUUUAUAACUACGAGCUCAAAAUAAUAUAAAUUUAUUAAUUUAAUAAAUGACAUAAAUAAAUAAAUAACAUAUAUUGUGUGUAUGUGUAGUUAAUGGGGUAGUGAAAAAGACUCUUUCUGAAAUUAUUUUUAUCUCUUUAAAGUAAUUUUGAACUUUUGAUAUUAGUGCUAUAGAAAAUCAUAUAAAGUCAUAAGCCACUGCAAGUUUUUAUAGUAAUUAUCUUAUUAAAUUAUAUACCUAUUAUUAUUUUUAAUUAUUUAUAAUCAUUCCGAAAAUGUAUAAAUUAAUUUUGAAAAGCUUGUAAAAUGAGAAAUUAUUAUUUCUUAUCAUUAUUUUAGCUAUUAUUAACAUUUAGUAUGACAACAUUUUAAAAAAGCAGCUUCCUUUAAAUAUUAAUUGUUUCUAAAUUAACAUAGCCAAGAAUUUAAAAUGUUGUGACGUUUUGUUUAUCUAAACACGCAGAAUUUUGUUUUUGAACCUGGAACAUGUAAUUAAGCCUUGGGUGAAUUAUAAUUUUAUUUUUACUAUUUAAUUAAUUAAAUAAUUUGUAACAUUUUAAUAUAAUGAAGGGGUAAAAUGGUAACUCAACUUUAAAGGUUGGAGCUUCCCACUUUUAGUAAUAUAUGAUAAAUUGGUCAGUAGUAGUAACCUAGUUUAAUUUGAUAUAAUAACAUUCAUGACAAAAUAAAUUAAAUAUGGCUAAUUAAGAAAAUAUAAUUAAAUAUGAUUAUCUUUAAUGUUAUUUAAAUUUGUAGGCGAUUUUUUUUGUAUUUUAAAAUUAAAAAAAGGCCAAAAAACCCACAAAAAGAGAUAAAUAGGAUUGAAGCCCUUAGAGAGCGUCACCUCACCGUUUUCAUAUUCAACUUUAUUAUUAUAUAUGGAUUUAGAUUUUUGCACAACCUUAAAUUUAAGGACACAUUUAGAUAUUAUAUCAAACAUUCAUUUAUUUGAAGUUGAAAUUACAUUUUACAUGAAAAUUGGAUAUUCCAUAUUCACAUUGAGUAUGAAUCUUUUUGUUUUUUUUACAAAAUUCAAAAUAAAAAAAUACAAAACAUAAACUUAUAGAUCAAAUUUUACAUUUGACAUUUGAAAGUUUUACUUUUCAUUAAACGUUUUGUUAUAGAAUUUGGAAUCGCCCUUUGAAAUUAGUAUUUAUAAAUGAAAAUAUUGAUCUAGUCCUGUUGAAAUUGUGUCUGGCCUAGUACUUUUUCUUAUUAGAGUGAUUAUUGAAUUAGGUUUAAUAUCAAUUUUCUUAAUUAGUUUUGUCAAUUGGCAGUGCUAAGAAGAUGGGAAUUUACGUUAUAUUAAAUUAUCUUUACAUUAAUAAAAAAAGAAAUUGUUGUUAGUAUUAUUUGUAAUAUAAUUAAACAAAAAUAACAAUGGGAAGAAAAUAAUAAGUAAAGAUUACACGUUGUAUUAAAAUAAUAAGUAUUAAAAAUUAUGAUAAAUUUUAUAAUAGUCAUAACAGGAAUUUACGCAAUAAUUACUAUAUUAGAAUACUAGAAAAAUUGAUAAGUUCCUCGACAUCUAAUCAUUGAUUAAAAUUUAAAUUAUUAUUUUCUUCUGCGAAAGUUUAAGAGAUUAAAUUAAUGUUUUAAAAAAUAAUAUUAAUUAUUUUCAAUGAUUAAUAAGAAAAUGUAUAUAGCAAGUACAUGUAUUAUUAUUACAUUAUUUAUAUCCACUCUAUAUUAAAUCAUUUUUCUAUUAUAGUUUGACGCAAAUUUCAGAAUGUAAAGAAUGUUUUGGAUUCGAAAAAUAAAUAUUCAAAAUAUACUAACAUGUCAUUUAAUCUUAUGAUAUUUUACAUUUCAUGUGAAAAAAAAUUAAAUAUUAAUUUUUUAAUAUGAAAAAUAUUAAUUUAUUAAUACAACAUAAAAGUAAUAAAGGACAAUAUAUAAAAAUAUUUGAAGUAUUUGAUAUUUUAUUAAAUUAAAAUAAUUCUAAAUUAAUAUAUAGCCGCGCAACGCGCGGGUACGUAUACUAGUGAAGAACAAUAAUAAAGAAGAAGACAAUUGAGUUAAUAUUUAUUUUUUCCAAGUUUAAUUUAACACAUGACCAGUUUUUAUUGGUCAGUGCUGUCAAAAAGUUGCACCCACGCGCCUAAAAUAGGUGAAAUCACGGACUCAGCCACGUAGGCCAAAAAGUGGUAAACAAUUAACUAAAAAAUAAGUUCAGGGGGGUAAUAGGACUUUAGUAAAGGUUAGGUGUGUCUCAGGGAUUUUGGGCAUAGGCUGGGGGGGUACUUAUGCAUUUUCCCUUAUGUUAAAUAUACCAAAAUGUUUUUUAAUCUUAUGACUUUAAACAUGUCACGUGAAAAACUGAAAUUAAAGUGUUGCCAAAAAAAGAAGGGUCAUUUUUUUUAAACAGACUAAACAGAAAAGUAGAUCUUUUUAAAACGGAAGGGAAGUAAUUGUUAAUGCAAGAGGAAGCUGCUUGAAAAGUUACGUAUAUGAUGUUGAAGUUGUCUAACAUGCAAUGCUGGUCCUAUAAUCUUUCAUUAUUUAUUAUCCAUGACUAUGGGUGGAUAAUAAUAGUUAUCUGCUAUGAUCAUAUAUACCUAGGGGUGGACAUAUUACUUAGAAAACUUAUGUUAGGUAAUUUUGAUUUCUAAAAAUACUAUAUGGUGUAUGCUAUUUGCAGAUGAUAGUCCUAAUCGACCAGACUCGUAAUAGAGUUAAUGUUAAGCUAGAGAAGAUAAUAAUGGCUCCCUUCUCAAAUAUUUCAUUGGUAGAAAUUUGCCUUCCAGAAUUUCAUAAUUGCAUCUGAUCCUUUCUGAUAACUCAAAGGGCAUCUUAAAUUGGUGCGGAAGUUUAAUUUUGACAUGGAACGCAAAUAUAUGCGGAAAAUUAGUAAUUCAAUAAAUAUUUAAUUAUGAAUGCAUAUUACAAAAGUGCAAGGAAUUCAAUUGUAAGAUGUUGAAGGUUAAACCCAUAAAUUCUAAAUACUAGAGACGCCUCUUAAUGCAAAUAUAAUAUGGUUUAACUAUUUUAAACCUGGCUCAUCUCUCUUAAGUUGUCCCUGUAAUGUUUUCAUGAACUGGAGUUCCAGGUUCUGUUGUAGAGAACCCUUCAAGUGCAGGGGAUGCUCCUAAGCCGUCGGAAAUUCUGAUUUCUGGGCUUUGCAAAGGAAGGUGGGGCAAUAUUUCAGUAGAGGCUUCACUUUCUGCAAACAGCAUAGCUGUUUGGAUUUCAUUGCCUUCAGAUGGCUCUUCUGACAUAGAAUUAGAGUUGUCUCUCUCUUUAUCAAAGGCAUUUGCUAUUGCAGAAAGCUUUUGCCAUACUGAAUCAUCAGUGGCUAAGAUUUCUCUAUUCUGAUAAAGGAAGAUGAGGAAGAAUAGGAGAAGAGCGGAGCCCGCUGAUACACCAGCUAUGAGGAAAAGGCCCUUAAAACUAUCGAGCAUGAGGCUAGAUGCUAUAGCCAUUCCAUCUUGCUUUGGACAAUCUGUUUCAUUCCCAAACCAUUUCUGUAUUAUGUUAUUCAUAAACUCUCCUUCCAUCACCUGCAAGACUGCUCUUGAGACGUCAGGUACCAAAGGAGAUCCUUUUGGAAAUGCCUGCCAGAAGUUGGGGGAAAAUAAAAGAUUAAAUUAUUGAGUAGAACAUAAACCAUUCUAAACAAAUGUAAACACGUUCUGAAACAUCACUGGAGUGCAACAUUCUUACGAAUCCAAAGCCAGCAGCCUUGUAUGUCGGACCGACCAUAAUAUACUUCCUGCAAUACUUGUUGAGGAAGAGUCUGAGAUAAGGUAGUUCAUCAACAAUUGCACCAACACCUCCAUUUUUACUUCCUCUUGAGAGGGCAUUACUAUACUCUUCCAAUGUGCUAUAACUUAUGAACUUGGAACUGUCAAACUUCAUGUGCUUCAAGACAUCUUUGACAAAGGAACCUUCUUGGUACCCAACAUAUUCUCCAUUCUUGAUCAGAUCAUUGAGGUCAGUUAUAGAAGGUUGGAGCUGUUGCACUGUCAACAUAGAUGUUAAGUUGGCUGUAUAACUUGAUGUCAGCACCAGAACCACGAAAACCCACACAAUCAGCACAAAUCUUGUGAAGUUACUAGUAACCCUCUCUCCUGAAACAACCAGCCAUAUAUAUGAUUUGUUGAGAAACAAGGAUAAAUCCUAAAGCUUUUUGUAUAUAAUUUGCUUUGUGUUAGAGACUUACUAUGAGCAAAAACGAGAGUUGAGAAGGAAAACCAGAAUAUCAUCCCAACUUGCUUGUGUUUGGGUCCUCGAAACUCUUUGUUUACACGAUGUUCAAGUACCCAAACCACAAAACCAAUGAAGAUGAAGAAUCCUCCUGUUGUUAUCCAAAGCUCGCUCUUUAGAGGUUUCAAGAAAAUCCAAGCAUUCUUUCUAUCAUCAUUCUUUACCGACACAACAGCAGAAAUACCGGACUCUGAAAAAGGUAAUGUGAAAUCCACAUACUUGGCUCGGCUCGCUAAAAUGGUCACAUCACCUACAACUGCAUCAUAUUCCUGGUUCAAGCAAACAACGAUUAUUUUAGUAUAUAUGGUUGAUCUCAGUCAAAGAAGAAAGUAGAUAUGGAAGUCCCGGAAAGGAGCAUGUAAGGUAUUCAGCCAAAAAGGUUAAUUCAAAAAAGAAUUGGAUAUUACCUUUGAGGAGAUCUUGUAAACAAGAUCAUCAUAGUCUUGAGAAGUGGGGCUAACUAUUGGAAAUGGAAUAAAUUCGUAAGGGAUGGCGUAUGGCAAAGAUUGGAUAACUUCUUUGAAGACAUCUGGAAUGAAACCAGUUGCAGUUACUGCUUGUGUUUUGGCAUCUAUUUCCACUUUAAUGAAUUGCUCCAGCCCUCCUUUGACAGGAACUCCAACCCUCAACUUCUUCCCACUUGUGGGUAUUUCCCAGCCUCUCGGAACAAUAAUAGAUUCACCAGGCCAAAUGAUGGCCGCUAGUUGCUCAUUCAUACUCUUAGCUGUUUUACUAUUCAUCUUCAGUUUAUGCGAAAUGCCAUCCUUCUCGGUCCAGAAUCCAAUGCUUCUCUCUCCUUUCCCAAUUAUAUUCACAAUCUCAUAUGUGUAUAGCUGCAAUUCUCCAUCAAUGAUACGGAAUUCACCACUUAGUCCUGUUUUUGGCUUUGUAUUUCGCAUAGAGUCAAGGAGCAGAGAUCCAAAUUCUGAGGUUCCAAGUGCAUCUAAGUCCGUUAAAUUCUCUCUAGUGUCUGCUUUCUUGAAUUUUGGGAUGAUGGUAGUGCCCACUUUUGCUAUUGCUUUUGUUAAUGCGGUGAUGCUAUCAUAUGCCCAUAGCCCGUAAACAUUGAGUUCAACUGGGUCCAUGUCUGGAUACUCUUGACGGAAUCUCUUUCUCCAUCUCCUCGUGUAAUUGUUAAGCUCAUUUGAUCUUGGAAUAUAAGGUUUUAUACCAAGAACACCUUGCAUUGAUGACUCAAUUACUGAAGUAUCUACCAGGUCCAGAAGACUCGUUAGCACAUCUGUGAUGAUCCAUGCAUAUCCACUGUUCAUCAUCCCGGUUUCUUUGGCCUUGAGGAAAAGGCGGGAGGCAAGAUGUUCUUGCAAGUGCACAAUGAACACCCUGGUCUGCAUUGUCUUCAACUUGUAUAGCUCCCUGAGGAUUUGAUCAUCAUUGGCUGAAGGAGAAAUACCACUUCUAUAGGAGACUAAAGUAUUGAUUUCCAGCAAGGCAUCAGUCAAAUAUGGAAGUAUCCCGGUUCCAUAGGGGCUUUCCUCAUAGAUUACUACAACCUCCCUCCAAUUAUAGUUUUUAACAAUUGCUGCAAUGGCUUUAGUCUGACUGGAAGAAGGAAGUGCGCCUCUGAUGAAGAAGGGAUUUUCCUUGACUGAAAGUGAAGGACUAGUUGCUGGAGAUAUUAUAGGAACUUUAACUCUGUUCCCCAAGUCGAUCACAAAAUCAGUUUGUGUAGACAUUUGUGGCCCAAAGAUAGCUUGCACUUGGACAUCCUUUAGCAAGUAUAUGGCUGCACAUACACAAUCAGACUAUAAGAAAUUGUCUGAACAUCUCUUUUUCAAAAUAGGAAAAGUAAUAUCUUAGAGAAAAAGUGAAUCUUUUGAAGCAAAGAGAGAAAAAUAAUCCUAGUUUAACAUAAGUAAAGCUUAGAGCUGAAUUUUACCAGCUGAUGCUGCUUCAACAUCAUCUUUCUUUGAAUCCCUGAUAUGAGGAACUAUCCUUAUGGCACCGCGACUAGUGUUGGCAUGAUAAUCUGCAAGAGCUAGUAAGAUAGAUAUGUGCAUUACUUUUCCCACAUCUGUUUCCAGAUCAAGAAUUAUGCCCACAUCCACCUUUACAGCACUAGUGUUAUUAUCUUCACCUCUUAUUCCAAUUACAUAGUGGCAAAAGCUAAUGAUGGAAACAAGUUGAAUGAAAAUAAUUAGGAAUUUGCAUCUUGGAUUAUGCAUUUGAAAAACUCUUGUAGAAAGUAAUAUGAGUGUUGGGCAAGAAGCAGUUGUGCUUGUGCAAGAUUUAUAACCACCAUUCAGAGAUGUGUUUAAAGGUAUCUUAACUAUAACUUUUCUACAAUUAAAUGAGACCAAACCUCAUAACUGCAGAAAGAAAAGUCAAAGUUUUCAAAGAAUUACAAAUGGUUUAAAAUAUACUAGUUUGAUUAUUAAAGAAAGAGGACUUUUCACACUUGUUAGACCACAAGCUAGUAAAGCCUCCUCAGUUUUGACCAAAUCAAUAAAUGACUAAAUGAACAUAGUGACAAAAUUGAUUUGUACUCAUUCUCCCAAUACCCAAAGAAGUUUUUGUAUUCAUUGGAUGACUAUCUAGAGGCUACUAAAAGGACUUCCCAUAUUUUGGCUAAGUCAUGUUGAAAGUUGAGUGCUAGCUCAGUUACAAAUAAGUAGAAGAGGUCAGUUUCUAUGACUUGGACAUUGGAAAAGGGCAGCUAUGACUAGUAAUCUUUAGUUUACUUAGACGGUUCAGUUUAGAAUUGGUCAGUAGUAUAAAACUUUAUGGUGGUAGAGGCACAACUUGUAGGGUUGUUCCGGGUUAUCGUUAAAAAAUCAAAUCAAACUUGUAGGGUUGUUUGGUUAGGUUUUAAAUUUUGAAAAUCAACACUAUUUGGUUUGGUUUGGUUUUAAAACUGUAAAAAUAACCAAAUUGAACGUGUAAUUAUAAUAAUUGCUUGAUUGAAUCCACAGUAACUUUCAUGUGUAUUGUUCAUGUACUAGGUGUCUGUGUUUAUAUGUCUUCAAAAAAAUUAUUACUUCCAAAACAAAAAAACAAAAAAAAUUGAACCAAACCGACAAUUAUUUUUUUAUUUGGUUUUAGAAUUUAGAAACCGACUAAAUUGAUCUGGCUUUGAUUUUAGCCAAUAAUCAAUCCAAAUCGAACCAUGAACACCUCUAGGCACAAAUAUAACUUGGUAUGUGAAGGAUUACUAUAAUACCUUUCCUUCAACUUUUUUUUAAAAAAAAAAAACCUCUAUUGGUAAAUUUUUCAAAUCAGUUUUUUUUACUCAUGAGCUCUAUUCCUUUCCCUUUUAUAUUUUUUAUAAUAUAAAAUAUAAGAUAAAAUAAAGAAUUUUUUUAAAAAGAAAUGAGAAAAAAAAUGAUGAAGAUGAGGGGUGAGGAGCUAAAGGAGAGAAGAAAGAUAGAACAUAAGAUGAGAAAGGUAGGGUCCCCAUAUUUUCUUUAUCAAAAAGUAAUUUCUUACCUACCAAAGUCAUAUUUAUGCCUCUACCACCACAAAUUUUUUCGUAUUAACUUGCUUGCAAGUUGCAAAACCAAACAAAGCAAGCAUACCCAAAUGGAGAUGGAAUCUUGGAAUGAGGAUGGUUGGGUAUACAUGUAGGUUUCAAUGUCAUUAUCUCAAUAUAUAUAUACUAGAGGGGCAUGGCCCGUGCUAAGCACGGGCCCAACAUAAACAUAGUUAGUCUAUUAUUCUCUAUAUAGGCAAAAUAUUGUUGGAAACUAUUCACUUAUAUAAGUAACUAAUUCAAGUUAUGUGUUUGUUAACAAAGUUUAUUCAUUCAAGCAUCUGCAAACUAUACACCAUACCAAACCACCAAUAAAGAAAAAGACAUGAAAUGUUAACACAAAUUAAACAACUUCAAAAGAAAGAAAGAAAAGAAGAAGAAUCAAGGAGGUGAAAGAACAUUAAAAUUUUGCAGUCUUAUCAGUCAAAUUCUAGUGGUGUCACAACUUUCACAGGGACCAUCAACUCUUCAACUUUUUGUACAUAUUUGCUUUUCAGUGCCAAUAAAUUAUUAUCUGUCGUUCCUGCAAGUUUUUGGAAAAAGUGUAUCAACAAUUGAUGCUAAAGAUCAUAUACUUUGUUUUGUAUUUUAUUUUACCAAGUAAAAAAGUCAGUAAUUGAUAUACCUAAUUUACUGCACUUAAGACAUUCUAGCUUCUAAAUCUAAUAAAACAAUACUAAUGAACACUUUUAAAUAAAUGAAAGAUGAUGGUACCUAAGGGAUGGAGUAAAUGAAUCAUGUGAAGUAAGCAAAUUGAAGUCAAAGUGAAUGUGUCAAUUACGUGGCCAUUAUAUCAAAUAUUUGUCAAUUCUAACCAAAAAGAAAUUGUUAGACAGUAAAUUUGUAAAACUUUAUAGAAAAUGACCUUUUAUUUUGUCUAUUUUGCCCUUUCAUGUGCUCCUUCAUGUCGCUUCCCCUUUCCAUUUUGUCGUCCCUCUCAUCUCAAUUCCCGUUUUGUUGUCCUCUCUUCCCAAUACUAUUUUUAUCCAGCUUGAUCUGGAAAAGAGGUAACUGACAUAUUAGUGUACUUAAUUUGGAACAAAAUCACUUGGAGAACAAUAAAGUAGGUAAUAAACACGAACAAUACUUAGACUCUGAAGUCUUGGUGAUAGUUAAGUAGUAGAAUGAGGAAGAGAUUAUACAAAUCAAUAGAGUUCAAACAACAACAUAUCUUAUCAAAUCUUAUCACUACCUCGUGGAGGUAGAGGUACUCUUUCCGAAAGAUCAAAUCACUGAUCUCGAUAGUUAUUGUUGAGUAGUUAAUACAUAAAUCUCUCCAGAGUAACAAAAAAAGGGCAGAUAGGGAUUAAAAGAAAUUAAGAAAAUGAAAUACGAUGCUACAUUUCUCAAGAGUUAAAAAGAGGGACAACCAAUUUGAGUAGUAGAUUCAGGUUGAUGGUGAUCUACUAUACAACUAAAUGGUGCAACAACUCAAAAUCUCAAGGAAAACAAAUCAAGACAUUCUUGCAAAUUAAAGGCACUAAUAAAACUGCGGCAGAAAUUCUCGUGACUGUGUGGUUCUAUAUGGAAAAUGACUUCCACAUGCUUGGUCUUAGCAAUACGCCAUGUGCACAAGGAAAAAUAUAUUAUAACCACGCGUUUCUUGUUACCGAUAAACAUGACUUAUGAGAAAGUCAGUUUUUAAGAGAAUUCGAAGAACAACAGGAUAAGAAACUACCCUUUCAUUUACUUUCUCAAACACUUAAUAAGGCUUCCGUUUUUUCAACAUUCUUGCAGAGUUGAUUGUGGAGAUCAACAAUUCAUCCAUUUGACCAUUAUCACUUGUAGACACACUAAACUGACAAAGAGUCUUAUAUCAGGGGUGUAUAAAUGAAAACCCCUUCUUUUCAUAUCUAUUUGAAUUGAUUAAACUUGUCGCACAACAAAUAGGAUCAACGUUUUCAGUAAUCAAAGGAAAGAAAAAAAUCUACAUCAAAGGCAUGUUAUAUGAAGUAUGUGAAAUAAGGAUUGUAGAAACGAAGGAGAAAUAAAGAUUUGAUUAGCUUACCAUUCAAAGUAAUUGUAGACAAACAAAGAAGAAGUGAAUAUUUGAUCACCGCUUACCGUUCAACUCAACUGUAGACAAACGAAGAAGAAGUGAUUGACCCUUAAUUUGGAAUCAAUUGAUUUUUUACUAUAUCUCGAUAAAAAAUUUAAUUUAUGUAACUCAUUUCUAUAUAAACAACCAAGAUGCUUAGAACAUACAUAACAUAUUCAAUGUGGCUUACUUCUAUAAAAAUCAUAAAUAAAAUAUAAAGGAAAGCUUCAAACUCUACCUAAUUAGUUCAUAUGAUCAGCAAAAUCCAAAAAACUUGAAAAAAGAAACAAAUUUGUACUCUCUUGCAGAAAUAAGUUUUGUCUUUUGGAAACAACCUCUCUAUCUCCACGAAGUAGGGGUAACAGUCUACGUACACUCUACCUCCUCAAACCUCACUUAUGGGAACUACACUGGGUAUGUUGAUGUUGUUGUUGUUGAAAUAAGCACAAAAGACUGGACUCUCACUAAAACUUCCGUAAAGAUCAAAUUCUUAAGUUUCAUUCUGCAACUAAAAAUCCCGAAAAUGAAGAAUCAGAUUACUCACAUUGACAAAAGUGGGGUAAAAAAUAACUUGAGCUUUGCUAUUCAAAACAUCAACAACUUCUUCAAUCCCAGAAAGUCUUUUAAUUGCCUUUAAAUGCCUAGCACUAUUUUUUUAAGAAGAAAUUACUGAACAACCUUAGUGAAAAUUCCAAAUUCGCCAUUGCAUCCAACCCCCGUCCCAUCCCUGGACUAUCCUACACCAGCUACCCUUAAAUCCUCACCCAUCCAUCCCAUUGAGUUUUGCUGGAUUACAACGGCCCCCAUCCCAUCCCUUGACUAUCCUAUACAAAAUGGAAAAUCUCUUCUCCAAGGAGUUAGGAGACAAUAAUCGACAUAACUAUGUCAUCUUAUAUAGGGACAAAAUGAAUACAAUCUCACCCUGUGGUCUUCGAAUCUAUAGUAGACAAACGGUAAGUAAAGAGAUAUUGUAUAACUGCACCAACUAUUCAUUAUUUCUGAAGUAAUACAGUGAGUGCAUCACAUGUUAAAGAAAUAAAAUUAAGUUUAUUACUUUUAUUCAUGAACAUGUACAACUCUUGAGAUGAACUUUAAUUUGUCAGUAAACUAUAAAAUAGAGGUAAUUUGUAAAGGCUUAAGCCUAUUGGAUUAGAUUAUGUUCUCCGUGGGGGCAGUUUUUCUUCAACUCCAAAACUGUAUACGUCACUUCUGGUGGUUAUAUGAUUUACAUAUGAGAGGCGACAAUUAGAAGCUGAGAAAAGAAAUGAUCUCAGGUUACAUGACAGAACAAACCAAGUAAUGUUACACUCCCAAUUUCUUUCAGGACACAUAGUAUUGAUAUUUGCGAGCAUGAAAGACUGAAGGAUUAAACAGAGGAGAUAACUCUUAAGAGAGACCUCAUCAAGAACUUAAGAAAAUUUGUGUGAUAAUUUAACAAAUUUAGCGAGGCUAAUUGAUGAAGGAAGUCUAUUCACACUAUAUUCAUUUUAGUGCACUUAUUGACUAAAUGUUUCCCAAGUUCGAAUGUGAGGCCUCUAUUUGAGGAUGUAAUAAAACAACAUUUACCAUUAGAACUAAUUGAGCAGCUUGUGUUAACCCUCUGUAUUUACCUGACGAAUAUGCUUUAAGGUGGAGGAAUUUUUUGCAGUAGUCUUCUAUUAAAACAUCAUUUAAGCUACCUAAAUGAAUGGACAACAUGUAGUUUUUCGACGCAGAAACAAAAAAUCUACCUAACAAAGAGACAGAUAUAUCAAAGAAGCCACAGGUCGAUAAUCAGAGUGUCCUAAAGAGUUACAUUUACAAAAGUUGAGGAGACUGGACACGCUGUCAAAUUAACUCAACACUGAUGCUGCAUUGAAAGUGAGAGUCCAUGUAAUGUGGAUACAAUUCAUUAAGUACACACAAAACAGUCAGCAACUAAUUUCAGUGAUGUGCAACAAAAUUCAUAUAACAUAGCCACCAAGUUGACCAUAAAAUCCAUCAAAACACAUUAAUGAGGAAUUCGUCUUACUUCAGUUUUGAAUUCCCCCGGCUUUUAAGUAUACAAGCCACAUUUUUACUGAAUUUUCUCUUCAAGUGCAGUAAAGUAGCUCAAAGAACAGAAAGCAAAGUUACAACUGACAACUACAUCGAGAAAGAGGCUACUAUGGACUGUCAAUUUUUACAUGUGAAUCCAAAAAUUAAGCUCGCAUAACAACGGGUAAUAUACCAAAUUCAUAUUAAAUUUUAGAUCAAACAACAUCAUUUAUCAUGCCAAAACAGUCUAGCUGUGCAACUUUUAAGCAAUUUGGAUACACUUAUAUCUAAAAAUUGGCUAAACUAUUGAUAAACGUACUAUCUAAUGCUGGAAAUAUGACAUAGUACAGUGAAUAUUGAUCAAUUUACUACCAUCGCUGCAUUUUGAUACUCCUUGAACAGAGAAACGGAUGGAAAUGGACCAGCCAAGCUACGCCUAAUUACACCAUCUCUAUCUUUUAACUACUUUUGUACUUGGCUUCCGAUUGACGCUCAGCUCAGGUAAAGCACAAGAACAAUUAGGAGUAAAUUGAAAUUGUAUAUUACCAGUGGUCAUAUACUCGGGAGUAGCACAACUGAAUUGUAUGGACAAAUCAUAAGAGGGCAACAGAAAUAUUGUUAAAACUUGUAGAAGACUAAAUUUUAAAGUAGUUUUAGAUACAGCAGCCAGCAAAAUGUUAGAUGAUUUGAAAUCCUGAUACAUAAUUUUAGCUUCUGGGCUGUGGAGAUAUGUCAGUCCUUUAGCUGCCUUGAGAGUAACCUUCAUUCGGAGAUUCUAUGAUAGCGGUUGGAAAUAAGCACUCCUCUGUUCAAGAUGUACCAAAGGUUUAUUCAAUGACAUUACACGGAUAAUAUUAGUGGAUGUCCUCAAAUUAGAUGUGGAUUCAAGAUUUCAAGUUUAUGGAUUUCUAUAAUGAACUAAGUUCAUAGUAAAAUAAAUUUCUUAUACAUGGUUUAGAAAAAACAAUUGGGUCCCCAUGAAUCUACAUAUCAUAUUGUGGAUCUGUUCUUGCGUUAAAUAUGCAGUUAUGGUUUCAUACAAACUAUACUUACUUCUGAAUAGAUGAUUUUCCAAACUUCCCCUCGGCAUGAAUUCGCACACCAGAAUCUUGUGUUCAUCUUCUAACCUGGCUCAGGUAAGCAAUUUUCGCCUGUAGUUUAAGUGUACAGAGAAAACAGUUAAUCAACUUAUCAAGAUCAAGAAUUAUAGGAAAGCUUCAAUGUCUUUGAUAAAACAAUCAUCGGAUAUUUUAAAGGGAAGAGUUUAUAUACCAAUCAUUCCUUGUGACCUUGAAAGCUUUCUUCAAGAAUUUCACUUUGACUUUGAGGAGUCAACUGAGCCGAUAAAUAUGAAUGUGAUCAUGGAAAUGAUGCCUAAUUAAUAUGUAUCUUUGUAUGUCUUCUGUCUGUUCCUAGUAAAAGUUGCACCAGUUUACAUCAAUUAAGUAAUAAACUGAAUAAGUUAUAACAUGACUAUCUUAUAGCUUAUUUCAAACUGAACACGUACAUCUUCAUUACGUUUUUUAAAAUUUAGUAGAAAUAGAAAUGUAUAAUGGUACCUGAUAAGCAAAUCAAAUUCGUGACUAUCUUCUUGGCUCAUUCGUUAUGGAUGAACUUGAAGUUUCAUAAUGAACUUACUUUCAGCAGGGUUAUAAGCAUCCAGAUCAUAAAAUUCUUCAGGGGCAAAUGGUAUAGGAACAAAUCUCUGAGCCAAUUUUGUAAUUCCCUCAAGGCGGUAACUAUUGAUUGAAAUCUGCAUUUUUCCAUAGCUUUCAGAUAAAUGAAUAAGAUGUGUUAAAAAUGGAGAUUGUUUGCUAUUUAUAUACCGAAACUUGCACUCUAUGAAAAAUAAAUAACUUAUCUUACAAAGAAUUCUUCAUGUUCAAAGAAAGUCUCCCGUGUCAUAUAAGCAAAUUAUAGUUUAUGUUUAUCUACAUAUACAUAUGUUAGUAUUCAACAUUAUAAUUCAACUGCAUAUCCAACUGGAAAAUUAAAUCAACUAAAGAGGGAGAAAUACUGGACUUUCCACAUAUGAGAAAGGGUUGUGAAAAUAGGGUAACUCUAAUAGCUAAUCCUUCCAGUUGAAAGUGUUUUUGAGAAAAAAAAUCAAAUUAAGUUCGAUGUACCUGAUAACGCUCAAUGUUCCCUGCAUGGCAUCUUCUCAAUUUCUUUCCUUUCCUUUCUUCUCCAAGUACUUGUAAAGUCCUAUUUAUGAAAAAUUAACAAAUUGAAAAAACACCCACAUCAAGAACAAAAGCGGAAGAAACACUACAUUUCAAUAAUCAAAAGCACAAAAAAUUGAAAUACAAAGCGGGACAACGGAGAAGAAGAGGAGUAAACGACCAUAACAACAACAUCCAAUCAAGUUUAGAUUCAGUACAUGCAACAUUACCACAACCUAAACACCAAAAUUGAUGAAUAAAAAAAAGUCGGAACUCAUCAAAUGAAAAAAUCGACAAAACAGAUCUAAAGUCAAAAGGCAAAACAAAAAUGAGAAGAAAGAAGGAAGGGAAGAAGCAGUGCAUACCUAGGAAGGUAUGCAAUUUAACUGAGAAUUUCAUAUGAGGGCUUGCAAAACCCUUCCAUUUUGCAGAGCAUUUUUUCUUGGGACAGAGAAUGGAUGCAGAGGAACAGGGAUAUAUCACAUAGCUAGGACACGUGUUUCACAGAUGAAUAUACAGAUACACAUUAGUUAGAAAGCAAUGAGUCAAAUUACCAAAUUAACCCUAUUGGUACAAUUAACUUGAAUUUUGGUACAACUUGUAUAUGUUGUGUUAGUCCGAACUCUUGUUGGCUGUAGAAGGACACGUGUAGCCCACGUGUUUAUUCAAUAGUGAAUAGGGCUUAAUGGUACAGUACAAUUUUUUAUACUAUUGGUACAACUUUGUAGAGCUGUGUUGGUACUCUUCUUGUUGGCUUAUAUAUAAGGGUAAAGAGCUGUGUUGGUACUCUUCUUGUUGGCUUAUAUAUAAGGGUAAAGAGCUGUGUUGGUACUCUUCUUGUUGGCUUAUAUAUAAGGGUAAAGAGCUGUGUUGGUACUCUUCUUGUUGGCUUAUAUAUAAGGGUAAAGAGCUGUGUUGGUACUCUUCUUGUUGGCUUAUAUAUAAGGGUAAUAUAUAUACUCCCUCCGUCCCAAUUUAUGUGGCACCCUUUAUUUAUAGUCUGUUCCAAAAAACAAUGUCAUCUUACUAUAAUUAGAAACAAGGGAAAAGACUCAAAUAUGUUAUUGAAAUUUGAGAAAAGACUCAUUUAUGUCGUCCGUUAAAAGUUUGGUUCAUCUAUGUCAUUUUCGUUUGAGAAAAAACUCAUCCAUAUCAUUAGUUGUAAACUAAAAAUAAUUUUGGUUUUGUAAGAUCAUUUUAUACACGUGGUCAAUUAUGAUUUGGCCAUGUCAUCAAUUAAAUCAUUUCUAUAGAAGAGAAAAGGUUCAAAUAUGUCAUCGAACUUUGAGAAAAACUCAUUUAUAACAUCCGUUAAAAGUUUGUCUCAUCUAUGCUAUUUCAGUUAAUAAAUAAUGGCAUGAAUGAGGUUUUUCUCAAAUGAAAAUGGCAUAGAUGAGCCAAUUUUUUAACGAAUGACAUAUAUGACCUUUCUCAAAGUUCGAUGGCAUAUUUGAGUUUUUUCACUAGAAACAAUUUCAUUUAAAAUUCACUGUUAUCCUUAAUGAAAUUAUUUACAAACACACAAAUAUCUAAGGAUUGUUUUAAAUCACAAGUUUAAAAGUCUUUUUUUAAAAAAAUAAAUAUAUCGUGUCAAGUUAAACAAUGCCACAUAAAAUGAGACGGAGAGAGUAAUUGUUAAUGCAAGAGGAAGCUGCUCGGGAAGUUACGUGUAUGAUGUUGAAGUUAUUUGACAUGCAAUUGAGGUGAUCCUAUAAUCUUCCAGUAGUUAUGACUAGUAAAAUCACUCAAUUUAUAAAAUAAUACUUAAAAUAUAUGAGUCAUUAAAACUAAAACACUAUAUUAUCUUACAUAUAAGAUUACAUAUAACAAACAUUAAUAAUGUAAGUAAAAAAAAAUUUGAAUAUGUUAACAAAUUUUUGAAUUUUUUCCUCAGACAUAUAUCACAAUUGUAAAAUCUAUGCAACUUAAAUGUGUUCUUGUUCUUACGAAACGCCUUUGUGUAUAUAUAUUCUUAUUUUAUUCUCUCUUUUUUUCCUUUUAAUGAUGAUUAAAUAACCAUUAAUUUAUUAUUUCCUGAAUAAUUCAUUCAUUAGAUGUUCUUGAGUUUAUGUGAUAAUGACAAAUAAUAGUAUAGAUUCUUUUAAGGAAUUUUUUACUGUACCUUCAACAAUUUCAUGAUCAGUAGAGAAAACUUGCAUGAAUACUCAAUUAACAUGUGUUGUUUAAUCUGUACUAACAAAUACUUAAAACAAUAACUUUGUAGAAACAUAAACACAAGUUUAAAACAUGUACUCAAAAACAAUAAUUAAUAACAUAAGCAUAAAUUAAUGAUUGUAAAAAAAUAUACCAGGAUCUGUAAUAAUAGGAUGAAACAGAAAGGAAAAAACUGUACACGAAUAUUUAAUUGUGCAGAUUAAGAAGAAGAAGUUCAAAAUUUUCGUUUUUUUAAAAUGAGAGGAAAUCACUCUAUUUAUAGCUAGACAACAAAGGGUAGUGUGAACAAAUGUUUAUUGUGCCUUAUCGAAAAGGUCACAACUCUUUGGAAAAGUUACAACUGUUUGGAAAGGUCAUAACCUUUCAUAAAAGACACAACUUUUCAUAAAAGUCGCAACUCUACAUAGAAGUUACAACUUUUCAUAAAAGUCGCAACUGUUCAUAUAAGUCGCAACUUUUCAUAAAAGUCACAACUUUUCAUUAAAGUAGCAAAUUUUUAUGAAAGGGGAAGGAUAGUUUUGUAAAUAUAUUAAUUAAAAAAGGAAUCAUGGUUUGUGAUGGCGCCACGUAGGCAGGCCUAGGAUUCUCUUUUAUAUAUAUAUAUGAUAUAUGAUAUGAUUAUUUACUGUGGUCGUUUUCUGAUAUGAUCACAAUAAGAUAUAACCGUCUAUUAUCUUUUAAACUUGUUUUUCUUUUUAGUUUGCAAUAUAUUUUGGAUUGGUAACAUUAGUAGUAUUAAAUUGUUAACAGCACUAGUUUGCAAUAUUUUUGGUUUCUACAAACAUUAUUUGCACAUAUUGAAAGAAAUAUAUAUGAUAUGGUUUCAUUGAAUUAUAUCCUCUACAUAAGCAGUGAAGACAAACAAAGUACUAAUGUUAUUUAAAUUGUCUCUAAAAUUUUGAUGAUUUAACAAACUUUGAGAUCUAACGAACGACCAGAUUCCAAGAGAGAUUGAGAGUUCCGUUUAUGAAAAAAACAGCGGUCUAAAAGCUGCAACACCUGCUGUGGUUGGUGCACGUAUUUUGCAGCAGACAUUCAGCCAAUAGCAGGGCAUUGCUUCAAGAGUUUGGGUCCAUCCUAUAAUACACCUCUUUGACAUUGACACAAACUCAAGUUUUUGCAAUAUAAAAAUUCACAACAGCAAAAGUCAUUCUCUCAGGGAAAUAUUUCUCGAUAAAUGAUAGAGUUAUCAUCGUUCUUAUGUGUUUUUAGGGCUUAUAUUUCUGUGCUUAUACUUGUAAGAUCUAUUCCUACGUUAUAAAGGAAUUAGAUCAUUUGAAGUUUUUUCUGAGUAUUCCGAGUUAUAUCUAGAGUUAGUUAUGUUGUAUUCUUGAAUUCUAGAUCAACUAUAGCUAGUUGAUUUAGUGGGUCAUAGAGUUAUUGCUUAGUUUUUGAGUAACAGAGUUGUUACUAUGAGGGGAAGGGAUUAAGAGUUUAAUUCCUAGGUUACAAGAGUUUGUAAUCUGAAGCUUUGCACUUUUGAUGAUAAUGGAGUUGGGUUAAAUCCUGUGAGACAGACCGUGGUUUUUUCCUCCCUUGAACAAGGGGCUUUCCACGUAAAACUCUUGUAUUUGUUUUAAUUUGUGUUAUUUAUUUUCCACACAAUUUUUCUUUCAAGGGACUUGGUCCAUUGACCGUUAGUGGACGCAUACAUUCUAUGAGUACUAAUAAGAUUGAAAAAGAAACCACUAAGAAAAAGUUAGGGUUAAAUCCAUCAAAUGGAAUCCUGGAGCCACCUCUUGAUGCUAAUAUUCUGGCCAAGAUCAGUAACAAAGAUAUAAUGUAAUCUGGUUUAACUAACCCUAAAGCUAGCUCAUCUCUGUGCAAUCUCAUAUAGGGCCCUAUUCAGGUGUGUCACAAUUAUGGUAGUAGCUAUAUGUGUCAUCUUUCUUCAAUUGUGUCUGUAAUGGUUUCAUGAACUGGAGUUCCAGGUUCUGUUGUAGAGAACCCUUCAGCAGCAGGGGAUGCUCCUAGUCCGUCGGAAAUUCUGAUUUCUGGGAUUUGCAAAGGAAGGUCAGGCAAUAUCUCAGGAGAAGCUUCACUUGCUGCGAGCAAUUUAGGUGCAUUGCUUUCAGAUGGCUUUUCUGACAUAGAAUUAGAGUUGUCUUUCUCUUCAUCAAAGACUUUUGCAAUUGCUGUAAGCUUCUGCCAUAUUGAAUCAUCAGUGGCUAAGAUUUCUCUAUUCUGAUUAAGGAAGUUGAGGAAGAAUAGGAGAAGAGCGAAGCCUGCUGAUACACCAGCUAUGAGGAAAAGUCCCUUAAACCUAUCUAACGUGAGGCUAUCAGAUGUUAUAGCCGUUUCAUCUUUCUGUGGACAAUCUGUUUCAUUCCCAAACCAUUUCUGUAUUAUGUUAUUCAUGAACUCUCCUUCCAUCACCUUCAAGACUGCUCUUGAGACGUCAGGUACCAAAGGAGAUCCUUUUGGAAAUGCCUGCAAUAAAAGAUUAGAUGAUUGAGUAAACAACAAAUCAUUCUAAAUAUAUGUUAACAGUGUCUGAAACAUCAGUGGAGUGUACAAUCUUACAAACCCAAAACCGGCAGCCUUGUAUGUCUGGCCGACCAUAACAUACUUCCUGCAGUACUUGUUGAGGAAGAGUCUGAGAUAAGGUAGUUCAUCAACAAUUGCACCUACACCUCCAUUUUUGCUUCCUCUUGAGAGGGCUUCAUCAUAUUCUUUCAAUGUGAUAUAACUUCUGAACUUGGAGCUGUCAAAUUUCAUGCGCUUUAUGAAGACAUCUUUGACAAAGGAACCUUCUUGGUACCCAACAUAUUCUCCAUUCUUGAUGAGAUCAUUGAGGUCUGUUAUAGUAGGUUGGAGCUGUUGCAGUGUCAACAUAGAUGUUAAGCUGGCUGUAUAACUUGAUGUCAGCACCAGAACCACAAAAACCCACACAAUCAGCAAAAAUCUUGUUAAGUUACUUGUUACCCUCUCUCCUGCAACAACCAGCCAUAACAUAUUCUCCAUUCUUGAUGAGAUCAUUGAGGUCUGUUAUAGUAGGUUGAAGCUGUUGCACUGUUAACAUAGAUGUUAAGCUGGCUGUAUAACUUGAUGUCAGCACCAGAACCACAAAAACCCACACAAUCAGCAAAAAUCUUGUUAAGUUACUUGUUACCCUCUCGGCUCGCUAAAAUGGUCACAUCACCUACAACUGCAUCAUAGUCCUGGCUCAAGCAAACAUUGAUUAUUCCAGUAUGUAUAGUUGAUUGUAAUAGCAGAAAAUAGAUAUCGAAGUCCCAAAAAGGACCAUGUUAGUAAGAUAUAGAGCCAAAGAGGUUUAUUGGAACAGAGAUUAUAUAUUACCUGAGAAGUGAUCUUGUGAACAAGAUCAUCAUAGUAUGGAAGAGUGAGGGGAUCUUGUAUUGGAGAUGGAAUAAAUUCGUAAGGGAGAGCAUAUGGCAAAGAUAGGAUGACUUCUUUGAAGACAUCUGCACAGAAACCAGUUGCUGUUACUGCUUGUGUUUUUGAAUCUCUUUCCACUUUAAUGAGUUGCUCCAGCCCUCCUUUGAGAGGAACUCCAACCCUUAACUUCUUCCCACUUGUGGGCAUUUCCCAGCCUCUUGGAACAAUAGUUGAUUCACCAGGCCAAAAAAUGGUUCCUAGUUGCUCAUUAUUACACUUAACUGCUGUUUUACCACUGUUUUACUAUUCAUCUUCAGUUUAUGCGAAAUGCCAUCCUUCUCUGUCCAGAAUCCAACGCUUCUCUCUCCUUUCCCAAUUAUAUUCACAAUCUGAUAUGGGAUUGGCUGCAGUUCUCCAUUGAUGAUACGGAAAUCACCACUUAAUCCUUGUUUUAGCACUGUGUUUCGCAUAGAGUCAAUGAGCAGAGAUCCCACUGCUGACGUUCCAAGUGCAUCUAAGUCUGUUAAGUUCUCUCUGGUGUCUGGUUUCUUUAAUUUUGGGAUAGCAGUAGUGCCCACUUUAUCUAUUGCUUCUGCUAAUGAGGUGAUGCUAUCGUAUGCCCAUAGCCCGAAAACAUUGAGUUCUAUUUGGUCCAUGUCUGGAUACUCUUGACGGAAUCUCUUUCUCCAUCUUUUCGUGUAAUUGUUAAGCUGAUUUGAUCUUGGAAUAUAAGGUUUUAUACCAAGAACACCUUGCAUUGAUGACUCAAUGACUGAAUGAUCUACUGAGUCCAGAAGACUCGUUAGCACAUCUGUGAUGAUCCAUGCAUAUCCACUGCUCAUCAUCCCGGCUUCUUUGGCCUUGAGAAAAAGGCGGGAGGCAAGAUAUGGUCGCAAGUGCACGACGAACACCCUGGUCUGCUUUGUAUUCAUAUUGUAUAACUCCUUGAGAAUUUGAUCAUCAUUGGCUGACGGAGAAAUAACACUUCUAUAGGAGACUAAAGUGCUGAUUUCCAGUAAGGCAUCAGUCAAAUGUGGAACUAUCCCGAACCCAUAGGGGCUAUCCUCAUAGAUGACCACAACCUCUCUCCAAUCAAAUUUUUUAACAAGUGCUGCAAUGGCCUUAGUCUGGCUGGAAGAAGGCAGUGCUGCUCUGAUGAAGAAGGGAUUUUCCUUGACUGUAAGUAAAGGACUUGUUGCUGGAGAAAUUAUAGGGACUUUUGUUCUGUUCCCUAAGUCAAUCACAAAAUCAGUUUGUGUUGACAUUUGUGGCCCAAAAAUAGCUUGUACUUGGACAUCCUUUAGCAAGUAUAUGGCUGCACAUACACAAUCAGACAAUAAGAAUUUACCCAAAGUAAGAGUUUAAUAGAAGUGAAUCAUGGAACUGAAUUUACCAGCAGAUGUUGCUUCAACAUCAUCUUUCUUGGAAUCCUUGAUAUGAGGAACUAUCCUUAUGGCACCGCGACUAGUGUUGGCAUGAUAAUCUUCAAGUGCUAGUAAGAUAGAUAUGUGCAUUACUUUUCCCUACAUCUGUUUCCUAGAUCAAGAAUUAUACCCACAUCCACCUUUACAGCACUAGUGUUAUUAUCUUCACCUCUUAUUGGAAUUACAUAGUGGUAAAAGCUAAUGAUGGAGAUAAGUUGAAUGAAAAGAAUUAGAAAGUGGCAUCUUGGAUUAUGCAUUUGAAAAAACUCUGGUAGCAAGUAGUCUGAGAGAUGGGCAACAAGCAGUUGUGCUUGUGCAAGAUAACCACACAUUCAGAAUGAUAAAUUUUCCUAUAAUUAAUAAGACCAAACUCCAUAAAUGCAGAAACAAAAGUCAAAGAACAAAUGGUUGAAAAUCAAGUAUUCG
rnacentral:lncRNA from 1 species